rnacentral:lncRNA from 1 species
CCAUCCAAGCGCAUCUACCACUCUUCUACGAUAUCCUCCUUCAUCAUCUAGCUGCCUUCGAACCUCAGAAAUCGAGCACCCUUAAACAGUAAUAUCAACAGCCACAAAGAUGACACCGUAGAUCACAUCCCUCUCUGAUUCCGACACAUUCAUGGGUAAUUUUUAUCCACAUCUCCCUUCGAUUUUUUUUUAUAUGCUUAGAUUUGGGGGAAAAAAAAUGGAUGAAAAUUAUCUAAUGCAUGUGUGCUUCUGCGGCAGGAGUUGCAGAAUGCUGAUCCGACAUAGAAAAGAACGGUAGAUGUCUGGAGUUUAUCUGAAAAGGAAAGGUAUAGAACAUAGGUGCCUAACUCUUAUUUGCGCAUCAUGCAUGAUAAUGUUCUCCACAUGCUCAUAAAUCUCUAUCUGUGGGCCUGCAUGUACCCACUGAUGUAUAUUUGAGCCUAAAAGUGUGGAUAACAGAAACUGUAUCCUGCCUUGAUGACUCGUGUCCUCUGUGCUACUUAGAUCCCUCAACUUUGUUUCUUUCUGCACUCCGCACUGCCUAAUCUCAUGAAUGUAGAGGAAUUGAUGAUGAAUGUGCUGGGGGAAUAAAUGUUGAUUGCAUCCCCUUAGUUGGGAUUAGACCGAAUCAGUUCCGAAUGCAACCUGUAAUAAAAAAAACUAAUUAGAUAAAUAAAGAAAAAUAACAAGAAUUAAAAAUUGCAAUUUUUUUUUCUUUCUGAUUUUUGUAAUUAGGAAUAAAAACAGGAAAAUAAAUUAAAUGAAAUAAAAAGAAAAGAGUUAGAAAAAUUAGGUUGCCUCACAAUUAGCGCUUUAGUUAAUGUCUAUAGCUAGACGUAGAGGAAUGAAUUGAUGAUCACGUCACUUGUUCCCUUUGAGUUAACCACUCUUUAUUAACGUCAUAGAGCACUGUGCUUCCAAAUUUAAUGGUUGAAUUCUUCUUAUACGCCUUUCUUUUUGAAUGAAUCUUUGUAAAGAUAUAGGUUCCUUUCCAGCUAUGUUUAUAUCUCCAUCGAGCUGACUUAAAUCGUGUAUUUAACACCCAUAGUUUCCGCACUGGCUGAAAUUUUCUACGAGGAACUUGGCUGUCAAUAAGCUUUCUCUUUUCCAUAUAGAUCUUUGCAUGUUUGCAGGACUCGUAUGGCAUUUCUUUGAAUUUGAUGGGCUUUGCAGGUGCACUGUCCGUUACCGCCGCUAAAAUUUUCUGAUCAGUAAGCAGCUGUCCUGUAAUUAGAUUUGUCAGAGUAUUCAUGCAUUCUUACUGCUUAGCAGGUUGCCUUGGAGUCUCGGGAGUGUUGGAAGUAUGCCCACAAAGCCACUCAUUUGAUGUAAUAGCUUUUUGGAAUACUUAAUGUAUUAAACUUUUAUAUGUUUAAUGAAGGGCAAAGCUUAUUGUUGAUCACUAUUUAUUGUAUCAUGUGUUUAAGUAAUAAGGGAAUCCAAGGGAUGUAUUUGAUCUAAGAGACAAGUGAUCUAAGUGAGUUAGAUUAUCGAGACCAUUCUCUUAUGUUCAUUCCUAAAACGUUCCUAGCCAUAGGAUUGCCAAUUGGGUAUUGACAAUCUGCUAAGGUUAGUAUGUGUUAUGUCGACUCAAGCUUGAGUAUGACUAGUCUCAAGUCAUUUGGUGUUGGACACUAAGACAAACACAUAGGUGCUCGAAAGAGUAAUCGAGUACACUGAACAACGAUCGAAAGAGAGUUCGAACAUACAGGUCAUGUAAGAACUCGAAAGUUGCAAUAUGUAAAGUAGUCCUUUGACCUGAGGCAUCAUAGAUGUCUAAUGGUUAGGUCCUUGAUCUUUGAUCAUGUCAACGGCAUUCCAUCGGAGUGUCCACGGCAUUGUUGGGGUCAAGCUAUCUAGUCAUGUAGGCAUAUGAAUGCACAACAAGAGAUCUCUAACCUUCCAUGGUGGAAGGAGAAUACUCUAAGAUAUGAUUCGUAAGUCUUUGGCCAAAGCAAAUGAAUAUGACUUAGGAAGUUUGUUCCAAUUCAUAUUCAAAGGAAUCAUAUAGAAAAGUAUCACAUUGGAUAGUAGACAUGAAACAAACUAUCACUUAAACAAUGUGAUUAAGAGUAUUGUAUUAGAGAAGGACCGUAUUGCAUUGUAGUUGUAACUGGAUAGGUUCUCCAACCAAUUCUACUUAGCUUGGGUAACCAUGACAUACUGCUAGGUGUCACUCAUGGUUUGUGGAAGCCCUAAUGACUAGCAAACACUAAUCAUAAAGGGAGAAUUGAAAUGUGGUUUCAAUUCACAAUCGAUCGUUAAGAGUAACAAUCGCCCACUACCUCGCUAAUUGGAACCUAAUGGAUCGUACACCGAGUAAGGGCGAUAGUGAAGAAAUUAAAUGAAAUGGAUAUGCAAUUAAAUGGUUUAAUUGAAGAAUGGUCAAGAUUAAUUAAUUAGUUGAUUAAUUAUACGAAAGGUUCGUAUUGGGCUUUUAAGUUGGUUUUGGGUUUCGGGGCCCAAAAGUGUUUUGGUCCAUAAGGCCCAUUAUGUUUAAGUUGUAUGACAACUAAAACAAAAUGGGCAAUAAGCCCAAUCACAACAUAUAGGCCUGCCAUGGUGAGGAGAUGGUGAAAGUUUGCUUAAUUGCAAGUUUGUCACUCACCAAAGAAAAGUGUUAUAAAAGCAACUUUAUAGCUAUUUUCUCAUUAGGGUUUUCUUUGAGGCAAACAGGUGAAACAUUUUCUCUCUUUCUCUCUACAAAGAGGCCGGCCACUUAGGGAGAUUAAUCUAGCAAUCUCUUCUUCCCUAAGUCAUCCAUUUCAUCUUCACAGUUAACCCUUGGUGUGGAGACUUAGAGACACCAAACUUUUGGUGUUUUGGAGAUCCUUUCCUUACAUCCACAAAGUCCAAAGGAGCACAAAAGGAGAAGGAAAUCACAAGCAAUAUCCAAGGAGCUAGGAGGUGACUUGAAGGCCCUCCACUUGGGUGAAUCCCUUGUGUAAACAAGGAUGAGCUUCAAGGGUAAAGAAACACUAAAUCUUUACUUCUCUUUAAUGUUGUUAAAGAGUCUUUUGGUUCACCAUAUACUAGGCUUUGAAAGUCAUGGGUUUUAUGAAUUGUUUUUUAAUGCAUGCCUACUUUAAAGUGUUAAUAGUUUGCAUAUGUAUUCAAAUGUUCUUACUUGUUCUUAGCUAGGACAAAAUUUUUUCCUUCAAGUGGUAUCAGAGCCUAGGCCUAGUUUAUGGUGAAUCCUUUUGGGUUUUGUGAUUUUCAUGAUUUGUGAUUUAAAUGUUGUAAAUGUUACAAGCUUUGUUCUUGCUUUGAAUAUAAAUUUUGCUAGAAAAUUUAGCAUCUGAAAUGUUGUAGAUGUAUUUCAUUUAAGCAUGAAUAUUGGAACUAAAAUUUGAUGCCAUGUAUUUUGGGAAAUUCGGCCAAAUCCUUAGGGUGAUUUUUUGGGUUCAUGUUUGUCUUGUUAAAAUGGUUUUAAUGUGACUUUUGGAACCCCUAAGUACCCUAGGAUAUUAGCCUUCUUUUGAGUGGUGAAAAAUUGAGUUUUGGUGAGUGAAAACAUUCAUGGAGCUAUUAUGAGUUUUCAUGAGUGUUCUUCAAUGUUCUUGAAGUUCUUGCCAAGAACAAAAAGUUUUGAAGUUUUGAUUCAAAAGUUUUAUGUUUUUUCAUAAAGUUUUGGUUUAAUUUUGAUGGGUGAUAGUUAUUGGUGAAACAUUAAUAUUGGCUUUAAUGUUUGUCAAAACUCUUUAAUGUUUUACAAAACAUUUUCUUACAAACCAUCAAUUUCACCUUUUCCUCACCCACCAAAAUCAACUUGCAAAAACUUUUUAGAAAUUUUUUUCAUUUCUUCUCAAAUGGCCGGCCACCCCCUAGUGGGGGUACUUUUGGGGCCUUUUAUGCAAUUAUAUAAAGUUUUGAUACUUUUGUGUAUUUGCACUUUGGCCCAAAAGUUUACGUUUUUACGUUAAGGCCCAAAAACUCUAAAGGACAAAUUGUUUGAUCCUUUAAUGAUGUUUUUACAUUAUUAAAAUUUUGGGAUCUAGUUGUAAUUACAUGAAGUUGUGGACUUUUGUGUAUUUACAAAGUGACCCCAAAAGUUUUUGUAUUGUAUUUGCAUAAUGGCCCAAUUGUUGUGGUCAUAGUUUCCUUUUGGCCCAAAUAAAAUGAGAACAAAAUUGUUUUGUCUCUUUAAUGAGAAUUGGAUUUUCAUUUCAUUUAGUUCCAUUUAAAUCAAUUCUAUGGAUCCAAAAAUCAAUUGUUUAAGUUGCUUUCUUAGUUAAUGUGAUUAAUUAAGAAAAAGGGUGAUUAUGAACCAAAGGCCUCGAUAAUUGAGCUAUGUGAUUGGCCGCUUUACAUUAUGAAUGUUUGGGUUUGGUAGUGUAGAUUUGAAUGUAAUUUGAUUAAUUCAAUUUGUUGUAAAUGGACAUAAGUCCAUCAUUUGUGUUGUAAAAGGGCAUAAGCCCUUCUUAUUAUUUCAUGUAUUCCUUUUGUUUAUAUGUAUGCAAAAUGGAAUAGUUGGGUCCAACGCCCAAUAGGAAAUAACGAUUUAAUUGGAUUAAACGCGUAACUAAAAUCAACAACUAUCUACCUUAAACCCAAGGUCCAACACAAGGCUCGUGUUGGAUCAAAUCAAACGGUUCAUAAUCAUCCUAAAACCUAAUAUGACUAUAUAGUCCAUAUGAGGAUGCAAUGCAUUCGUUAGUAGUUCCAUAUAGUCUCACUUAUUUCUUCGAAAUAGUGGGAGUAUUAUAAACUACUAAUUCAUAUUAAACUUGGACCAAUGGUUGUGAUAGGCCCAAGUUCUUUUAAUAUGAUUAAAAUGAUUUUGAUGUAGCCCAAAACUACUCCCUCGUCAAACGAAUAUUAAGUUGAUAAGCGAGAGAUGUUUUGAACAUCUCUUCGUAGGCCUUCCACCGUGGUGGGCUCCAAUCGUUUGUGACUCAUGCACCGGCUUCACCCUAUCAUGGGGGAGUUCAAAGUAUGUUCUUACAUCCAGGAGGAGUCCAUAAACAUAUGAUGAGGUGAGUGUAGGCAACGAGGAUAGCCGACAUCGUAUCAUCGUGAGGCUAUUCUUGAACCCCUUCACAAACUAAGCAUGGUGGGAAUAACUUAAACUAAGUGCAAUGGAGCCGACAUCGUAUCAUCGUGAGGCAACAUUCUCUAGAGGCCAAACGGAUGGGUAAUUACAAAAUGUUGUAAAUGAAUAAUGCGUUAUUCUCUCAUCAUUAUUUUUGCUAACCAACAUCGUAUCAUCGUGAGGUGGGCUUGGUAAUGGUGAGUCUCCCAUACCCCGCUAAGAGUUCAAUAUAACUCUCGAAUUCUAUUGAGGGAUGUGGAAUUUGCCAAAAAUAGUGGGUGGUACUAUUUGAUUCAAAGACCCAAUCAAAUAGUUUUAAACAAACAAUCUAAUACGAUUUCUGUUAUGUUAUGUAGUUAACGACAUGCCUAAAAUUAUACCCACCAUUAUACUUGACAAAAAGGGCCUUAAGGGCCAACGUUUCCUUGCUUGGUAUCGACACAUUGAGAAUGUCUCAAAGGUGAAAGACAUAUUGUAUGUGCUUAAGCAAUCCCCUCCUCAUGUACCUCCUACGAAACUAGCUUUAAAGGAGGAGUGUCAAAAUUAUGUUAGACACUAUGAGGAUGACUUACAAGCCAAAUGCUUAAUCCUCACUUCACUUAGUGAGGAACUUAUGAAGCUACAUAAGCACAUGGACACUUCUUGUGGCAUGGUUGAAAGUUUGCAUAAGAUGCAUGACAUUGAGACUAUUAAUGUACGAUUCUCAAAUGUUUGUAGUCUAAUGAAUGCCAAAAUGGCAAAGGGGACAUCGGUCCAUGGACAUGGACAAAAGACGGAAAAGAUAUUUAAAGAUCUUAAAAGUUUAGGAACUUCCAUCGAUGGGAAAAUGGCCCAAGACUUUUUCCUUGCAUCUCUCUCGGAUGAUUUCACUAAGUUUAUUGUAAACUAUAAAGUGAAUAGAUUCGAUCAUGCUUUAAACGAGAUGAUUGACAUGUGCUGUAAAUUUGAAAAAGGUUUCAAAAGAGACAGUGGGAGUGAGAAUGCAAUCACAAGGAAAAGGUUGCAUAAGAAGAAGGCAAAGAAAUCCAAAGGAACAUGCUUUCAUUGUGGAAAGGAUGAACAUUGGAAGAAGAAAUACAGGGUGCGCAUUGCGAGCCUCAUGACACGAACUUUUGAAGAGACUAUUUCUGUCAUAGAGAGUUCUUUUACAGUGAGCUCCAGUUCCUGGAUAUUUGAUUCAGGCGUUAGUCAACAUAUCUGUAAUACGAUGCAGGGACUAGCAGGGAGCAGGUCACUGAGCAAUGGGGAGAUGAUUGUGCGAGUUGGGAACGCCACUAAAAUCUCGGCAAAGCAAUAGGCACCUACAUGCUUAACCUACCCUCUGGGGAAGUCCUGGAACUUAAAAAUUGUUUAUAUUUUCCUUCAUGUAUAAAGAAUUUGAUUUCCAUCUCUAAGCUUUUACGAGAUGGGCACUCAGUAUUGUUUGACAAAAUGAGUUGCACUUUAUACUUGAACGGUCGUAUUAUCUCUCAUGGUAAUAUGAUAGAGGGACUUUUUCAACUAGAGACGAAUAGUGGGAUGCACUGUAUUGCAAGCGGGAAUACCUCAAAACCCAAAAGGGCUAGAGAAGAAGUUAACCAAGAAAAGAUGUGGCAUCUUAAACUUGGUCAUGUGAACCUUGAUAAGAUUCACAAGAUGUCGAAAGACGGAUAUAUCCGCCCAUUAGGUAAUGACCAGAUGGGUACUUGUGAAUGUUGCUUGAAAGGGAAAAUGACCAAAUCUCCAUUUACUGGAAAAUGAGAGCGUGCCACUGAAAUUCUAGGGUUAAUCCACACUGACGUAUGUGGACCUAUGUCUACUACGUCGAGAGGAGGCUUCUCCUACUAUAUCACAUUCACCGACGAUCACUCUCGGUUUGGCUAUGUGUAUCUUAUGAAGUACAAGUCAGAAUCCUUUGAAAGGUUCAAAGAAUUCAAGAAUGAAGUUGAGAAGCAAACUGGGAAACAGAUAAAGAUCCUAAGAUCGGAUCGAGGGGGUGAAUAUCUGAGUAAUGAGUUCCUAGAUUAUCUCAAAGAGUGUGGAAUAAUAUCACAGUGGACUCCACCAGGAACUCCACAACUUAAUGGAGUUUCUGAAAGGAGAAAUCGGACCUUGAUGAACAUGGUUCGUUCUAUGAUGAGUUCCGCUGAUCUACCAGUAACAUUCUGGGGAUACGCUCUAUAUACAGCAGCUUACUUACUUAAUAGAGUACCUUCCAAGUCAGUUUCAGAAACGCCCUAUGAGAUAUGGCAUGGAAGAAAGCCAAGUCUUAAUCAUGUUAAGAUUUGGGGUUGUGAAGCAUAUGUCAAGAAGCUUGAAGCUACUAAGCUCGAAGCGAGAUCAGUAAGGUGCUAUUUUGUGGGAUAUCCUAGAGAAACUAUGGGAUAUGAGUUCUACCAUCCAGACGACCAGAAAGUCUUUGUCGCCAGAACUGCUAAGUUUCUAGAGGACGAAUUUGUUCUCAAAAGAACUAUAAGCAAAGAGAUGGAAAUUAAUGAGAUUAAUAAUGAACCACAAACAAGCACUCGACAAAUUGACAACCCUGUUCCUGAACCCCUAGCUCCACGUAGAUCUGAAUGGGUUAGUAAGCCACCUAAGAGGUAUGGCUUAGACAAUGACUUUGCGGAAUCGCACCUUCUAGGUGACAAUGACACAAAGGAGGACCCUAGGGACUACACUGAAGCAAUGUCCGACAUUGAUUCAAAGAGAUGGCAAGAGGCCAUGAAAUCCGAGAUGGAUUCCAUGUAUCAAAAUCAGGUCUGGACUCUUGUAGACCCUCCAGAAGGUAUUGUACCUGUUGGAAACAAAUGGGUCUUCAAGAGGAAGAUAGGCGAUGAUGGGAACGUGGAGACUUAUAAGGCUAGACUCGUAGCCAAGGGUUACAGGCAAAGAGAAGGGAUUGACUAUGAAGAAACUUUCUCUCCUGUAGCCAUGAUUAAGUCCAUUCGGAUUUUGCUUGCUAUAGCUGCGUACCAUGAUUAUGAAAUCUGGCAAAUGGACGUGAAGAUGGCCUUUCUGAAUGGCUACCUACAAGAAGAGCUCUAUAUGACUCAACCCGAAGGUUUCAUGUCCAAGUCUGAAAAGACUAAGGUAUGCAAGCUUCAAAGGUCCAUUUAUGGACUUAAGCAAGCCUCCAGGAGCUGGAACAUUCGUUUCGACACUGAAAUCAAAACGUUUGGUUUUACUCAAAACGAAGACGACAAUUGUGUUUAUCAAAAGGUCGUUGAGGAAGCAGUAGUAUUCCUAGUGUUAUAUGUAGAUGACAUAUGACUAUUCAGGAAUGACACUGCAAUACUUUCUUCUGUAAAAGUGUGGUUGUCCAAAACCUUCCACAUGAAAGAUUUAGGAGAUGCAUCUUAUGUACUUGGGAUAAAGCUUUAUCGUGAUAGAUCCAGAAAAUUAAUUGGAUUAUCCCAAUCUAUGUACAUUGAUAAGGUGCUAAGUUGGUUCCAGAUGGAACAAUCUAAGAAAGGUUUUCUUCCUGUUAGACAUGGACUUCACCUUUCUAAGUCCAUGGAACCUAAGACUCCUGAAGAGAUACGGCAAAUGAAUAUGAUUCCUUAUGCUUCCGCCAUAGGGAGUCUCAUGUAUGCCAUGAUAUGCACAAGGCCUGAUAUCGCAUAUGCUGUGAGCAUUACUAGUCGAUAUCAAUCUAACCCAGGACCAGUACACUGGGCAGCUGUCAAGACGGUCCUUAAGUACUUAAGAAGAACUAAGGACAUGUUCCUCGUAUAUGGAGGAGCAGCAGAGUUGCGAGUGGAAGCCUAUACAGACGCAGAUCUCCAAUCUGACGUCGAUGAUAGAAGUUCCAACUCCGGAUAUGUAUUCACUCUGAAUGGUGGGGCUGUCAGUUGGAAGAGCAAGAAACAGAGUGUAAUUGCUGAUUCCACAACAGAGGCUGAAUAUGUCGCUGCAGCUGAAGCCGGCAAAGAAGCGUUCUGGAUGAAGAAGUUCAUCACUGAACUUGGGGUGGUUCUAACCAUUACAUCACCAGUAACUUUGUACUGUGAUAAUAGUGGGGCGAUAGCUCAAGCCAAGGAACCCAGGGCACACCAAAAGAACAAGCAUUUUGACAGGCGCUUUAAUAUCAUUAGAAGAUAUGCUGCCGAGGGGAAAGUCAACAUCCUCAAAGUUGCUUCAGCCGAUAACGUAACAGAUCCACUGACAAAGCCAAUGUCUCAAAUCCAGCUUGACCGUCAUAUGGAGAAGAUGGGUAUUAGAUACAUGGGUAGAUGGCUUUGAGUGCAAGUGGGAGAUUGUUGGAAAUAUGCCCACAAAGCCACUCAUUUGAUGUAAUAGCUUUUUGGAAUACUUAAUGUAUUAAACUUUUAUAUGUUUAAUGAAGGGCAAAGCUUAUUGUUGAUCACUAUUUAUUGUAUCAUGUGUUUAAGUAAUAAGGGAAUCCAAGGGAUGUAUUUGAUCUAAGAGACAAGUGAUCUAAGUGAGUUAGAUUAUCGAGACCAUUCUCUUAUGUUCAUUCCUAAAACGUUCCUAGCCAUAGGAUUGCCAAUUGGGUAUUGACAAUCCGCUAAGGUUAGUAUGUGUUAUGCGACUCAAGCUUGAGUAUGACUAGUCUCAAGUCAUUUGGUGUUGGACACUAAGACAAACACAUAGGUGCUCGAAAGAGUAAUCGAGUACACUAAACAACGAUCGAAAGAGAGUUCGAACAUACAUGUCAUGUAAGAACUCGAAAGUUGCAAUAUGCAAAGUAGUCCUUUGACCUGAGGCAUCAUAGAUGUCUAAUGGUUAGGUCCUUGAUCUUUGAUCAUGUCAACGGCAUUCCUUCGGAGUGUCCACGACAUUGUUGGGGUCAAGCUAUCUAGUCAUGUAGGCAUAUGAAUGCACAACAAGGGAUCUCUAACCUUCCAUGGUGGAAGGAGAAUACUCUAAGAUAUGAUUCGUAAGUCUUUGGCCAAAGCAAAUGAAUAUGACUUAGGAAGUUUGUUCCAAUUCAUAUUCAAAGGAAUCAUAUAGAAAAGUAUCACAUUGGAUAGUAGACAUGAAACAAACUAUCACUUAAACAAUGUGAUUAAGAGUAUUGUAUUAGAGAAUGACCGUAUUGCAUUGUAGUUGUAACUGGAUAGGUUCUCCAACCAAUUCUGCUUAGCUUGGGUAACCAUGACAUACUGCUAGGUGUCACUCAUGGUUUGUGGAAGCCCUAAUGACUAGCAAACACUAAUCAUAAAGGGAGAAUUGAAAUGUGGUUUCAAUUCACAAUCGAUCCUUAAAAGUAACAAUCGCCCACUACCUCGCUAAUUGGAACGUAAUGGAUCGUACACCGAGUAAGGGCGAUAGUGAAGAAAUUAAAUGAAAUGGAUAUGCAAUUAAAUGGUUUAAUUGAAGAAUGGUCAAGAUUAAUUAAUUAGUUGAUUAAUUAUACGAAAGGUUCGUAUUGGGCUUUUAAGUUGGUUUUGGGUUUCGGGGCCCAAAAGUGUUUUGGUCCAUAAGGCCCAUUAUGUUUAAGUUGUAUGACAACUAAAACAAAAUGGGCAAUAAGCCCAAUCACAACAUAUAGGCCGGCCAUGGUGAGGGAGAUGGUGAAAGUUUGCUUAAUUGCAAGUUUGUCACACUCACCAAAGAAAAGUGUUAUAAAAGCAACUUUAUAGCUAUUUUCUCAUUAGGGUUUUCUUUGAGGCAAACAGGUGAAACAUUUUCUCUCUUUCUCUCUACAAAGAGGCUGGCCACUUAGGGAGAUUAAUCUAGCAAUCUCUUCUUCCCUAAGUCAUCCAUUUCAUCUUCACAGUUAACCCUUGGUGUGGAGACUUAGAGACACCAAACUUUUGGUGUUUUGGAGAUCCUUUCCUUAUAUCCACAAAAGUCCAAAAGGAGCACAAAAGGAGAAGGAAAUCACAAGCAAUAUCCAAGGAGCUAGGAGGUGACUUGAAGGCCCUCCACUUGGGUGAAUCCCUUGUGUAAACAAGGAUGAGCUUCAAGGGUAAAGAAACACUAAAUCUUUACUUCUCUUUAAUGUUGUUAAAGAGUCUUUUGGUUCACCAUAUACUAGGCUUUGAAAGUCAUGGGUUUUAUGAAUUGUUUUUUAAUGCAUGCCUACUUUAAAGUGUUAAUAGUUUGCAUAUGUAUUCAAAUGUUCUUACUUGUUCUUAGCUAGGACAAAAUUUUUUCCUUCAGGGAGAGUGCAUGAGUGGCACACAGACUUUUGUAGGAGCAGAUUCUAUGGAAAUUUCAAGGUCAUCAGGGGCUGUUUCCUCCUUUGGGCAUGAAUAACAGGCAGAUGUCUCCUCGGUUCCUGCACCAACCUCUUGAUCAUCAUAGCUUCUCCCACGGUUUACUGCUUGAAUAUAAAUCCUUGAUUGGUUAUUUCUAUGUACAAUUCAGUUGAUUCCAACAAUUUAGAUAAUUUGUCCUCCACCGAAAGCUCUUGUGGCACAUUAAGCCGCUCAAAAUACUGCCCAAGAUGCCGUUUCAAACUUUGAGUGUAGAACUCUGAAUGGGGAUUGUUCCAGUUCCAUUUUGAAUCGUUUCUCAUAUUUAUAUACUCCUGGACAUAAUCUGGAAAAUAUUCUCUCUCAGGACAUUGCAAAAUAUCAUGAGUAUUUGAAUUACAAAGAGCACAAACUGUAGGCUUAAAUCCAUAAUAACCCUUUUCUGCUAAUAACACCCAAAGAGGUGGUCCACCGGGUGUUAGAUUGAAUUCAGGGGGAACUGCAAAUUCCAUUGUUGCACUGCUAAAAAAGAAACAAAUUGUAACCUACCAACUUAACAAAAUCAGCAAUUAAAUAAAAAGAUAUAUACAAAAAUAAUUAACUAAGAGUUGUUGUAAUCUGAGAAAAAUAAAACAAAAAUGAAAAUUAAAUUUUUUUUUUAUAUGUAUAAACAACAAUAACUAAUUCAAAAAAUCUGAUUAGUAGGAAUUAUUUUAAAUAAUCCCCGGCAACGGCACCAUUUUCUUGAUAGGGAUUUACUACUCAUGUGAACAGGCUUAAAUCUCCUAUUUUACUUGCAAGAAUCAUAAGGUUAUUGUAGUAUAAACGGAUCUCGCCAGGUCGUCUCCACAGGGAUUAUUAAAUAAUUCAAAACUAAUCAGAUUCCAUUUAAUUAUUGUCAAGUAGAAAUUGAAGUGAUUGAUUUUAUAACCUAAUUAAAAUAAAAACGAAAUUAAUGAAUUAAAAUAAACAAUAUGCAAUAUUAGAGCUAGAGAGAAAAUAAAACAGUUUUGGGAGAAUCAAAUUAAGAAAGCACUAGGGUUCCACCAUCACCUAGCAAUCCUAUGAAUUUUUACCAAUUACUUAUGAUCUACACAUGCCACUUUGAAGGUUAGAUUUUCCUAAUUCAUAUUCUACUUGGAACCUCCAACAUAGAACGUAUAUCUAACAUGCAACCCGUCCGGACGUUCGGAUCAAAUCUGAACAUGAAAGAUUCAUUAUGCUUUAUGAAAAUCCUUUGAAAAACCAUGCAAUCCUUAAGACGUGAUAUUCAUCCUAAGUGAAAUUACAAUUAUUAAUCACAAGAAGCCAGCGUCAAUUUCAGGGAACCUUCCGACCAAAAUUGCAUCAAAUUAUUUUUCUAAAGAUCCUAAUGGUGAUCAGGCAUUAAGACAAUUAGAUAGUUUUUAUCCCGGUGAUUAACAAUUCAAAAUAUGCAUGCAAUCAAUCAUAAGCAAUUAAAUAAAAAUCACAUAUUCAUGCUAAGGCUCAAGGCUUCGCCCUAGCAAAAGAAAUUAGUUCAGCAUAUUCAUAAUUGAAAUCAUAGAAAAUAUUCUUAAGAAAAGGAUUGAAAACACCUUCAAGUAGAAAAUCUCCAAAACCCUAGUAAUUCUCUAUGUCUCCAAAGUUGCAUAAAAUAAAGCGUAAAGAAAUAUGGUAGACGGCCAAGCAAUAUAUUUGCUAAAUCCCCUCACAAACCCUAAAAACAGGUCCUUUCUUCCCACUAGGAAACUAAUAAUAAUAAAAAAAUAAAAUAGGAAACAUAACCCUAAAUUAAAUGGUGAAAUUCGCCUAAAAUCUGAACACCCACGUUUUUGACUCAUAAGCUGCUCCAAAACUGGCCCAAUAUAGCUGGAUUUAAUGUUUGGAAUAUUCUGAACACUUCUCCAGAAGGCCAAGAACCCAUCCGAGGUUAUCUUGGGCUCCAAAAACGCCAUUUAAGCCCAAAAACGUCAUUUUCACUGCACACUGCUUCUUUAUUCCAUCGCCAGAAAAUAACCGCUUGGUAAAAAAAUCCCAAAUUUUGAUACGAUCAAGCUAAGUGACUCAUGAACGUCCUCCAACUGGAAUUACUCCAAAAGUCGUCCAUUUCUUCCUAUUUUACUCCAGAGGAAGUCGGAAGUCCUAUAUUGAAAAUACAAUUCAAAGUAUCAAAAUUCUUCCAAUAUAUUAACCAAAAUAUACUAAGAUUAGGGUAAAAUAUAUAAUAUAAAAUCUCCUCAUCACCUGCCAUGCAAAAGAAACAAGAAGAGAAGAAUGCAGACUGCACAAUCAAAUCAACCCAGUAGAAAGAGUCUAAUUUGAAACCAAGGAACUCUCAUAUUCCUCGCUCAGAAUUCCAUACCAGUUCAAGAUCAAAGCCGUGGAAAGUCAACAAGAUCAUCUAUCUCCAAAACCAGAUUUGCGUUCUUAAACUCUACUCUAUCUGGUUUUUACUUUGCCGUACUUGCCAUGUUUAUUCGUUGUUUUUUUGUUUGCUUGUUUUUGUGUCAGUUUAUGCUUGAAACAUUGAGGACAAUGUUUGAUUUAAGUGUGGAGGGUUAACCAAGUUGUUUUGCAUGAAAUUCGUAGGACUUUAUCACCCAUUACUUCUAGUGUUGUUCCUUGCUAUUUUUAAGUGUUUUUAAGCUGUUUUGGAGUGUUUUAGUGUGUUUUGACAUAAAAAUCAGAAAAUCUCAUAAAAAUUUGAAAAAUUGUUUUGAAAAACCCAAAAAGAGUUUUUUUGUGUGUUUGUUUGUGUCUUAGGGUACCUUCCAACACAAUGAUGAGGAUUUGGUUUUAAUUACAUGACUGUUAAAGAGAGUUAUAAACAUGGAUGAAAAUUUGAUUUACUCUUUGGUGUAUGCUUGGUUGUGGUUAUAAUUUAUGAAUUCACAUGCAAUCAUAAAGGAAAAAUCAGUUUUUGUAACAUGCUUGAAGGAAGGAACUCAAAUGAACGCUACAACCUUGUGAGACUUGAGCCUAAACGUUCAUUUGGAGAGUUAAUAAUCUGUGCACCAUUGUGUUCUAAAGUCGUUGCAUGAUCUCAUUAUUCUUUGCUUGGUUGCUAUUUAGAAGGCUUUCAUCAUUUAGUUCCAAAUGCUAGAACUCAUGCCUAUUUCAUUCAAAGCAUGCUAUUGAUUUGCAUAACACAUAUUCAAGAUAAAGUUGUGUAGUGACCACCAAAGCCAAAUUGUCGUGCCCCUAUUUCAUUAUGUGUUUAAGUUUAACCCCGUUGAGCCUUGUUAAGCCUAUGUUAUUUGUUAACCCACACUAUCCUUACUUAGCCUAGUUUUAGGACCAUCCAUACCCUUGUUCUUGAAGCAUAGUAAAGCAUUGUUGGAGAUAUGCCCUGAAAGUCAAUCUUUGGAAGAAACCUUUCAAGACAAUGAAUGGAUGUAUGGAUGAUUCUUAUACAUCAAAUGGCAAAGAUACUAAUUAGGACUAUCUCUAUGAACGAUAUAUGUCCUAAAUAGUGAAUCCAUGGACAAUGGAUUGAUGGAAGAAGUAAUCUAAUGAUGUUAGACUAUAGAGACAUUCUUCACAUAACCAUCAUGUCCAAAAAGGUUCCUGGUCAUAAGAUUGUCGGAGGGAUACUGACAAUGCAUAGACCGGUACAUACUAUGUCUGCUUCAAUUAGAAGGAUGGAAAGUCUCAUCCCAUUCGUGUAGUGACACUAAGACAAGUAUGUAGGUGCUCAUUAAGGGAAUGAGUUCAUUGAACACAAUCGAACGAGAGUACUUGCAUGGAGGUCUACUCACAUGUCAAGCAAGUAACUCUAAUGGUUGGAAUAGUGUAAGUAGUCCUUUGACCUGAGGCAUCAUCGUUGUCUUGUGGUUAAGUACUUGAUCUUUGAUUAUGUCAAAGUCACUCCAUCCGCGGGUGUCCACGGCAUAGUCGGGGUUAAGCCACUUAGUCAUGAAGGCAAGUGAAUGUUCAACAAGGAAUCUCUAAUCCUCGUUAUGAGAGGAUGAAUACUCUAAGAUAUGGUUCGGGGUUUGACAUCAUAUAACAUGGAAUAAUCACAUUAGGGGUUUGACAUAUUAUAUCCAUACCCUAGUGAUGUGAUUGAGAGUAUUGUUUUAGAGAAGGAUCGAAUUGCAUUGUAAUUCCAACUGAAUAGGUUCUCCGAACAACUUCUACAUUAGCUUGGGUAGCCAUGAUAUAUGGUUAGAUGUCACUCAUGGCUUGUGAGUUCUUCUAGAUGAUUAAAUGUAGUCAUCAAAGAAGAAGGUGAAUUAAAAGUAAGUUUUAAUUCACUAAGUGAUUGGAUUAAAUAUAAUCAAUUGGAUUGGUGCCAAUCACCUCACUGCCUUGCUAAUUAGAACCUAAAAUGAUUGUUCACCAAUACACUCUUGUAGUGAGUAACUAAUGGAUGAUGGAAAUAAUUAAUUGGAUUAAUUAGAAAGUCUAAAGAAAUCAUAAAAGCGAUAUAAGAUCGUUUUGGGCUUAAAGAAACGUUCGGGUUAAUUGGGCCCAUUGGGCCUAAACCCAUUGGGCUUUUAUUCAAGCAUUGGAUGACUUGAAAUAAAUAAAAGCCCAAAAGCCCAAAAAACACUAAGGGGGCCGGCCAUAUAGAGUGAAAAGGAGAGAUAGGAAGUCAAGUUGUUGGCUAGGUUUCUUUGUGUUAUAAAAGGAACUUUAUAGUGAAAAAGUUCAUUAGGGUUUUGUGUGUUGUUUUUCACAAAAGGAAGAAACCAUCUCUCUCUCUCAAAACUCACACAAGGCCGGCCACCAUAAGGGUGAUUUAGCUAAUCAUUUUCUCACCCUUUUGGUUAUUCCUUCAUCCUUCUCACUACACUAGUGGGUGAGGAUCUUUAGAGGUUUUCAAUUUUGGAAACUUGAAGAGAACCUAGGAGCACUCAUUCUAAACAAAGUGGAGGAGGCAAGGAAGGAGGCUAGGCUCAAGGAGUUCAAGGAGCAAAGGUCUUGGAGGUGGUCCAUCCUUGGUCUAAGAUCUAGAUCAAGAGGUAUAAAACUACUCCUAAACUUUGUUCUUUUAUAUGAAUUUGUUUUUUAUGCAUCUUACAUAAACCUAUGCAUCUUGAAGGGGAUUUGCAUGACUAGAGCUUUGAUAUUAUUUGAUAACAUGCUUCCGUUGCUUUCGUAUAUAAAUCUUGAAUUGUAUAUGCAUGCUAGUCACUAGAAAUCCCACAUGAAAUCUCAUAAAUUUCCCUUCAAGCAUGACUUAAAAUGAACUCCUUUUUUUAUCAAUGUAUUGCGGAAAGCAAGUGUGGGGGAAGUGAUUCUUGUGUGUGUGUGUGCCAAAGUCCUUAAUAAGGCAUGGGUAGAGGAAAAAAAAAAGUAUGAAAAAGAGCUCUAAAGUGUUGUUUGUUAAAAAAAAGGUCCAAAACAUUGAAUUCGGCCCUAAGUGUUGCAUGAAUCUUCCCUUUGUAUUUAAAAGUUGAUUCUGCAUUCUAAAGUGAAUUGCAAGUGUCUAUUUUGCUUUGCUUGCUAUCGCUUUAAGAACGUUUGUUAUUCCUAUCCUUUCUUUGUUAGCCAUUACCCCCAAGCCCUGUUACAACCCUUAACUUCAAUCUUGAGUGUUGUAUGUUUCAAUUUGUGGAGUUUGAAAUUGGUAUGAGCAUAUGGUGUCACUGGUUCUCGCAUCUAAGUAGUAGCAUUCCAUUCAUGAGAUCAUAUCUAAACAUGCUUAAUAACUCCAUAAAAUUGCUUUCUUUGUUAUAACUUAUGUGAGUCCUAGUCUUUCGUGUUUACAUCAAUCUUCUCACAUAUAACUAGUGUAGGGUGUGUAGUCAGAAAAUGUGUGUGAAAAUAGAGAGUAUCUUGUAAGGAAUUGAGCAAAUUCUCUAAGGCAUGUUACUACAUUCAAACAUCGUUUUAAUUGGUUAAUUAUGAACUAGUAAGUGGUGACUGUGAUUAAGUAUGUGUUCAAGUAUGAAGAUGACCAAAAUCUGUGGGAAUGAUGAUUUUUAACAUGUCAUGUGCAUUGGAAAUCCCUGAGGAAAAUGUUGGAAGGUUAGGUUGUGUUUUGUUUGUUUUGUUUCGUUUUGUUUUGCUCGAGGACUAGCAAAAGCUAAGUGUGGGGGAAUUUGAUAGGAGCAUAUUUAUGCGACUUAGUUAGCUUGUUCUUGUGCAUUUAUGUUGUUAUUUCUUAGUUGAUUUAGUAUUUCAAGCCAUUUUUGUGUGGUUGUAGGUACAAAGGGUUAAAGAGGCAAAGAAGUGCAUUUUGGUGCCUUUUGGAGCAGUUUUGGGCAUGGAAUGGAUAUCACAUGCAUGGAGCAAAAUGGUUGGACGAAAUUAAAGAUCUAAAGAAGCUAGGAAUGUGGCAAGGAAAGGAAGAAAAUAAAUUGAGGACCAAGGAAGACAAGGAAACCAUUAAGAAUGAGGAAAGACUAGUCAAACUUGCCUUCUCUUGUCUUUACCUUUCCUAAUCCUAAAUUACCAAAGAUUUAGUCACACGAAGGGUUCCUAAAUACUUUGGGACAUUUCAUUACAUAUUCUACAAGUCCUAGACCUACCCUAAAAGUCCAAGCCAUACCAUCCUUCACCAUUCAUCUUCCUUGCCGUGCAAGGGAACCAUUCCUUUCCUAUUUUCUACCAUAAAUCACUCCAUUUUACCACCCAUGCCGUGCACCACCCUUGUCUCCUUCAUUAUUUCUGAUUUCAUGCACCAAAACAUUGAAUCAUUGCACUCAAUUACUGCACAUUCCUUGUCCCCUUCACCCAUCAGAUUUCAUACAAAUUUUACCUCCACUACAUGCACUCAUUGAUGCACCAUCCACCACAUUUGGAAUCCCAAGUCGUGCAUCAUGAGUCUUGCUGCACCUUUGACUCAUUUCUGCACCAUUCCACCUCCAUUUCCUUUCUAUACCAUUUGCACAAUCAUUUAUGUUCCCUACUUGCAUUCAUAGCUGCAACACCACUCCAUUUUACCCCCCAUGCUUUGCAUCAUCACUUCACUUUCACCUUUGAAUCAUUUCAAACACCACUCCAUGCACUCAUUGCACACACCACCAAUUUCCCUCCAUUGCCGUGCACUUCCUCUGUAAAAGGAAGUGUGUGUGCCAGCCAUAUACUUCAGUUUUUGCUUGAUCAUUCAUCCCCCAUUCAAUACAACCUUCAUUCAAACACAUCCAUUCAUCUUCACAUCCAUUCCUCCAUACAAACAAACCUUCAAACACUCACCAACACCUUGUGCCAUAGCAAAGGAAGGGAAGGAAAGUUCUUGGACGUGCUUGCUAUCCAACUUGGAUCGUUGGAGCGUUUAAGUGUUUUCUUUCUUUUGUUUCCAAUGUUUAAAUUCAUUUUCUUUCGUUUUGUGGUGAACAUGAGUGGCUAAACCCCUCUUAGCUAGGGGUGAUUUCAAAGCCAUGAUUAUGUGUGUAAUAUGAUUUGAUAAAUUCCAGUUAUGAACUCUUGAAUAGUGAAUGCAAUUGGCUUAAGUAUUUAAUUGAUAACUUAUUUGUAUUUGUUGAUUAAGGGUGGACACUUAAUUGGCAUGCAUAAAUCCGAUGCUAGAAUAUAAGAAAGUUUCUCAUAAUCUUUACAAACUUAUAUUGAUAAGUAGUGGAGGUCGCUUAUAAACGAUCGCAUUAAGUUUAAUUCUAGCAUGAGUGACAUGAUGUCAUAGUUGCAAGUGCUUUGUCAAUGCUUAUGAUUUUUAAUAAACGUAAUGAUCUUUGAUUGUAUCUCUAUUAUGAUGUUAUGUAGGGAACUUUUGAAGAAUGUUUUGGGUUGUCAAAUGAUGUCAUCCAAUCCAACAAAACAAGGAAAAUCUGAGGGUUAACUAGUGAUGUCACAAUUAAUUUGGGGCAUUGUCGUUCAUAAUUCAAUGAAGUAGUAACUGGAAAUCGAGUUGUUUGCAUACAUGUCAUGUGUGGAGAAAAAGCCUCUAGCUAUCCCAUCCAUCAUCUUAUUUCUCAAAUUUAUUUUAUAAUCUGUCUAGUUUUUCAUACUUAUUUGUUUGUUUCAACUUCAUCCAAAUCAAAACCCCCCCUUUUAGUUGUGUUUUUAAGUGUUUUGAUUCAAGUAAAAGUCAAUUUUCGUCCAAAGUCAUUCCUAGUGUCUAGUUUAAGUUUAUUUGGUUGUUUUAAGCUGUUUUGAGUAUUUUAAGUUUGCUUUGAGUCUUGUGAGUCUUGUUAAGUUUUUUUUAAGUUUAGUUUUAUGUUUUUGAGUCAGUUUAGAGGUUAUUAGCCAGCCCUCCUAAUCCCCGAUCCAGAACGAUCCCUACUUAUACUUAUACUACAAUUGUCAAAAGAGGGUUAAAUUUGUGUGUGGUGUUAGUUUUUGCAUCAGUAGACAACGGGCAUGACUCUUGAGCCCACCAUGACUUUGAUCCCUUAUGAAGGAACCACAUCGUUGUUUCAACCCAUAGUUCCGCUAGAAUAUUCCCUUGUCGUUGCAUAAUGCAAAAAGUAUUUUCAACAUGCUCAAUCCAAGCCUCAAAAAACUUGGGUCCUUUGUUGCCAAAGAAAUUAUUUAUCUGAAGAUGGGAUGCGGUCUCUAAGGUAGUCCCUUGGGGAGGACGAAUUGUUAACUGAAUGGCACUGGCGAUAACCUCACCGACCCAAAAGCAGGAACGUUUGUCUUAAAAGAGACAUGUGGCUUUUUACGAGGUGGCAUGAUUCUGACAUAAGAGACCAAAAAUUAUUAGGACUUAAAACACGUAUGAGGAAUUCAGGACUGCCAAAACCUAUGCUCUGAUACCAAACUGACACACCCCGAUAAUGCGAAAAUUAACUUAACACACAAAUUUAACCCUCUUUUGACAAUUGUAGUAUAAGUAUAAGUAGGGAUCGUUCUGGACCGGGGAUUAGGAGGGCUUGCUAAUAACCUCUAAACUGACUCAAAAACAUAAAACUAAACUUAAAAACACUUAACAAGACUCACAAGAUUCAAAGCAAACUUAAAAUACUCAAAACAGCUUAAAACAACUAAAUAAACUUAAAGUAGACACUAGGAAUGACUUUGGACGAAAAUUGACUUUUACUUGAAUCAAAACAUUUAAAAACACAAACUAAAACAGAUUUGAAACACUUUGAAACAAGAAACUAAAAGGGGGUUUUGAUUUGGAUGAAGUUGAAACAAACAAACAAGUAUGAAAAACUAGACAGAUUGUAAAACAAAUUUGAGAAAUAAGAUGAUGGAUGGGAUAGCUAGAGGCUUUUUUCUCCACACAUGACAUGUAUGCAAAUAACUUGAUUUCCAGUUACUACUUCAUUGAAUUAUGAACGACAAUGCUCCAAAUUAACCGUGACAUCACUAGUUAACUCUCAGAUUUUCCUUGUUUUAUUGGAUUGGAUGACAUCAUUCGACAACCCAAAACAUUCUUCAAAAGUUCCCUACAUGACAUCAUAAUAGAGAUACAAUCAAAGAUCAUUACGUUUAAUGAAAAUCAUAAGCAUUGACAAAGCACUUGCAACUAUGACAUCAUGUCACUCAUGCUAGGAAUUGAACUUAACGCGAUCGUUUAUAAGCGACCUUCACUACAUGUGAAUAUAAGUUUGUAACGAUUAUGUGAAACUUCCUUAUAUUCUAGCAACGGAUUUAUGCAUGCCAAUUAAGUGUCGACCCUUAAUUAAAAAAAUACAAAUAAGUUAUCAAUCAAAUAGUUAAACCAAUUUCAUUCACGAUUCAAGAGUUCAUAACUGGAAUUUAUCAAAUUAUAUUGCACACAUAAUCAUGGCUUUGAAAUCACCCCUAGCCAAGAGGGGUUUAGCCACUCAUAUUUACAACAAAACGAAAGGAAAUGAAUUUAAACAUUAGAAACCAAAAGAAAGAAAACACCUAAAUGCUCCAACGAUCCAAGUUGGACAGCAAGCACGUCCAAGCACUUUCCUUCCCUUCCUUUGCUACGGCACAAGGUGUUGGUGAGUGUUUGAAGGUUUGUUUAUAUGGAGGAAUGGAUGUAAAGAUGAAUGGAUGUGUUUGGAUGAAGGUUGUGUUGAAAUGGGAAUGAAUGAUCUAACCAAGUAUGAACUAAAUUUAUGUUACACACACUUCCUUCUAUAGAGGAAGUGCAUGGCAAUGGAAGGGAACAUGGAGUGGUGUAGCAAUUGAGUGCAAUGAUUCAAUGUAAUGAUGCAUGAAAUCUAAAAUGAUGGAGGGAACAAGGAAUGGUGUAGCAAUUGAGUGCAAUGAUUCAAUGUAAUGAUGCAUGAAUCUGAAAUGAUGGAGGGAACAAGGAAUGGUGUAGCAAUUGAGUGCAAUGAUUCAAUGUAAUGAUGCAUGAAAUCUGAAAUGAUGGAGGGAACAAGGAUGAUUAUGCAUGGCAUGGGUGGAAAGGUGAGUAAGUGGUGAAUCAAUGAGUGCAAGGAGGUGAAAGGAUAUUGUGCACAUGGUAGACAAAGGAAAGGAAGUGGAAUGAUGCAACAAAUGAGUCAAUGGAGGGAACAUGGAUGAUGAUGCACGACAUAGGAAUCCAAAGGGAGUGCAAUGGUGGUGCACGGCAAUGAUGGAAAGGUGAAUGGUGGAGUGACACCCCUUUGUGGCUGAGCUCUUUGUCCUUUUUACAUUAAUUCUUCUUUCUCUUUAACACAUUCCUAGCCUCUUUAGUCUUCAAUUCCGUCCAUCCACCUUGGUCCAUGUAUGUGCUAUUCAUUCUAACCCCAAAACUGCUCCAAAAUGCACCAAAAUGCAUCUUAUUCUUUAUAAGGCCUAUGGACCUACAAACACACGAAAUAACUUAAAAUACAUAAUUAGCUAAGAAAUAACAACAUAAAUACAUGAGAACAAGCUAACUCAAUCGCAUAAAUAUACUCCUAUCACCCGACCGGAGUCGAGGCAUGCUGGUCGACACCUGAAGGUGACGUAACCAAAAGGAAAGUGAUGCAUAAAAUAUGGAUAAAUUUAAGCCAAGCUAACAUUUAUUUAAGCUAAUAAAGAGAGUGUGCAGUAGUGGGUGUUGGAAAUGUGCCCUAAAGCUAAUCAUAUGAUGAUACUUUACGGACAUUUCACAUGUUAAACUAAUCUAGUUUACAUAUAAAGGGCAUAGAUUAUUAUUUGAGCUGUCUCAUAUAAAUGUUAUAUGCUUAAACGAUAAAGUCCAAGGAAUAUGCGAUUGGGAGAAUGUAAUCUAAUGAAGUUAGAUUCAUGAGACCAUUCUUUCGUAGACACAUCCUAAAUGUUCCUGAUCAUAGGAUUGCCAAUUGGGCAUUGACAGUCCGUCAAGAUCGGUACGUGCUAUGUCUUCUCUCAGGGAGAGUGACUAGUCUCGAGUCAUUGGUGUGUGUGACAUCAAGACAAGUACGUAGGUGCUUAGUAGAGAAUGAGUUCACUGAACGCGAUCAACGAAGAGUUCUCAUACUCAUGUCACAUGAGAACUCAUGGUUGGGAUAAUACAAAGUAGUCAUUUGACCUGAGGCAUCACAGUUGUCUUGUGGUUAAGUCCUUGAUCUUUGAUUAUGUCAAAGUCACCCCAUCGGGGUGUCCAUGGCAUCGUUGGGGUUAAGCCACUUAGCCAUGGAGGCAAGUGAAUGCGCAACAAGGGAUCUCUAACCUUCAAACUGUUUGAGGGAGAAUACUCUAUGAUAUGAUUUAGAAUCUCUGGCCAGAGUAUGAAUGAGAUUUAGAAAAGUCGUUCUAAAUCACAUUCAAGGAAAUCAUAUAAGCACACGAAUCACAUUGGAUAGUAGACAUGAACAUAUAAACUAUCAAACCAAAUAAUGUGGUUAAGAGUAUUAGAUUAGAGAAAGACCGUAUUGCAUUUGUAAUCCCAAACUGAAUAGGUUCUCUAACCUCUUCUGAUUAGCUUGGGUAACCAUGAUAUGCUGCUAGGUGUCACUCAUGGUUUGUGGAAGCCCUAAACGUGUGUAAUCACUAAAGGGAGAAUUGAAAGUAAGUUUCAAUUCACAAUCGAUAUAAAAUGGUUUUAAUCGCCCACUGCCUCGCUAAAAGGAACCUAAUGGAUCGCACACCGUGUAAGGUGGAGAUUGAAGAAACAAUGGAGAUGAGUAAGAAUGAUUAAAUGGUUUAAUCAUUUAUUUAUGGCAAGGAUUAAUUAAUAUGUUAAUUAAUCAAACGAAUAAGUUCGUUAAAGACCUCGGGAUAGUUUUGGACAUUAAGGCCCAAUGGGCUUCGAACGUCAAGCCCAUUGACUUAAGUUGUAUGACAACUUAAUGAAUAAUGAUUCACAAAGGCCUAAUUAGCCCAAAAAUACCCUAGGACCGGCCAUGAUGCUAAGGGUAGUGAACUUGGACUUAUUUACAAGUUUGCCACUCAAAUGAAUAAAGGUAUAAAUAUGACUUUAUAGCCUAAAAUUCAUUAGGUUUUGUUUUGGAGAAAAUUGGUGAGAACUUGUCUCUCCAUUUCUCUCUAAAGAGGCCGGCCACCUUGGGGGGUGCAUCUUGCAAUCCCACUACUCCAAGGUCACUCAUUUCUUCUCCAAUCUCUCCUUGGUGAAGAGACUUAGAGGUUCUCAAUUUUGGGAACUUGGAGAAACCUCUUCAUCCAUCCAAAUCCAUAGAUUUAAGAUGCAAGGAAUGAAGGCCCUCUCUUUGGGUGAUUAGCCUUUGCUUAUACAAAGAGGAAUCUACAAAGGUAUAAAUUUCAACUCACUUUGUUUUGAGUUGAGUUUUGGUUCACCAAUCUACUAGGCUUUGAAUUUCAUGGUUAUUGUUUUGUUUUUAAGUGCAUGCAAGCAUGAUUCCGCCUUUAAUUGUUAAUUGCAUGCUUAUUGAUGUUGCUUAAAUGAACAUGUUUUCACAAAAUAUUCCUUCAGUGGGAAGAACCCAUAAAACAUAAGUAGUGAGAGCAUAGAUGACAGUACGACCUAAGUAGAGUAGUCGAAACUAGUUAAGGUACUUAUUAAACAACCAGAAAUAAGCUCCUAUAUUUAUUUAUGAAAAUGUCAGAACCGCCAGAGAUCCCUCGUACGCCACAGAGAAUUCAGCUAACUAAGUCCUAGAGGAGAGAAAAACAAAAGGUGUGAGUGGGAAAAAACAAAGGUUUAUAAAACACAGUUAUUUUUUGAACAUACUAACCCUUCGCCGUAAAACAAGUAUAGUUUUUAGAAAAUCAUACUACAUAUAAGUAUGAACUCAAAUGUAAUUCAACAAAAAUCCAAGAAAUACAAAAAUCACAAUAUCUCAACUGUAGCAUAAGAAAUCAAGUGCUUAUCAAUCUAUGUUAACACAGGAGUUCAUGCAGAGGAAUUCUGACAUGAACAGGACUAGGUGUAAUCAUAAUAUACGCUCUAGUACUACAAUCACGUGAAGAUUGGCUCUAGGCGCAUCACAUACAAGUCCUAGUUGUUUAUUGCAACCCAGGACAGGACUGGCACCUACAAUGGAUCUAGGGUGAGCGUGCGGUGUGAUGUGAACGUACACGUGAAGCUUGGCCCUGGCCCGGGGCAAGUACUACAUCGGUACAAGCAUGCAUGAUGAGCAAGUAUAAUGUAUAUGAACAUGCCAUGACAAUAUAUAAAUCUCAACAAUAUAAUAGUAUUUUUAAACUUAAAUAAAUCAUGGCAUGAUAGGCAUAAUAUCAAUCCAAAAGUAUUUGUGGAAACUAUAAAAGUUUAUAUAUAUAUAUAUAAAACGAAUGGCCACUCCUUGAUACGUAGUCGGAUCGUGGCCUCCUAGCCUUGCUUGACCUCAUACCUAGGGAUAAUUCUCUCUUAUAUGUGAAAGAACUAUAGUAAUUAAUUAAAUAGGACAUACACUAAAAGGCUAGGAAAAUCUCCCAUAGUUUGCUCAAAUGGAGGGUUUAAAUAUAUGAAAACAUUCUACUUGAUGUCACGGAGCCGAACACGUUGACCACGCGCCACCAGGUCACUAUCACAUGCGCGCUGGCCACGCGCCUGCAUGCGCUGGCAGAUCCUAAGGAAUAUUUGGUUAGAUUUGAUGAAAUAUUCCGUUAAAUCUAAUGGGGUCAAUUAAUACCUUAACGGCAUAAGAAUAUUCCAUCAACUUAACAAAAUUUUCAUCCUUCUUCUUCAUUAGACCUCUGCCGCCGUCUGGUUCCUUGGAAUUGGAAAAUUUUGCUGAGAUUUUGUAAAAACUUUACAACUUCAUGACUUUCUCGUUUCUCAACCAUUUUCAACGUACUUUAUAUGGAAAUGAAGCUUGGGAAGAGAAGAACAAGAUUGUACCUUUUAAAAGUCCAAAAGGUGGAUGGAAAUGGAAUGAAAAUAGCUCGAAAGUCUCGGACCUCACUCCAACUUCCCAAAGCCACGUCUUUACACGUUGGCUUGACUUCAAACUUAGGCUAGGGACUCCAAGGAGUUGUGUAGUUGCAUGUAGGCCAACCAAAACCUUGUAACUUGAACGAAAAGUCAUCGGAGAACUUACACCCAAGUCGGAGCUCCUAGCUGGAAGCUCAAAACUGAAUCAUUUUAGAAUUGGUUCAUACAGAUGGACUCAUGGUGAUGAGGGGAGUACGAUGGUGGUGGUUUGAGGUCCGAUUAGUGAGGUUUGAUAAUGGUUCUUAGUGGUUGCAGAGGGAAGAGACACACAACCUGAAAGAGAGGGAAGGGGAAGAAGAGAGAGAGAAAGAAAAAAAGAGACAGUUUCUGAUUGGCUGAAAAGGUGAGGGAUGUGAAGUGAUUGGUGAGUGAGUAUGGUCAUGGGACAAAUUUAAAAAGAGAGAAGGUGAUAAGAUUUGGUACAAUGUAAAAUUACACACUCCGACUAACCUUAUCAAAAACAGUAUUACCAACUCUAAAUAAUUGGCACAUGCGUGAACAAUUUUACCCGUUGUUAACGCAAUUUAACUAAGCGUAACUUUUUCGUUACAAAUCCAAUUCGGGUCUAACUUGUGCUCCUGCAUUCAUAACAAUGAGUACAAUUUAAUUACGAUAAUAGGAAAAAUAAAUUUAAAAUUACGUCCACAUCAGUUUCUUCUUUGCCAAAAAGGGCAUACUCGUCAUAGUACACACUCGGGAAGGAAAUUACAUAGAAAAUUAGGGACGGGUCGUCACAGGUGAAGUAAUUGUUAGACACUUUGCAAUUUUUUGCCUAUGAGAAAUACAAAUGGAGGAAAAUAAUGAAACUACGAGGAACAACCCUCUUAGUAUGCAAAGGUAUGAGGAUCAGAUGGUUCUAAGUGUGGAGCAAAAAAAUAAUCCCAAAAACCAUGGAGCUGACAUGUAGAUUAUUUCUCAAAAAGGACAAGACUGUCCUUAUUAAAUGAGCAAGGAGCAAUGCACAACUGAGGUAGAGAUCAACCACUGCUCAAGGCACCCAUGCCUGUAGGAAAAGUCAAAUGUAUUUAUGAUAGAAUAAUUCCAUAUUCUUAAUAUAAAUACAUUCCUAAUCAAAGAAGACUUCUUUCAAGUAAGUAAUCCUAAUUCCAUUUAUUUAAGAUAUUUACCUAAUUACUCCAAGAUAUUUAUUUACACAAAUAUCUUGAAAUAUCCCCACUCACCCUAGGGCUAGCCACCCCUAAACCCUAGAGGCCCGGCCAACUUUCUCCUUCUCUCUUAUAAAUACCCACUUUAUCUCCAAAAUUUAGGAGAAUUUUUGCUACCGACAAACUCCCAAACACAUUCUAGGAUUUGUGUAGUCUUCAUAUAAAUUUCCACUGAUUGUAAUGAGUUUCAUUAUGUUAAACUAAUCUAGAUGCCAUGGAUGGUUGACUAUUGGACUAUACGUAAUAAUUUAGAUGCCAUAGAUAUUACAUGAGUUAGGGAAAUUUGGAUAUCAAUGAGAUUGAGUACUUGUUAAUAAAUUACUGCAGAAAAUAAGUUGGAUUGGUUAUGGUGAGUCGGACGCUCUAGUGCUUUACUCGACUAAAUUAUAAUUUGCUUUCUUGGCUACAACGUUUUCCGUUGUUUUCAAACAUUUUUGUCUUCAUUUGUUUUUACUAUUAGUUUCAAUUUUGAAAUCCAUCUUUCAUCAAUAUUUGUUAAAUUUGACUGACUUUGCAAUUGGAUUUAAGUUAGUUGAUAAGAAUUAAAUUAAUUUAUGUGGGACGAGAUUAAGUGCUUUCUUUCUAUACUAUGGAAAGACUCGUAUGCUUGCGAGCAUAAAAUUUGGAACUAAAUUGGACUGAUUUGGGAUUAGUUUAAUUUUCGCAACAAAACCUCAUCUCCCAACCGACCUAAAGAUCUCGACAGAUUACCUACCUACAAAUAAAGAAAUAAUCUUCAGAGAGACCCAAAUAGAUAGGAAACAUUUACUUAGAACUUAAAGACUGAUUCUUGCUUCAUUUGUCUUGCAGUUCGAUGUUAAGUUUGAGGGAACGUGGUGGAAUAAAACUGCUACUCUUACUUGGCUAUGAGGCUUUGAAAAAAAAAAAAACAAAAAAUUGUUUUGUAAAAUUACUUUAAUGCCCAUUUUUUUUUAUUUUUUAAAUAUUUUCUUUCAAUUAUAUUUUAAAGAAUAUAAUUGUUAUUUCAUUAGAUUCUUGUCGACAAAUGAAAUUCUAUUAAUCUAUCUAUAUCUCUAUUAGUUAAUGAAACCCUUUUUGUUAACCAAAAGAAAGUGAAAAGACAACUUGUCUUCUAUAACAAAAAAAAAUGAUGGGCAAUAAUGUAAUUUCACAGAGCCAAAUUUUACUUUUUUAUUGAAGCCUCACCUAUAGGUGAUGUUAAAUUAUCUCUAAUAUUUAAAAUUAAAAUCUCUAAUAUUUAAAAUUAAAAAAAAAAAAAACAAAAACAAAAACCUCCCACUUACAUUCUCUCUCUCUCUCUCAUCUUCUAAAAAAAUGUGUUCAUACACACAAAGUGAAUAUAUAACUGCCCAAAAAACAGGGUCAAAAAUGUAAUAUGAUGCAGCAAAAAAGUGGAAUUUUCCGCUAGGAAAAAUAUACGGACCCAUCUCAACAACGAGAAUUCCCAACCACUGGAUGAAAAUACCAACACUUUGAAUUCAUUGUCACCCUUUAGAUUGUUUAUCCUAUAACUACUUCGUCACCAUUAGAAAAACAAGUAAACAAAUAAAAAAGGUGAAAUCCAAAUUAGCUGGAAACUCCCCCCACACAUCCACACAGUCCCAGCGGUUAUCGGAGAUGGAACCACAAUUAACUCCACGUUCUCGAUCCCCACAGUGCAUACUAUGGAGCCAAAAAUAAUCCCAAAAAUUCUAGUGGUGACAUGUGGACUUUUAUUCAAGAAUGACAAGAUUGCCCUUAAUAAAUGGGCAGGCUUCUUAGAUUCUCCCACGCGCAGCUCACAUCCUUGAAGGACUCAGCAGCUGAACACCACUGCCCAUAGCUCACCUGCCCAUGGCAAGGAAUUAAAGAUAAGGAUUAAUUACCCAAAUCCUAUCUUUAAUACAUUUCUAAUUAAAGAUUGACUCCAAUCAAGUAAGUAAUCCUAAUUUAAACCAAUUAAGGAUUAUUACCCUAUUAUCUCAAGAUAUUAUCUCCUAUUAAAUAUCUUGGGAAUAUUUAGAGAAUAUCUUCUCCAUUUAACUCUUUAUGGCCUGCCCUAGCCCUAUAAAUACUCCAUAUUCUACCAAUUUCUUAGAGCUUUGGACAACCCUAAAAAGCCUCAAAACACUUUACUCUCUUAGAUAAACUAACUUAGGCAUCGGAGAUCUGUUGACCUAACCACCCCCACCUCGUGGGCGCGUGAGGCUUAGGUCUCUGAUCAAAGGUGUUAAUUGUUUUGCAGGUGCAUUUUCGUCAAGACUAAAGACGGAGGAAAUUUGCAUCCACAAAUUGGUGCUUUCAUUGAGAGUUGAUUCAACAUACUCGAAGAAGCCUCUCGCAUUUGGUUCUUGAAUUUUCUGUUAUGUUGAAUUUCUCACACGUGGUAUCAAUUAAUUUUUCCUAGAAAAGUUUCUUGAUCAAUCCCUGGAGAAAGGAUACAAUGGUAGAAAAUUAAGAAACUAUGACAAAUGGAACACCGUACGUGCCAAGAUUUGGACUGGAGAGUGGAUAUAAGGACAUAGCCCUACGACGGAAUUCCUCAAGGCUCAACACGACAGCAGGAGGAACCCUACCGCCGCGAAUCCGUGUCACCAUCGUUACCACCGUGACGUAGCAACCACGGUAAGGCCACCAGGCCACAACACCAUUUCCACCUAACCCUAGGCAACCAAACCCUAGGUAGGAGGCCCAGGUCCAUUUCCAAGCCCGUGGGCAGGAGGCCCAGAACUUGGCAGCUACCACAUCGAGCCCUGGGCAGGAGACCCAGCCCAAUGCAACAACUGGCCUUGUCACAUAGCAGGCCCAAACCCGAGCCUAGAAUUCGGUAGUUGUUGCUAGCCAAGCAGCUUAGCGGGCCUAAGCCCAAGCCAUUCAGCCAACCGGCCAAGAUGUGGUCGCCCAACGGCCAUGAGGGCCCAGGAUCAUGCAGAUCCAAGGACUGGCCCCUAUGGGCUCAAGCUUUGUACCUGCAAUCUACUAUACUUCCACCACACAUGGAGACGCCCAUCAUCCAGGCUUUUCCAAUCCAAAUGGCGAGCACCACCUGCCCCAGUCGGUCACCAAUUUAAAGAAUGCCCUCGCGCAGCAGACCACCUUGGUGAACCAGCUCCUCGAGCGCAUCGAGAUGCAGCGCGCCCCAGACGAGGUGUCCCGAAGGCGAAAGAACUUGACUCAUUCCAACGACGUCCUGGCAAAGAGACGCUCAACCAGCCAAGAACUGAGCGUUCGGGUAGUGUAGACUCUCGUUUGGGCCCUUGGGGAAUUUCUUCUCCCACUUAGUGAAGGAAAAAAUUUGUCCUCGCUAAUAACAUGUGAGAAUAUUUGAACACAUAUGCAAACUAUUAACACAUUAAAGUAGGCAUGCAUUAAAAAACAAUUCUAAAACCCAUGACUUUCAAAGCCUAGUGAAUGGUGAACCAAGAGACUCUUUAACAACAUUAAAGAGAAAGAAGGUUUCAGAGAUUCAUUACCCUUGAAGCUCAUCCUUGUUUACACAAGGGAUUCACCCAAGUGGAGGGCCUUCAAGUCACCUCCUAGCUCCUUGGAUCUUCCUUGUGAUUUCCUUCCUUUUGAUGCUCCUUUACUCCUUGAGGAUGUGAGGAAAGGAUCUCCAAAAACACCAAAGAUUUGGUGUCUCUAAGUCUCCACACCAAGGAUGAGGUGUGAAGAUGAAAUGGAUGACUUAGAGAAGAAAAGAUUGCUAGCUAAAUCUUCCCUAUGUGGCCGGCCGCCUUGUAGAGAAAAGAGAGAAAAUGUUUCACCUCUUUGCCUCAAAGAAAACCCUAAUGAGAAAAUAGCUAUAAAGUUAACUUUAUACUACAUCACAUUUGAGUGGCAAACUUGUAAUUAAUUCAAGUUUGCAUCCACUCACCCUUAUGCCCGGCCUUGUCUUUGUCAUUGGGCUAAUUGCCCUUUUUUUUUAGUUGUCAUACAACUUAAACAUAAUGGGCUUUGUGGGCCAAAACACUUUUGGGCCCCGAAACCCAAAACUAACUUAAAAGCCCAAUACGAACCUUUCGUAAAAUUAAUUAACUAAUUAAUUAAUCUUCACCAUUCUCAAUUAAACCAUUUAAUUGCUUAUCCAUCUCAUUUAUAUAUCUUCACUUUCAUCCUUACUCGGUGUACGAUCCAUUAGGUUCCAAUUAGCGAGGCAGUGGGGGAUUGUUACUCUUAAUGAUCGAUUGUGAAUUGAAACAACAUUUCAAUUCUCCCUUUGUUGAAGAUUAGUGUUUGCUAAUCUUCAGGGCUUCCACAAACCAUGAGUGACACCUAGCAGCAUGUCAUGGCUACCCAAGCUAAAUAGAAUUGGUUGGAGAACCUAUCCAGUUACAAUUUCAAUGCAAUACGAUCCUUCUCUAAUACAAUACUCUUAAUCACAUUGUUUAAGUGAUAGUUUGUUUCAUGUCUACUAUCCAAUGUAAUACAUAUCUAUAUGAUUCAAUUGAAUAUGAUUUGGAACAUACUUCCUAAGUCAUAUUCGUAUGCUUUGGCCAAAGACUCCCGAAUCAUAUCUUAGAGUAUUCUCCUUCCACUACGGAAGGUUAGAGAUCCCUGGUUGUGCAUUCAUAUGUCUACAUGACUAGAUAGCUUGACCCCAACAAUGCCGUGGACACUCUCGAUGGAAUGCCUUUGACAUGAUCAAAGAUCAAGGACCUAACCAUUAGACAUCUAUGAUGCCUCAGGUCAAAGGACUACUUUGCAUAUUGCAACUUACGAGUUCUUACAUGACAUGUAUAUUCGAACUCUCUUUUGAUCGUUGUUCAGUGUACUCGAUUACUCUUUCAAGCACCUAUGUGUUUGUCUUAGUGUCCAACACUAAAUGACUUGAGACUAGUCAUACUUACGCUUGAGUUGACAUAACACAGACUAACCUUAGCGGAUUGUCAAUGCCCAAUUGGCAAUCCUAUGGCUAGGAACGUUUUAGGAAUGAACAUAAGAGAAAGGUCUCGUUAAUCUAACUUACUUAAAUCACUUCUCUCUUAGAUCAAAUACAUUCCUUGGAUUCCCUUAUUGCUUAAACACAUGAUACAAUAAAUAAUGAUUAACAAUAAGCUUUGCCCUUCAUUAAACAUAUAAUAGUUUAAUACAUUAAGUAUUCCUAAAGCUAUUACAUCAAAUGAGUGGCUUUGUGGGCAUACUUCCAACAAUCUCCCACUUGCACUCAAAGCCACCUUCCCAUAUAUCUAAUACCCAUCGUUUCCAUAUGACGGUCAAGUUGGACUUGAGACAAUUGCUUUGUCAGUGGAUCUGCUAUGUUAUCUGCUGAGGCAACCUUGAGGAUGUUGACUUUCCCCUUGGCAGCAUAUCUUCUAAUGAUAUUAAAAUUCCUGUCAAAAUGCUUGUUCUUUUUAUGAGCCCUGGGUGCCUUGGCUUGAGCUAUCGCCCCACUAUUAUCACAGUACAAAGUUACUGGUGAUGUAAUGGUUGGAACCACUCCAAGUUCAGUAAUGAACUUCUUCAUCCAGAACGCUUCUUUGCCGGCUUCAGCUGCAGCGACAUAUUCUACCUCCGUUGUGGAAUCAGUAAUUACAUCUUGUUUCUUGCUUUUCCAGCUAACAGCCCCACCAUUUAUAGUGAAUACUUAUCCAGAGUUGAAACUUCUAUCAUCGACGUCAGAUUGGAAAUCUGCGUCUGUAUAGGCUUCCACUCGCAACUCUGUUGCUCCUCCGUAAACGAGGAACAUGUCCUUAGUUCUUCUUAAGUACUUAAGGACCGUCUUGACAGCUGCCCAGUGUUCUAAUCCUGGGUUAGAUUGAUAUUGACUAGUAAUGCUCACAGCAUAUGCGAUAUCAGGCCUUGUGCAUAUCAUGGCAUACAUGAGACUUCCUAUGGCGAAAGCAUAAGGAAUAGCACUCAUCUGCCGUAACUCUUCAGGAGUCUUAGGUCCCAUGGACUUAGAAAGGUGAAUUCCAUGUCUCACAGGAAGAAGACCUUUCUUAGAUUGUUCCAUCUGGAACCUACUUAGCACCUUAUCUAUGUACAUAGAUUGGGAUAAUCCAAUUAAUUUUCUGGAUCUAUCACGAUAGAGCUUUAUCCCAAGUACAUAAGAUGCAUCUCCUAAAUCUUUCAUGUGGAAGGUUUUGGACAACCACACUUUUACAGAAGAAAGUACUGCAGUGUCAUUCCCGAAUAGUAAUAUGCCAUCCACAUAUAACACUAGGAAUACUACUGCAUCCCCAACGACUUUUUGAUAAACACAAUUGUCGUCUUCGUUUUGAGUAAAACCAAACGUUUUGAUUUCAGUAUCGAAACGAAUGUUCCAGCUCCUGGAGGCUUGAUUAAGUCCAUAAAUGGACCUCUGAAGCUUGCAUACCUUAGUCUUUUUAGACUUGGACACGAAACCUUCUGGUUGAGUCAUAUAGAGCUCUUCCUCUAGGUAGCCGUUCAGAAAGGCCGUCUUCACGUCCAUUUGCCAUAUCUCAUAAUCGUGGUACGCAGCUAUAGCAAGAAAAAUCCGAAUGGACUUAAUCAUGGCUAUAGGAAAGAAGGUUUCUUCAUAGUCAAUCCCUUUUCGUUGCCUAUAACCCUUGGCUACUAGUCUAGCCUUAUAAGUCUCCACGUUCCCAUCAACGCCUAUCUUCCUCUUGAAGACCCAUUUGUUUCCAACAGGUACUAUACCUUCUGGAGGGUCUACAAGAGUCCAGACCUGAUUUUGAUACAUGGAAUCCAUCUCGGAUUUCAUGGCCUCUUGCCAUCUCUUUGAAUCAAUGUCAGACAUUGCUUCAGUGUAGUCUCUAGGGUCUUUCUUUAUGUCAUUGUCACCUAGAAAGUGCAAUUCCCCAAAGUCAUUAUCUAAGCCAUACCUCUUAGGGGGCUUGCUAACCCUUUCAGAUCUACGUGGAGCUAGGGGUUCAGGAACAGGGUUGUCAACUUGUCGAGUGCUUGUUUGUGGUUCAUCAUUAAUCUCAUUAAUUUCCAUUAUUCUACUUAUAGUUCCUUUGAGAACAAAUUCGUCCUCUAGAAACUUAGCAGUUCUGGCGACAAAAACCUUUUGGUCGUCAGGAUGGUAGAACUCAUAUCCCAUAGUUUCUCUAGGAUAUCCCACAAAAUAGCACCUAACUGAUCUUGCUUCAGGCUUAGUAGCUUCAAGCUUCUUGACAUAUGCUUCACAACCCCAAAUUUUAAUGUGAUUAAGACUUGGCUUUCUUCCAUGCCAUAUCUCAUAGGGCGUUUGUGAAACUGACUUGGAAGGUACUCUAUUAAGCAAGUAAGCUACUGUAUAUAGAGCGUAACCCAGAAUGUUACUAGUAGAUCGACGGAACUCAUCAUAGAACGAACCAUGUUCAUCAAGGUUCGAUUUCUCCUUUUAGAAACUCCAUUAAGUUGUGGAGUUCCCGGUGGAGUCCACUGUGAUAUUAUUCCACACUCUUUGAGAUAAUCUAGGAACUCGCUACUUAGAUACUCUCCCCCUCGAUCUGAUCUUAGGAUCUUUAUCUGUUUCCCAGUUUGCUUCUCAACUUCAUUCUUGAAUUCUUUGAACCUUUCAAAGGAUUCUGACUUGUACUUCAUAAGAUACACAUAGCCAAACCAAGAGUGAUCGUCGGUGAAUGUGAUAUAGUAGGAGAAGCCUCAUCUCGACGUAGUAGACAUAGGUCCACAUACGUCAGUGUGGAUUAACCCUAGAAUUUCAUUGGCACGCUCUCCUUUCCCAGUGAAUGGAGAUUUGGUCAUCUUCCCUUUUAAGCGACAUUCACAAGUACCCAUUUGGUCAUUACCUAAUGGAUGGAAAUAUCCGUCUUUCGACAUCUUGCGAAUCUUAUCAAGGUUCACAUGUCCAAGUUUAAGAUGCCACAUCUUUUCUUGGUUAACUUCUUCUCUAGCCCUUUUGGGUUUUGAGGUAUUCCCGCUUUCAAUACAGUGCAUCCCACUACUUGUCUCUAGGUGAAAAAGUCCCUCUAUCAUAUUACCAUGAGAGAUAAUAUGACCGUUCAAGUAUAAAGUGCAACUCAUUUUGUCAAACAAUACUGAGUGCCCAUCUCGUAAAAGCUUAGAGAUAGAAAUCAAAUUCUUUAUACAUGAAGGAAAAUAUAAACAAUUUUUAAGUUCUAAGAUUUCCCAGAGGGCAGUUUAAGCAUGUAGGUGCCUAUUGCUUUAGCAGAGAUCUCAGUGCCAUUCCCAACUCGCACAAUCAUCUCCCCAUUGCGCAAUGUCCUGCUCCCUUUUAGUCCCUGCAACGAAUUGCAGAUAUGUUGACUAGCGCUUGAAUCAAAUAUCCAGGAAUUGGAGCUCAUUGUAAAAGCACUCUCUAUGACAGAAAUAGUCCCUUCAAAAGUUCGUGUCAUAAGGCUCGCAAUGCGCACCCUGUAUUUCUUCUUCCAACGUUCAUCCUUUCCACAAUGAAAGCAUGUUCCUUUGGAUUUUCUUGCCUUCUUCUUAUGCAACCCUUUCCUUGUGAUUGCAUUCUCACUCCCAAUGUCCUUUUUGAAACCUUGUUCAAACUUACAGCACAUGUCAAUCAUCUCGGUAAAAGUAUGAUUGAAUCUAUUCACUUUAUAGUUUACAAUAAACUUGGUGAAAUCAUCCGAGAGAGAUGCAAGGAAAAAAUCUUGGGCCAUUUUCCCAUCGAUGGAAGUUCCUAAACUUUCAAGAUCUUGAAAGAUCCUUUCCAUCUUUUGUCCAUGUUUAUGAACCGAUGUCCCCUUUGCCAUUUUGGCAUUCAAUAGACUACAAACAUUUGAGAAUCGUACAUUACUAGUCUCAAUGUCAUGCAUCUUAUGCAAACUUUCAACCAUGGCACAAGAAGUGUCCAUGUGCUCAUGUAGCUUCAUAAGCUCCUCACUAGGUGAAGUGAGGAUCAAGCAUUUGGCUUGUAAGUCAUCCUCAUAGUGUCUAUCAUAAUUUUGACAUCCUUUGAAGCUAGUUUCGUAGGAGGUACAUGAGGAGGGGAUUGCUUAAGCACAUACAAUAUGUCUUUCCCUUUGAGACAUUCUCAAUGUGGCGAUACCAAGCAAGGAAACGUUGGCCCCUAAGGCCCCUUUUGUCAAGUAUAAUGGUGGGUGUAAUUUUAGGCAUGUCGUUAACUACAUAACAUAACAGAAAUCGUUAGAUUGUUAAUUUUAAAACUACUUGAUUGGGUCUUAAAUCAAAUAGUACCACCCACUAUUUUUGGCAAAUUCCACAUCCCUCAAUGGAAUUCGAGAGUUGUGUUGAACUCUUAGCGGGGUAUGGGAGACUCACCAUUACCAAGCCCACCUCAUGAUGAUACGAUGUUGGUUAGCAAAAAUAAUGAUGAGAGAAUAACGCUUUAAUCAUUUACAACUCUUGUAAUUACCCAUCUUGUUUGGCCUCUAGAGAAUGAUGCCUCACAAUGAUAUGAUGUUGGCACCAUUGCACUUAGUUAAGUUAUUCCCACCAUGCUAGUUCGUGUAGGGGUUCAAGAAUAGCCUCACAAUGAUAUGAUGUCAGCCAUCCUCGUUGCCUACCUCACUACAUCAUGUAUGUAUAUAUGGACUCCUCCUGAAUGUAAGCACAUACUUUGAACUCCCCCAUGAUAGGGUGAAGCCGUUGUAGGAGUCACAAACGAUUGGAGCCCAUCAUGGUGGAAGGCCUACGAAGAGAUGUUCAAAACAUAUCUCGCUUAUCAACUUAAUAUUCGUUUUGCUGAGGGAGUAGUGUUGGGCUACAUCAAUUUUAUUUUAAUCUUAUUAAAAAAACAUGGGCCUAUCACAACCAUUGGUCCAAGUUAAUAUGAAUUAGUAGUAUAUAAUACUCCCACUAUUUCGAUGAAACAAGCGAGACUAUAUGGAACUACUAACGAAUGCUUUGCAUCCUCAUAUGGACUAUAUAGUCAUAUUAGGUCUUAGGAUGAUUAUGAACCAUUUGAUUUGAUCCAACACGAGCCUUGUGUUGGACCUUGGGUUUAAGGUAGAUAGUUGUUGAUUUUAGUUACGCGUUUAAUCUAAUUAAACCGUUAUUUCCUAUUGGGCGUUGGACCCAACUAUUCCUAUUUGCAUACAUAUAAACAAAAAGGAAUACAUGACAUAAAGAGAAGGGCUUAUGCCCUUUUACAACACAUUUGAUGGACUUAUGUCCAUUUACAACAAAUUUGAACUAAUCAAAUUACAUUAAAAUCUAAACUCCUAAACCGAAACAUUCAUAAUGUAAAGCGGCCAAUCACAUAGCUCAAUUAUCGAGGCCUUUGGUUCAUAAUCAUCAUUUUCUUAAUCAAUCACAUUAACUAAGAAAGCAACUUAAACAAUUGGUUUUCAGAUUCAUAGAAUUGAUUUAAAUGGAACUAAAUGAAAUGAAAAUGCAAUUCUCAUUAAACAGACAAAACCAUUUUGUUCUCAUCUUAUUUGGGCCAAAAACAAUGACCUCAACAAUUGGGCCAUUAUUCAAUAAACAUAAACUUUUGGGGUCACUUUGUAAAAACACAAGAGUCCACAACUUCAUGUAAUUACAACUAGAACCCAAAAUUUUAACAAUAAUAAAAACAACAUUAAAGGAGCAAAACAAUUUGUCCUUUAGAGUUUUUGGGUCUUAACAUAAAAACGUAAACUUUUGGGCCAAAAUACAAAUACACAAAAGUAUCAAAACUUGAUGUAAUUGCAUAAAAGGCCCAAAAUUACCCCCACUUGGGGUUGGCCGGUUUUAGAAGUGAAAAAGGAGAGUGAAAAGGUUUUGGUGAAAAAUCAAAGUUUGAAAGUGUUUUAUGCAAGUGGAUUAUGCAAGUGGAAAGGUAGGUGAGGAAGGUGAUGGGUAUAGGUUGUAAGAAAAUGUUUUGUGAAACAUUAAUGGCAUAUAUCAUCCCUAACCAAUAAUCUAUCACCCAUCAAAAUUAAACCAAAACUUUAUGAAAAACACCAAACAUUUUGAAUCAAAACUCCAAACCUUUUUGUUCUUGGUAAGAAUAUCAAGAACAUUGAAGAACACACAUGCAAACUAUUAACACAUUAAAGUAGGCAUGCAUUCAAAAACAAUUCUAAAACCCAUGACUUUCAAAGCCUAGUGAAUGGUGAAUCAAGAGACUCUUUAACAACAUUAAAGAGAAAGAAGGUUUUAGAGAUUCAUUACCCUUGAAGCUCAUCCUUGUUUACACAAGGGAUUCACCCAAGUGGAGGGCCUUCAAGUCACCUCCUAGCUCCUUGGAUCUUCCUUGUGAUUUCCUUCCUUUUGAUGCUCCUUUGCUCCUUGAGGAUGUGAGGAAAGGAUCUCCAAAAACACCAAAGAUUUGGUGUCUCUAAGUCUCCACACCAAGGAUGAGGUGUGAAGAUGAAAUGGAUGACUUAGAGAAGAAAAGAUUGCUAGCUAAAUCUUCCCUAUGUGGCCGGCCUCCUUGUAGAGAAAAGAGAGAAAAUGUUUCACCUCUUUGCCUCAAAGAAAACCCUAAUGAGAAAAUAGCUAUAAAGUUAACUUUAUACUACAUCACAUUUGAGUGGCAAACUUGUAAUUAAUUCAAGUUUGCAUCCACUCACCCUUAUGGCCGGCCUUGUCUUUGUUAUUGGGCUAAUUGCCCUUUUUUUUUUAGUUGUCAUACAACUUAAACAUAAUGGGCUUUGUGGGCCAAAACACUUUUGGGCCCCGAAACCCAAAACUAACUUAAAAGCCCAAUACGAACCUUUCGUAAAAUUAAUUAACUAAUUAAUUAAUCUUGACCAUUCUCAAUUAAACCAUUUAAUUGCUUAUCCAUCUCAUUUAUAUUUCUUCACUUUCAUCCUUACUCGGUGUACGAUCCAUUAGGUUCCAAUUAGCGAGGCAGUGGGCGAUUGUUACUCUUAACGAUCGAUUGUGAAUUGAAACAACAUUUCAAUUCUCCCUUUGUUGAAGAUUACUGUUUGCUAAUCUUCAGGGCUUCCACAAACCAUAAGUGACACCUAGCAGCAUGUCAUGGCUACCCAAGCUAAAUAGAAUUGGUUGGAGAACUUAUCCAGUUACAAUUUCAAUGCAAUACGGUCCUUCUCUAAUACAAUACUCUUAAUCACAUUGUUUGAGUGAUAGUUUGUUUCAUGUCUACUAUCCAAUGUAAUACUUAUCUAUAUGAUUCAAUUGAAUAUGAUUUGGAACAUACUUCCUAAGUCAUAUUCGUAUGCUUUGGCCAAAGAAUCCCGAAUCAUAUCUUAGAGUAUUCUCCUUCCACUAUGGAAGGUUAGAGAUCCCUGGUUGUGCAUUCAUAUGUCUACAUGACUAGAUAGCUUGACCCCAACAAUGUCGUGGACACUCUCAAUGGAAUGCCUUUGACAUGAUCAAAGAUCAAGGACCUAACCAUUAGACAUCUAUGAUGCCUCAGGUCAAAGGACUACUUUGCAUAUUGCAACUUACGAGUUCUUACAUGACAUGUAUGUUCGAACUCUCUUUUGAUCGUUGUUCAGUGUACUCGAUUACUCUUUCAAGCACCUAUGUGUUUGUCUUAGUGUCCAACACUAAAUGACUUGAGACUAGUCAUACUCACGCUUGAGUUGACAUAACACAGACUAACCUUAGUGGAUUGUCAAUGCCCAAUUGGCAAUCCUAUGGCUAGGAACGUUUUAGGAAUGAACAUAAGAGAAAGGUCUCGUUAAUCUAACUUACUUAAAUCACUUCUCUCUUAGAUCAAAUACAUUCCUUGGAUUCCCUUAUUGCUUAAACACAUGAUACAAUAAAUAGUGAUAAACAAUAAGCUUUGCCCUUCAUUAAACAUAUAAUAGUUUAAUACAUUAAGUAUUCCAAAAGCUAUUACAUCAAAUGAGUGGCUUGUGGGCAUACUUCCAACACUUAGAUGAGCAGAGAAUCGUUCAUUGCCGACUCGACUCAUGAGACAAUGUGCAUUCAAGGUUGGGUCCACACUCCGACGAGCACUCAAGACCUUCCGGGAGAAACGUCCACACAAGGCUAGGCCCGCAAGGAAAUUCUCCUACGAGGCAACGGAAUAGGUAGCCGCAUGAAGCCUAGAGAAGAUCACGUGAGCAGUCCAGCUCAAGUUCCACUAGCAUCCCCCGCCCAUAGAGAUGACGUGCAGCAUAAGGUGAACUUCGUGCACCCCAAUCGUGGUACAAACAAGCAGGACAAGCCGAAGAGCAACAUGGACCAACGGGUCAACACCGGGGCAGCCGAAGGCUCCGCUGCCCCACGAGGUGCAAAUCCAAGAGGAAAUACAAAGGCUCGUAGUAGAGCAGAUGUGUGGAUUCCGGCACAUUGACACUACCAACGAUGCCUUCCGUAGAGACGUGGCCAACUUGAGCAGGUCACCAUUCACAUACGAGAUCGAGUGGACAGAACCACCGUGGAAGUUUAACCUACCACAUUUCACCUUGUUUAGGGGAGAUGAAGAUCUGGACAGACACUUGAUGCACUACUGAAGUGCCACAACCCUCUACACCAACAAUAAUGCUCUCAUGUACAAGAUCUUUGCCAUGAUGCUACAAGGCGAAGAGCAAGACUGGUUCCAAAAUCUUCUACCACGCUCAAUCCAGAACUUCGAUGAACUUUCCUUGGUUUUCACCAAGGUAUUAAAUAUCGAUAAUAUUGGAAAUAUCGGUAGUCCGAAAACACGGAAAUAUCGAUGGAAAUAUCGGGAUAAUAACGAUAUCCAUAAAAAUAAUAUGGAAACCACGGAAAUUGUAAGAAAAACUUGGAAAUUUUUAUUGAAACUUUGCAGGAUGUUUAUUUAGUCAAUUAUCUAUUAGUUUAUCACAAAAAAUUGGAAGGAAAUGCUUUGCAUGAUGGACUUAACAUUAUCAAGUUGAUUAUAUAGUGAGCUGGCAAACAUUGUGAGUGUAGAAAAUAUGUAGUAAUUAAUGAAAGAAGUUUAAACACACCAUAAUAAUUUAUAUAUAAUGAAUUAGUACAAUAUUUUACACUUUAUACAUUGCAUGGUAAGAUACAUGAGUGACUUAGUACCACAUAGAGUUCCUAUGAGGUUCAAAAUUUUCACUAUCUUCAUCAUCUCUAUGUGUAGAGUGAGUGUAUUGUGAAGAGUAGUUAUCAAAUGAUAAAUCUCCAAAAUAGUUUUGCAUGUAAUUGUUAACAUGCCACCCAUAUGGAUCCGAGAUUGGUUGACCUUGUCCAUAAGCAAAAUCAUUUGAAGAUUGAGUCUCGGAUUGUUUCCAUGAGUCACUCGAUUCCAUCCCAACAGGAAUCGGAUAUGAAGGGUAGGGAAAUGGUUGGUUAUGAGUAUAACCAUAGUUACUACUUCCCAAUCCAACAGAGUCCAAAGUUAUAGAUAACGAGUCAUCUUCUUGACUUGACAAAAUCCCCUUGCCUCUUUCUCUACGAGUAUAGUCCUUCCCUAUCGCACCAAUUCCUAGUCCUGCCCGCCUACUACCAUGGUCCUCAUCCUGUGUUGCAUGCGUGAAGUUUGCCUCACCAGUGAAGGGGCUCAUAAAUCUGGGAGGUGGUUCAACAUAGUUUCCAUAUCCACCACCAUUACCUCCAGCUCCACUAUAUCCUUCAUCAUUCCCACCUCCGGUGGUAGGUGAGUCUCCUCCUGACCUUGUACUAGAGCUAUCAUUAGUAUUAGCACAAUGUUGUGGUUGUGUAGGAUUGGAAGAAGGUGGAAUUCUAGUGUUUCUUGGUCUUGGGCACAAAAGUUCUUCCAAAGAGUCAAUAGAUCCUACCUCCUCCGCUAAUACUCUUUCUACAUUUAUCCCUUCAUUACGUGCUUCUUUAGCAACUCUGGGAGCUGGGUUGCCUUCAUCAUCAUCUAAAUGAAGAGGUCUAAUCCAUUGAUAAAGUUGGUUACCCUCUGUAUCAUCAUCUUCAACAACAAUAUCAAACACAUCUAGUGGGUCACCACGGUCGACAUGAUCUAUUUUUGCUUCCUUAUCUCGAAUUUGAAGCUUCAUGUUGUAGUAGUAAUAAACUAAUUUUUCCAACCUACUAUGAGCCAACCUAUUUCUUUGCUUUAUGUGUAUGAGUGCAAAUGUGCUCCAAUUUCUUUCACAAGAAGAUGAGGAAGCUGUUUGUGAUAAUACUUUGAUUGCUAACUUUCUCACAGUUGGUGCAUCGGUCCCAUACAUGAUCUACCAUUCAGCUACAAUGAAAAACAAUGUUGAUAAGCCUAAUAACUCCAACAAAUUCUAUUAUAAACUUAUCGUGAAAUAUGUUUACACUCACUAGGAGACAUUUUUGUUCGAGCAGCAACUGAUGUUGGUUCUCCAAAAGUUCUUCUUGCAUCUUUAAACCAUGUUAGCUGAAUUCAAUAAAUCGUGUUAGUUUAAUCCACAAAGUAAUUAUUAUAAUUUAAGUAAUCGUGUACCUCAUUUCCAAAUUGGCCAACUGCUGGUGAUGUAGGGUCUAAUUUAGAGUAUACAUUAUGUACAACACGUAUAAGGGUACCAUCAUCUCCAACACCGGGUCUAUAUUGGUAUCGAGGAUUCAAAUAAUAUGCUGUUCAAAGAAACACAUACUCUAAUAAGAGAAUUAAUACUUAUGCAACUAAAGAAAUGAAUUGCAAAUUAUGAUAUAAUUUAUACCUGCUGCAUGCAAAUCGUGGUAUAAUGUUUUAUACCAUCGGUCUUCAAUUAUCUUUAUGACCCACCUUGCACCAUGUUUUCUUUCCAAUUCAUCCUUCACUACACGCAUUAACUCAUAUAUUGCCCCCAUAGUAGGAUACACUUCUGUGUCAACGAUCCGUAAAACUUUGUAAAGAGGUUCAAACACUUGGCACACAUGUUCUGAUUGAGUCCAAAAAGCAAGAUCAAACACUUGGCACACAUGUUCUGAUUGAGCGGCUGAAAUUGUGGUUGGCCCAAUCGUCACUAGUGAAUAGUUGCUUCAACCCUGCUUUCUUCUUAAGUAGGCUGUCUAAUGCAAUAUAGUUGGUGGCGAAUCGAGUGGUAGCUGGACAAAUAAUUUCUCCUUUACAAAAUUCACGCAUCUUUGCCAACAACCAACCGUGAUUGUAAAUAUAAUUUGUGAUCGUUCUAGCUCUUUUUACCAUAGUAGCAACAUUCUCUCUCUUCCCCAUUGCCUCAAACAUGAGAUCAAUACAAUGUGUUGCACAUGAUGUCCAAAACACAUUAUGAUGCUUCAUUAACUUUUUUCUAGCUUUGACAAAUGCAGAACCGUUGUCGGUCACGACUUGGACAACAUUAUGCUCUCCCACCUCCUUGAUUACAUCCCUCAAUAAUUUGUAAAUAUACUUGUAGUUCUUUAUAUGGUCUGAAGCAUCAACAGACUUCAAAAAAAUUUUCUUUCCCUUGGAGUAUACCAUGAAGUUUAUGAUAGACAAUCUGGUCGGGCCGGUCCAUCCGUCACACAUGAUUGUGCAACCAUUAGUUUCCCACUUUGACCUCAACUUGUUAACAUACUCGCCAAUGUCUUUAUACUCCAUAUCCAAAUAUUUGUUUCUUAUCUCAUAGGGAGUGGGAGGUUGUACUCCAACACCGGCCUGUUGACAUCUCACUACCAUAUUUUUGAAAUGAUGUGAUGAUGCUUUCUCAGCAGGGACACUUUCAUAGAUAAAGAACUUGCUAAUUAGACGCCCCAUUCCCUCCUUCACAUUACCUCCAGUGAAAUAACUCCAAACACUCUUUUGACGUGCUUUGGAUGACUUAUAUAAACUUGGGGCUAUUGGUGGUGUUGGUUGCGAUUCUCUAAGACUGCCUCCCCGUCUCAUUUGUGCACCACCACUUGUACCGGAACCUUGUGCUCUAUUAGAAAUUUUAUGAAGGUGUUCUCUUUCCCAUUCUUACUGUUUGGAGGCAUGUAAUGCUUGUUUCAAACUGCGUCGUUCUUCAGGUCCCAUGUCAUCAUCACAUUCGUCCUCAUCGUCAUCAUCAUCACUGUUAACCGCUUGGCCAUAGACUUCUCCCCGUAGCCCAACUCGAAUAUUUUCCAGUCCAUGUGUUAUCUUUUCCUUCUGCUGUUUUUUAUUUUUUAAUAAUGUGCUGAUGAAUGCCUUCACUUCUGGGGGGACAUUAUCGCAUCGUUGGACAUUUUUUGCUGGAUCUAAUCCACUAAAAUGGUACUUAAGUCGUGUCACUCCGCCACUCUUCAUUACCCGACCACAAUAUUUGCAAAUUGUGCCAUGUUUGUUUUCGUCUAUUGGGUCUCCAUGUUCCCAAGCUGGAUCACGUUUAGUAACUCCACUGAACAUCUUAAACGUACCUAUAUUUAUUUUUCAUGAAAAUUAGACAAUUAUUUUUUGGCCAAAAAAUAUAGUAGUGAUGACAGUUAUAUAAGAGAACCUAAAUAAUAAAGUUAUUCUACAGAAGAAUUAAAUACGAAGAAAAGAAACGAUUGUAAAAAUUUAAGUAAUUAUAAAAAUAAUAUGGAAUAAUAAAAUCUAAUAUUAAUGAAUAAUAAUCCAAUUUGAUAAAAAAAAAUAAUCCUAAUAUAAAACAUAGUGAUGAAUAAUAAUCCAAUUUGAUAAUAAUCCAAUUUAAUAAUAAUCCAAUUAAAUGAAUAAUCCAAUUUGAUAAUAAUCCAAUUUCAUGAAUAAUAAUCCAAUUUGAUAAUAAAAAAACCCAAUAUUAAUGAAUAAUAAUCCAAUUUGAUAAUAAAACCUAAUAUUAAUAAAAUAAUAAAUAACAUUAAACAUAUUAAAAUUAUCCUAGGGAAUAAUUAUACAAUAUUACUUAAUUACUUAAAAAAUUAACAUGUAAUUGUUAACAUUACUUAAUUACUUACAAAAACUAACAUGCAAGUAUUAAUUACUUAAAAAAAUUAACAUACGAGUCCACACAAAUUUGUUUGUUGUUGUAUAAAUUACAAUAAUAUAAAUAUAAGUUUGUAAACUUACUUUAAAUAUGGAACCCUUUGUGUUCAAGCUCUGGAAUGGAUCUGGAAUGGCUUUGAAAGGGGUAAGGGAAGAAGAAGAAACGAAAAUGCUCUGAAUGGCUCUGAUACUCCACCUCUUGAAAGAAUAUCGGCACACGGUUUUGAAUGAAACCACCAUCCAUGGUCUGAAAUUGUACAAGUUAUAAUUGUAAAAGUGGUAUGAAAUUGUCAAAAUAAUUGUAAAAGUUGUCAGAAAUCCUGAGUGAGUCAUGUGUCCUCCUGAUAGGAGGAACCCCACACACACACACAACGCACGCAACCACACACGCACACAGCGCACGCACACAAACAUCACACAUGCAGACACGACCUCUGUCUCUCUCUCUCUAUCCUUCUCUAUUCUCUCCAUUCUCCACUCCCACACACACACACACAGAUCUCUUGAUCUCUCUUCUCCCUUCUCCCACACACACACCACGACGUUCUGCUCCUCCCUUUCCUUUCUCUCUGCACCGAGACCCACACACACACCACAACUUUCUGCUCCUCCCUCUCCUUUCUCUCUACACUGAGACCCACAUACACCUCUUCUUCUCUCUGCACCGAGACCCACACGCACACCAUCGCACCAGCUCCGGCGAGUUCCUUCAAUUUCUCCGGUUAGGUAAGCUUCGGGUUUUUCUUUUUCUGUUCUAGAUCGAAGCUUAGAUGUGAAAUUGAAGUUCUAUCUCGUGUUUUUGCAAGGUUUUUGGGAUGAAAUCUACUCGGGAAUAGGCACACCCAUCUUCGCGGAGGCCGUGGGUGUCGACGAACUUUCCGAACACCUCCGCUCGUUUCACGACAAACGGAUGUUAUAAAAACUUUCCUCUCGUCUUCUAUUUCAUUUUCAUACCUAGAUCGGAGUCUAGGGGGCUGUUUUACAGUCGAUCGAAGCUGUAGAAGCUCCGGCGCUCGUCUCCGACUUGCACAGUUCUGAAAUUUCGUGAUAAUAUCGAUAAUAUCGUGAUAUUUUGAUGAAAACCCCUUGGAUACCUAUUAAAAAAUCAGUCCGGAGAAAAACCGAUAAUAUCGACGAUAGGCAUUUUGUUCCUUGGUAUUCAGCAAGGAGUAUUCGUCCUACUGUUCAAUCAUGACAAGAUUUGACCACCAUUUCAGCAUGAAAAAGGACCCGAAUGAGUCACUCUGUACUUAUGUCAAGAGAUUCAAAACAGAAAAAGGCAAAAAUCGUCGGAUGCGAUGAUAACAUCGCAUGCUCAUCUUUCCAAAAAGGACUCCCAGUAGAUCACCCACUUUUUAGAGAAUUGAUUAUGGGCGAGAACCUGUCCCUGGGAAACUCUUAUACUUUGGCAGAAAAGCACUCCCUCUGGGACAAGGAAAAACUCUCCCAGAAGCUGCCUGAGUAGCCACGCAGAGCUGCAGAACCGAUUCAAAAGAAGGCGAGUGAUAAACCGUUCAACAUCAAAACCAAGCCAGGAGACAAGCGCAGGAACCGGUCAGCCAAAUCCUUUGCGACCUCAAGGAUAAGCCAUGGUUUAAGCUGCCGCUGCCUAUAAAGGGUGACACCUCAAAGAUGGACUAGACCAAGUAUUGUGCAUUUCACAAGGGUUCUGGGCACAUAACCAAUGAGUGCACCACAUGGAGGAGGUAUCUCGAGAAACUCGUAAAGGAAUGGAGGAGGUAUCUCGAGAAACUCGUAAAGGAAAGCAAGUGCGACCAGUAUAUCAACAGACUGGUUGCCCAGCCAAUGCGAAAAGCAAAUGUCGAUGUCGAACCCCCAACCAAGACAAUCUGAAUCAAUGGAACCUUUGCCGAAUCUGAACAUCUAGGGGCCACCAAUAACUCUAAGAAGAGGAAAAUCCAGCACGCGAGAUCGGUCAAUCAGGUUCAAGCCAUAUAUGCUAUACUUGGACCAAUCAUCGGCUUCACCGAGCAGGACGCUGAAGGAGUAGACUUUCUCCAUGACGACGCCCUGGUGAUUUCUGUACAACUGGCCCAUGCCAUCGUUACCAGAGUCAUGAUGGACAACGGCAACUCAGUCAACUCCUAUAACUAUCAGUCAUCUAAAAGAUGGGCCUGGAAAACACUGUCCAACGCAAAGCAUAGGUCUUGACCGGAAUACACUAUCACACUAGACGUAACUAGACUGCCGAUCAUCUCGUCACAAACCUUCAUGAUUGUCAGCAACCCAUCUCCUCACAACGGGUUAUUGAGCCGACCAUGGCUAGUGAAGAUUGGAGCUGUGACCUCGGUCGAGUAUCAGAAAAUUCGAUUUCGCAUCCUGGGAGGGGCAGUCGGAGAAAUCAAAGGCAACAAAACCAUGUCCAGGUGAUGCACUAUACAAGUUCUCAAUGAGUUAAAUAAGAAAUCUUUAGCCCUAGUAGUAGCAGUUGAUGUGCAGAAAGACGACUCUACCUCCGCCAAAUAGCAAUUACAGUAGGCAGGUCAAGAAGAUGGUGUUCAGGUCGACAAUGCCCUAGAAGAUGAGUCAGGAUGGAAACCUGAAGAAGAUGCCGAAAGUAUCACUCUUGACCCUACUAGCCGAAAAAGGCGGCUAGAAUCGGCUAACGUUUGAGCCCAACAAAAAAGGAAGAACUAACGGUUUUCCUUAGGGAAAAUCGUGAUGUCUUCGCAUGGUUACCCUCUGACAUGCCCGACAUUGAUCUAGCGAUGCUUGUCACAAGCUGCAUAUCGACCCCGCUGCCAAACCUGUGAUCCAAAAAAGGUGACAUUUCGCACCCGAGCGAGUAGCGAUUAUUGAGGCAGAGAUUAACAAGCUACUGGAGGCCGAAUUCAUUGAGGAAGUGGCACAUUCAGUAUGGCUAGCCAACGUCGUGCUAGUAAUGAAAAUAGAGAAGGACAAAUGGAGAGUAUGCAUGGAUUACACCGACAUCAACGAGGGAUGCCUUAAAGAUAACUACCCGGUUCCCCGAAUCAACAUCCUCGUUAACUCAACAUUUGGGAACUAGCUGCUCAGCUUCUUGGACACAUAUUCAGGCUACAAUCAGAUUGCCAUGCACAAGCCUGACAAAGAAAAAACUGCAUUCGUGAUCGAGCGAGGCACAUACUGCUACAAGGUCAUGCCUUUUAGCCUCAAGAAUGCAGGAGCAACCUACCAGCCGCUCGUAAACACGAUGUUCAAGAAGCAGAUCGGGGUCACCAUGGAAGUCUACGUCGACGACAACAUGGUGAAAGGUAAGCAAGGGUCAAACCACAUUCGCAACUUGGCAAAAACUUUUGCCAUUCUUUGAGAGUGCAACAUGAAGCUCAACCUAGCCAAGUGCACAUUUGGCGUCUUCUCAGGUUAAUUCUUAGGGUACCUUGUAACCCAACGAGGAAUCGAGGCUCAUCCAAGACAGAUCAAAGCGAUCUUGGACAUGAAAUCACCCUCAACUCUGAAGGAGAUCCAAAGUUUGAUCGGACGAGCAGCCGCACUCAAUCACUUCCUUUCGCGGUCUAACGACUGAUGCAAGCCGUUCUUCAAGGCAAUAAAAAAGGUGCAGAAUGACAAAUGGGACGAUGAGUGCAAAAAAGCAUUUCAGGACCUGAAGCAGUACUUGACAUCAGCUCCACUACUAUCCAAACCAGAAGCAGUGGAGAACCCAACAUCUAUCUGGCGGUAUCAGAAGUAGCAGUAAGAUUUGCCCUCAUACGAGAAGAGUUGAAGGCCCAACUACCUAUAUUCUACACAUCCAAAGCUCUAUUCGAUGCGGAAACCAGAUACCCGAAGAUUGAAAAACUAAUUUUGGCACUAGUUGUUACAGCUUGGAAGCUCAGACCUUGCUUCCAGGGCAUCCGAUCAUCGUCAUGACCCAAUACCCACUGCGAUUAGUUUUGCAUAGUCCGGAUGCUUCUCAGCGAGUAAUGAAGUAGAUGUUGAAACUUGGUCAAUACGGCUUAGCAUACCAACCCCGUACGGUAAUAAAAGCCCAGGCACUGGCAGACUUCAUAGCAGAAUUCACCCCGAGCCUGAAGGAUGUAGCAACAUAACCCGGAAGCUCCUCGAAAGUAGUCGAGCACGCUAUAGCCGUACCUGCCCCACUUGAUGGAGAUUUUUGGCGUUUACAAGUCGAUGGGUCCUCCAACCAUCAAGGAUCGGGAGCAGGCCUAGUUCUUACUACCCAGACGGCUCAAUACUCGAGCAGGUGAUCACUUUGACCUUCAAAGCAUCAAACAACGAAGUAGAGUACGAAGCCCUACUCGCAAUCUAUUCUGAUUCGCAGCUGAUCACCAACCAAACUUCAAAGGAGUACGCAGCAAAACAUCCAAGGAUGGCCCGAUACCUUGAGAAGGUACGAGAGCAGCUAGCGACAUUCCAAGCAUACACACUUACUCGAGUUCCACGGGCAGAAAAUGCCCAUGCAGACGCACUGGCAAGCCUAGGCUCCGCAUUAGACCAUUAGCUCAGAUGCUCAAUCCUGGUCGAGUACCUGGAGAAGCCAAGCAUAGAUGAUGAACGAGCAAGCGAAGUGGCGCAGAUCAGCACGACCUCAACUUGGCAAGAUCCCAUCAUCGACUUCAUAGUCAAUCGAACGCUCCCCGCAAACAGAUUGGAGUCUAGGAAGCUCCAAAUAAAGGAAGCACGCUACUACAUGUGGAACGACAUGCUCGUUCAAAGAUCCUUUUCAGGACCACAUCUCUGCUGCCUAUCGCCUCCCGACGACUUGAAGAUUCUUACCUUAAUCCAAGAAGGCGUUUGUGGAAACCAUUACGGAGGCCGAUCCUUGGUGCAGAAAGCACCCAACGCUGGUUAUUGUUGGCCGACCAUGCAUCAAGACACCAAGGAGUAUGUACAAAAGUGCGACAGCUGCCAGCACUUCAAGCCUGUGCCCACACUACCUGCCAACGAACUCCAUCCGCAGACAAGCCCAUGACCAUUCAUUCAAUGGGCGAUCGACUUAGUAGGACCAAUGUCUCCUGCUAUUGGGGGCAAAGGCAUGAUGAUCGUAGUGACCGACUACUUCACAAAAUGGAUCAAAGCCGAACCCAUGACCACAACUACCCAGACAGACAUAGAGCGCUUCAUAUGGAAAAACAUCAUCUGUCAUUUUGGCAUCCUACACGCCAUCGUCACUGAUAAUGGCCCACAAUUCGUGGGCAACGACUUGGUAAGAUUCUUCGAAAAAUAUGGCAUCAAGCAGCAUAUUUCCACGCCCCGAUACCCACAAGGCAACGGGCAGGCUGAAGCGUCCAACAAGAUUAUCCUCGAUUGCCUUAAGAAAACCCUCUCAGAUAAGAAGGGCAAGUGGCCAGACGAGCUUCCCGGUGUUCUAUUGGCAUAUCACACCACCAAAAGGUGAGCAACUGGCGAGACUCCAUUCUCCUUGGCGUAUGGUUAUGAGGCGAUCAUUCCUCCCAACAUCGUAGUGCCAAGCAUCAGCACUAUAUUGCAGAACCUCGAGCAGAACAAAAAGGAGAUGGCCACCAACUUGGACCUAGCAGAGGAAGAGCGCGAGAAGGUUAUCACUCGCAUCGCGGCCUAUCAACAGCAUCUCCUCUCCAGCUACAACAAAAGGACAAAAACUCAGUAGUUCCGGCCAGGAGACCUAGUCCUCAGGAAAGCCUUCAUCACCGCCCGACGGGAAGACCCCAAAAAGAUGGCACGCAUCUGGGAAGGUCUGUACAAAAUCAACCGAGUAGGCGGAAAGGGAAGCUACACCCUCACCACCAUGAACGAUAAAGAAAUCGACAAGCAGUGGAAUGCCUACUGAUAGGAUUAAAAGCACACCACAAAGUAGCACACAAAUGUCCUAUUGAUUUUCCUUAUUAACACUAAGAUUUGUCAAUUGUAGCAUAUGAAAAUAAGGGUCUUUCCCACAGAAGAUUGUUUUAUCUAACUACUUAAAAUGUACAAAAACUAGGCUGCUGUCCCUACUGACCAGCCACCAAAAAAUAAUUCUUAGACCGACUUACAGUUAUCUACAGUCUACAAAAUUUUGUAUGAAGACGCUAGACACACAGAGCUACACUCACACAAAUUGUUGGAAUAUUUGGAGUUGAUUUGAUAUUUAAAUUAAAUCGAACAAAAACAGGACAGAAACAUAUUUUAAGUAGUUCACAAAUUAAGAAAAACGAGUUAGGGGAAGUGCUAUCUACCACCAAAUAAUCAUACAAACAUGUUAUGUUUCAUUCAAAUUCCUUUUAUUUCCAGAUGAAGAUGCUCAAGUUGGCUCAAUUUUAGAACUCAACCUAUUACUCUUUCUUAUGUAGUAUGUUAAGAGAAUGGCGUUUUCAACUUAACUUAGUCCCUAGCAUGCAAUCUAGAAUGGCGUGUUCAUAGAUUUAACAAGUAGAAAUCAUUAAGAACGAAAAGAGUUUGAGUCAUCACAAGGCAUCAUAAGUACUGGCGUUGUCUAACUUAUCCUAGAAAUUGGUUCACAUGUUAAUCGCAAUUAACAAGUACUACUCUAGAACAUAUGUAGGUCCUCAUUCGACAAGGGCAGGCACACACAUAUUCAUAGCUUUAGAAUCCUAGAUAUGCUUACUAAGUAUGCAUCCGUAGAAAACACAUAAAGAAUUUAUCAAUGAGACAAGUAGUGAAUCAAUUUUCAUCCAUUCAUAAAAGUAAUUUAAACAAAAUGCCAUAACAAACUUGCAAUCAUAUUCGGGGCUUCAAAACAGCCCCUAACUACUAAAAUUUAGUUACACACAAUCCUUAAGUUAAAACAAAAGAUAGACAUGAGUUUGAGAAGAUAAAACCGAAAGAAAUCGAUUGAGGCCUCCUCCCCCACUUUCCUUCCUUCCCCAACGCUGCUUUUAAACCAAUUCUUGCUGCAUCAUUUUCUUCUCCUUAACUCGCCCACUAAUAUCCAUUUAGUGAUGACAAUAAGUGUGAGGAAAUGGUAAAAUUGUCAUAACUUCUUCUAGAAAAACGAUAUUAACAAUCCGCGAAAUGCUCCAGAAAAUAGACAUCCGUAGCUUUCUAAGCAUAUAAGGCUCAUUCUCUAAUUCAUUAUGAGCUGUUCGCAACUUGCUUCCAAAGUCAGCUGAUCUGCACAGGCAGUUUUGACGAAUUUGUCACUUAAAAUCCCACGUGUGUUAUUUUUCUUUUCUUUGCUUGACAAAUCCCACAAAACACAAAAAAAAAUUAAGUAGCUCAAAAAUAUAGGGAACUAACUAAGAAAAGACAAGUGAAUUUGAUGUAAAAUAUAUAAACAUGAGCUUAUCAUCUACAACCUGAGAAAAUACUACGUGUGACGUCCCAUCAUCCAUUGGACCACGUUUGAGACGAAAAGUUCGAAGACUCAAGCAGCUCGAUGGACGGAGACCUCGCAUGCCGAGGAUGAUCAAUUGUUAUGACAUUAUUGAUGUGAUAUAAAAUAGCACACAAAUUAAAACCCUUUUUUUGAUAGUUGUAGUAUGUGUAAGUAGGGAUCGUUCUAGGCCGGGGAUUAGGAGGGAUGGUAAUCUACACAAAUUUAACUCAAAACACAAAACUAGACUCUAAUAACUCAAAACUGACCAGAUUGACUCCAAACAACACAAAAUAAACAAAUUGACUCAAAACAAGAACUAAAGGGUGAUUUAGACGAAUUCUAAACUUGACUCAAAAUACCAAAGGGGGGUUGUUUUGACGAAUUUAAGACUAAAACUAAGUAACUUGCAGAAAACAAACAAAUUGAUACAAAAUUGGGGUGAAUGAAGGGGGUGAAAGGCUAGCUAGAGGGUCAUUCUCCACACCUGACACAUAUGCAUACAAAUCAAUUUCCAGUUAUUCUUCCUAUAAAGAAUGAAUGACAAUGCCCCAAGUUAAUCGUGAACUGCACAAAUUAACCAUCAGAUUUUCCUAAAUUUAUUGAAUUGGACUCAGUGACACAACCAAAUUAUUCUUAUCAAGUUCCCUACAUGGACUACAUAAUAGAGGUACAUAUCAAAGAUCAUUAAGUUCUGUGAAAAUCAUAAGCAUUGACAUGGCAUUCGUAACUAUGAACUGCAUGAUACUCCUGCCAGGAAUCUACUUAACGCGAUUGUGACUAGCAACCUCCACUACUUGUAAAUAUAAGUUCAUAACUAUUAGGUGAAACUCCCUUAUAUUUUAGCUUCAAAUCCUUGCAUGCGAACUAAAUAGGCCUCCUUAAUUAACAUCCAAGAAUAAGUCAUCAAUCAAAUAGUUAAGUAAAUUGCACUCACGAUUUAUGAAACAAUAACUAGAUGUAAUCAACUCAUAUGACACAUAUGUUCAUGGCUUUGAAUUCACCCCUAACUAAAACAAAAUUAGUUCCACAUGUUUGCAAUUAAACAAAGGCAAUUAAAAUUAAACAUUGAAAACAAAAGAUAGAAUACACCUAGAAACGCUUAAACAAUCCAAAGGUCUUGAAUGACAGGCACGGCUUCAAGCUUCUUCUUCUCCUCCCUUGCAAAGCUGCGACACUCUGUAUAUAUUUUUAUCUCUAAAUUUCUCUCCAAAAGCUCCCCCUUGAAUUCUACGGCAAGGGUGUGUAUUUAUAAGGCAGAUACACGACAUUGUUUGUGGAGGAAAAGGAUUAGUUGUUAGCAUUGUUUUAGGACUCCUAGAAAUUAGAUAAGAGGUGGUUUAAUAUGAAAAGGAGUCCCCCUUGCAGCUGGAAAUAGGGUAGGAUAAGAUUAGGAUAAGAUAAGAUAAGAUAAGGUUAGUUUGGAUAAUGUUGGAUAAGAUAAGAUUGGUUAAGAUAAUGUUCCUUCUUUUUAGUUGAUUCCCUAUCCUCCAAGUCUUGAUUUGAUUUCUCCAGAUUUGUAGCACAUUCCUAGCCUCUUUAAACUUCAAAAACAUCCAUCCACCUUGCUCCAUUCAUAUGCUAUCCAUUCCAAGCCGAAAACUGCUCUAAAAUGCUCCAAAUUGCCUUUUCUUGCCACUUUUUCCAUUUGAACCUACAAACACAUGAAAUUAGCUUGAAUUACUAUAAUAAACAAAAAAUAACUCACUAUAUGCAAGCAAACAAGCUAACUAAGUCGCAUAAUUAUGCUCCUACCAAUUAUUGCCUAUGAGCAAAGUUAAUAAAAGCCUCUAUUUUCAAUAUAAAUUGAAGGAAUAAUUCACAAGCAUGGGCCAAAUGCAUAAACAAACUGAUUACCUCCUGCGAUAAGCAAAAAACACCCUUUGCCGGACGGACAUGGUGCAAGACACCUGCCGCCCGGCAGAUGAUGAGUAUAUUUUAUAUUAUAUAUUUUACCCUAAUCUUAGUAUAUUUUGGUUAAUAUUUUGGAAGAAUUUUGAUACUUUGAAUUGUAUUUUCAAUAUAGGACUUUCGACUUCUUUUGGAGCAAAACAGGAUCAAAUGGACAAAUGUUGGAGUAAUUCUAGUUGGAGGACGUUCGUGAGUCACUUAGCUUGAUCGUAUCAAAAUCUGGGAUUUUUCCACCAAGCGGUUAUUUUCUGGCGAUAAAAUAAAGGAGCGAUGCGCAGUGCUGAAAAAAUGACGUUUUUGGGCUUAAAUUGCGUUUUUGAAGCCCAAGAUGACCUCGGAUGGGUUCAUGGCCUUCUGGAGCAGUGUUCAAAAUGUUCCAAACAUUAAAUCCAGCUAGAUUGGGCCGGUUUUGGAGCAGCUUAUGGGUUCAAAACGUGGCUAUUCAGAUUUUAGACGAAUUUUACCAUUUAAUUUAGGGUUAUGUUUCAUAUUUUAUUUGAUUACUAUUUUUAGUUUCCCAGUAGGAAUAAAGGACCUAUUUUUAGGGUGUGUGUGGGGGCUUGGUAGAUAUAUUGCUUGGCCGUCUACAGUUUUUCAUGAUGCUUUAUUUUAUGCAAUUUUGGAGACAGAGAGAAUUGCUAGGGUUUUGGAGAUUUUCUACUUGAAGGUGUUUUCAAUCCUUUUCUUAAUAAUAUUUUUUAUGAUUUCAAUUGUGAAUAUGCGUAACUGAUUCCUUUUGCUAGGGCGAAGGCUUGAGCCUUAGCAUGAAUAUGUGAUUUUUAUUUAAUUGCUUAUGAUUGAUUGCAUGCAUACUUUGAAUUGUUAAUCACCGGGAUAAAAACUAUCUAAUUGUAUUAAUGCCUGAUCACCAUUAGGAUCUUUAGAAAAGUAAUUUGAUGCAAUUUUGGUUGAAAGGUUCCCUGAAAUUGACGCUGGAUUCUUGUGAUUAAUAAUUGUAAUUUCACUUAGGAUGAACACCACGUCUUAAGGGUUGCAUGGUUUUUCAAAGGAUUUUCAUGAAGCAUAAUGAGUCUUUCAUGUUCAGAUUUAAUCCGAACGUCCGGACAGGUACGUUCUAUGUUGGAGGUUCCAAGUAGAAUAUGAAUUAGGAAAAUCUAACCUUGAAAGUGGCAUGUGUAGAUCAUAAGUAAUUGGUAAAAGUUCAGAGGAUUGCUAGGUGAUGGUGAAACCCUAGUGCUUUCUUAAUUUGAUUUCUCCCAAAACUGUUUUCUUUUCCUUCUGGUUUUCAAUAUUGCAAAUUGUUUAUUUUAAUUAAUUAAUUUCGUUUUUUAUUUUAAGUAGGUUAUAAAAUCAAUCACCUCAAUUUCUACUUUACAAUAACUAAUUGGAAUUUGGUUUGCUUCGAAUUAUUUAAUAAUCCCUGUGGAGAUUGACCUUGCGAGAUCCGUUUAUACUACAACAACCUUGUGAUUCUUGCAAGUAUAAUAGGAGUUUUUAGCCCAUUCACAUCAGUAGUAAAAUCCAUAUCAGCAGACAUGGUGAAAAACACCCUCUGCCCGGCAGACAUGGUGCAAGACACCCGCUGCCCUGCAGACAUGGUGAAAAACACCCUUUGCCCGGCAGACAUGGUGUAAGACACUCACUGCCCUGUAGACAUGGUAAAAAACACCCUCUGCCCGGCAUAGAUGGUGUUGAACACCCGUUGCCCUGCAUACAUGGUGAAAGACACCCUCUGCUAGACAGACAUGGUGCAAGACACCCGCUGACUUGCAAACAUGGUGAAAAACGCCAUCUGCCCGGCAGACAUGGCGUGAAAACGCCCUUUGCCCUGCAGAUAUGGCGUAAGAUGCUUUUUGCCUUGCAAACAUGGCAUAACCACCCUUGUGAUAAGCAGAAGGCGCCCUUUGCAUGUUUAGACAUGGCGUAUCCGGAAUAUCCAGAUGUGGAUGGGUAGUACGACUGCUCAGUUUCCCCUAAUGUUAGCGACCACCUGAGCCGGAUGACUCCUAGAAUUGGCCAAAAUAGUUCUUCCACAUGAAUGGACUUAGCCAACUGAAGUAUUCAAUUCCGUAAGACCCUGAUCUCUAACCGGAAGAGACAGUUAAGCGCAGGACAACUGCCUAUAAAAGAUCUCACGUGAACAAGAUGAUUCGUCUUCGACGUGUAGAUCUUUAUGAAGUGGCUUGAUUUUAAAGUGUUGCAAUACUAGUCAAGCAACCUAAGGGAUCAAAGCUACAACUCGAAAGGAUAUGGCCUCUGAGGGCCGACUUCGCCUGCACCUCACACCAAAGAAUGCCUCCGAGAGCCAGGGAUGAAGCCUGAAGUGGUCACGCGGGUCGUUUGCUUCUGUAAGUAAGAAGCCUGGCCGACGACCCUACGACUAUAAGCCCAAGGCAGCCUAUAAGCAGGAACUUACGUCUGCCUUGACUACGCAGACUCGCCUACUCACUUAUAAGCAGCGCUUCCGGGCGACGGUUUAUGGUUUAAGUUUUAUUAGGAUAAAGUUGAGUGUCACGACUAUAGUAGCUGCACGGACGUCCUCUGCUUCCUAUGAGAAGCACGAGUCCGGCCAACGGUUCUAUAAGUAAAAAAUCUCGCAACAUACCUCGAGAGGGCCAAGGCUCAAGAAGCCACUAAAGUCGAGUGUCACGACUACAGUAGCUGCGCGAACCUCCUCUACUUCCUACGAGAAGCACGAGUCCAGCCAACGACUCUAUAAGUCAAAAAUCCCGCAACAUGCCCUGGCAGAGCCAAGGCUCAAGAAGCCAUUAAAGUUGAGUGUCACGACUAUAGUAGCUGCGCGGACCUCAUCUGCUUCCUACGAGAAGCACAAGUCCGGCAGACUGCUCUAUAAGUCAAAAAUCUCGUAACAUACCUCAGGAGGGCCAAGGCUCAAGAAGCCAUUAAAGUCGAGUGCUAUGAAUACAGUAGCUGUGCGGACCUCAUCUGCUUCAUACGAGAAGCAUGAGCUCGGCUAACAGUUCUAUAAGUUAAAAAUCUCGCACUUUUUUCCUCUUGCAAGUAAAGCUUACGAAGCUACCCAAAGCCUAAAGUGACCACGUGAGUCAACUGCUCCAUCGGAGUAGCCCACACAACUACCUGUCCUACGGUAAAGUUUUGCAAGACACCACAAGCAGGCAAGGCUUAUGAAACCCAAAAGCCGAAACUUAAACCUAAGUAAUGACAUGGGAUCAGCUGCUUCGUUGAAACAACUCAUCCAGCCGCCAGUCCUACGGUAAAGUUUUGCAAAAGACAUCGCGAAAUAGAAGGAUGAAGCAAAAACAAGAAAGCUGUUUAUUAAAUUUCUAGCAAAUUAAUAAACCGGCUCGAAGGCUAACAAAGCUCAAGCAAAGAAGAAUAAAAAGGAAAAAAAAGAAAAACUCCUAAGUUUAAGCAAAAAGACUACUUCUUAGCAGCUUGCGCAAGCACUGGUUCCUUAACUGUCGUGCCUUCAGCAGCCGUGGCAUUCCAUGCAGCUAAAGCUUCCAUUAACUCAUCCUUAGUCGCCCCUGCCUGACCUUCAGCUGUUCCACCAAAGGCAGCCUCAAAUAAGAAAUCAAGCAGAUCAAUUGGAGAAAUGGAAAAAGUCUCGAAGUCCUUAUUGGAAAAUUCAUAAUUCAACGGCCUGCCCUGAAGAUGGUCUACAUGGCCAAGCUUGUAAAAAUCGGCCUGACAAGAAGCAAGCACCACUUCGCGACCAUCUUUCUCAUUCUUUAAUUGCAUUUUCUCCUCAAUAAGCUAGUGUGAACACCCUGCAGCUCAUCCAGUUCCUUUUUUAGGUUCUCGCUAGGAAACAACGUGCCUUACAGAUCCAUGUUUUUUUACUCAAGCUUACUGGCAAUCUCCUUGAGAUGAGACACUUCAUCAUGCAUGAAGAUAAGCUCCUCGUUCUUGGCAAAACAAGUAGAUCGUAGCUUCAAAUUGACACACUCAAGGUCAUCGACAACCGGAGAAACACAAAUGAUUUCCUUCUUUGCAACUUUCAACAUCGCCCGAGUCACACUAAGCCUAGCAUUCAAAUGGGUGGCCGCUUGAUGAGCAAUCUCCAACUGCAAAGAAGUGAGGGCAGAGACAUCAAACCCCUUCAAAACGAAAAGUUUAGAUUCGAGCUUCUCGAUCUUUUCAGCAAACGAGUGAAGCUAAGCCACCAAUGUCACUUCGGCCUCCUUAUCACACUUGAUUGCAUCCUGAUCAACGCGCAUAGACUCAGCUGCCAGAAUCAAAGUCUUAUGCAUUGUAGCAAUCAGGGAGGACUUCCUCGAGUUGGUAGGACGCUUCGCAAACGAGUUUGAGUGGAUGAUAAGUUUCCCAACAUUGUCAGCGAACUUGGUGCAUGCAUUGAUGUCCUUAAGCAGGUUAGCCUUCAGCAGUGCACAAACCUCAGGAAAUUCUCAAAAUUGCCCGUGCAAGUAGAUUUCCCCUUCUCAGCGGACGAGUUAGUGACAAUAGAAGGAGGAGUGGGCCCAAGCACCACUUUAGCAAUAGAAUCCACCUUCCCGCUCUUCAUAGCAGCGAGCCUCUCAGAAGCCUAUUCAGACUUAGCUCCUGAUGGACGCUUCGAUACAAAUCGGAUACCUGAGGCACCACCGAACCCUUCCGCUGGGCAAGUCUCUUAGCAAUAGAUGUAGUCGCCUUCGAAGUAGUAGGUUUCAUAGGCUCAGGCUCGACGGUCUUCCUCACCACCUUGGGAGAAGUUAGAUCAAUGACUAGCUUUUUGGCAGCAGACGAGCUCCUAUGAGCAACAGAAGAAGUCAUUGGCUUUUUCUCGCCGAAGGCUCAUGCAGGUGAGGAAGAUCUUUUCUUUCCACCGUUGUUGACAGCAGGCUCUAUAGCAGCGAUCGAGUGGGCCAACGCAUUAUCCUUUAUCUGCUUUAUCUCUUCUUUCGGAGGCAAACCACCUUUCUCCCGACGAAGAGGGCUAAGCAGCCAGCGCCACUCAUAGUACUCCGCAGGAGUGCCCAAGGCGACGUGCACUUUCUUCAUAUCUACUAAAGUCCUUGGAGUUGAGCCAAACUCCGAAUCUACACAAAAUGAGAAGAUGAUCAAUAAAUUGAAGUCAUGGAGCCGCUCAACAAAAACUAAAGCAGGACAAGAAUGAAGUAGUUAUCUUAGCACUAAUAAAGGUAGUCGGGACACGCAGCUCAGGAGAAGAGUCAGACUCCCACUCUCCGCUCACCUUCAAGGUGUCUCUCGUCCAAUCAUGAUCACCUUUGCUAGAAGCAUCGAACAAACUAUGGCAAGACCUUAGCUGCCCCAUACCUUCCUUGUGGCCGAUCUCAAAGAAAUACCAAAACUCAUUUAUGGUCAAUCCAAGAUCAAAGAACCUACUCAAGUUCAAAAAUCCCACCAUCGCACAAACUGCAUUUGGAGAGCACUGAGCAGGUGCGCAUUUCAUGGAGCAGAUCACCUCUUGAUAAGGACGUGGUAUGGGAAAAGUGAAUCCCAACACAAAGUACUACGGGUGGAAUUUGAUGGCUUUUUUCUUAGCAAAGGUAUUCUCUGCACAUGGUUCAUGGCCACUAUCAUCUUUCACCCGCUUGACGCGAACCCCAGAUGAAAUCACAUGCUUGUACACCUCAAGAAAAUCUCGAAACAGCUCGUCGGAAUUGUUCUUGACAUGCGCAACCUUGAAGUAACCCACCUUGCUAGAAGAACCACCUUGAUGAUACAAAGGUGGAGGAUAUUCGUCACUUUUACAGUCGGAGGAAGACAUCUCAAAGUCUCUACAAAAAAGUAAAAGAGAAAAUACUUAGAAGGAGGCUCAAAAAAAAAAAGAGAUGUAUGCGCGCAUAUAUAUAUAUGGCCUAGCAAUACAGAAGCCAUGCGGACACAGCUUAAGGUCUUGCGACCCAAGCUGCAUGCAUCAGCAAGAGGACCAGCCCGAGCCGGCCUCUUCUCCUCUCCAACCUUCAGCGGGCCCAAGCCUAAUGCGCUAGCCAAAGAGAUCUGGCCCGUGCCGAUCUCUCUCUCCCUCUCGCCGACCACCUGGCCAGCGCUAGCUCACCUCAUGCCGCAUCACUCUGUUGUCUUUUCAUGCACAGUAGCCCACGACAUCCAUGCUGUGUGUCACCAACAACCAGGACACCCAUCCAGCCAAGCCCCAAGGCUCCCAAAAAUUCAAGAAGAAAAAAUUCAAAUUUUUCUUACCUUGGCAAGGGCAAGAAAUGACUCUUCGCAAGGGCAAGAAAUGAAGAACGCUAGGGGAGGAGGAAGAAAAAAUAUCCUCCGACUUGUCUUUCUUGUUGGAAUAAUGAUUGUUCUCCAAAUUUAUUUAAUCCUCUGCUUAAGAUAGAAUUAAAUAGGUAUUGGGGGCAAUUAUUUUCCUUUUCCUAGAAGAAGCCUAUCUCCCAAUCAAGGAAAAAGAUCAAGUUCAAAUUCGGAAACAACUCUACAACCCAAGCAGCUUGGGAUUUCUACACCUACUGCCCUUUCCAUGUGAGCAGCACAGUAGGUGUAGGGGCAUUUGUGGAGCCAAAAAUAAUCCCAAAAAUUCUAGUGGCGACAUGUGGACUUUUAUUCAAGAAGGACAAGAUUGCCCUUAAUAAAUGGGCAGGUUUCUCAGAUUCUCCCACGCCCAGUUCACACCCCUGAAGGACUCAGCAGUUGAACACCACUGCCCACAGCUCACCUGCCCAUGGCAAGGAAUUAAAGAUAAGGAUUAAUUACCCAAAUCCUAUCUUUAAUACAUUCCUAAUUAAAGAUUGACUCCAAUCAAGUAAGUAAUCCUAAUUUAAACCAAUUAAGGAUUAUUACCCUAUUAUCUCAAGAUAUUAUCUCCUAUUAAAUAUCUUGGGAAUAUUUAGAGAAUAUCUUCUCCAUUUAACUCUUUAUGGCCGGCCCUAGCCCUAUAAAUACCCCAUAUUCUACCAAUUUCAUAGAGUUUUGGACAACCCUAAAAAGCCUCAAAACGCUUUACUCUCUCAGAGAAACUAACUUAGGCAUCGGAGAUCCGUUGACCUAACCCCCCCCACCUCGUGGGCGUGUGAGGCUUACAUCUCUGAUCAAAGAUUUUAAUUAUUUUGCAGGUGCAUUUUCGUCAAGACUGAAGACGGCGAAAAUUUUCAUCCACACAUCAAAAGAUGAAACUCAAUGAUUUUCUCCAAAUCACUUUGGUCUUCUGUUCAGACCCCCUCCUCCACACCUUUUUUUGGAGUUUCUUCUGCAUCUACCAUCAAUCAUCCUUCUCUGGCGAUUCUGUACGUAAACAAGUCUCCAUUUGUAUUGUUAAUUACUUGGUUUCUUUACAUUAACCUUAAUUAAGAGUUAAAGAUACUUUGUGCGUGGAACUUGCUUGUGUGGUCCAAAUCUUGAAAGUUAGGCUUUCGUAUUUCAGCUUUAUAGCUUUUUGUCGAGUGCCAACUGCCAAGGUACUUACAAAAAUCAUGAGUUCAUGGCCAUGGUUUUGUUCCACAAACAAAGUACACAAAACCAAAAUAUGGAUUAACAACUUCAAUUUUUAUGUUUUCCGUUUUGGUAGUAUGGCAGUUUGCCCUCAUUGCUUAGAGGCCAACUCAAACUCAAGUCCAUAAGAGUAAACAUCUAAGAAAUUCGCAACAUCGUUCCAUCAUGAUGCUUCUUUUGUCACCCUGUUUUUCCAUAACUUAACCUGUUAACUCAUUUAUGAAUUAAAUUAUUUAUUUGAAUAAAAAUUGUUUAUAUGAGUUGUGAUAAUGAUAUAUUUACACUAAGAGUGUGGAGAAUAAAUUGGUAUCGAGCUCUCUAUUCAUAAGAUUCGAAUCUGAGACCUCUCACUCGCAAGUAAAACGGAAUAUCAUUAGACUGUCAAACAAAACGGUGACUUUUGUCUUUUAUUUUGAAGAGAUUCAACUUUUGUUUCUUCAAGAAAGGACACAACCUUUUGGAAAAUUAUAAUUAGUUUUUAAAAUCUGAAAAUUCGUUCUAGAGUCGAAGGUGAAGAUGCAGGAAGUGGAGGCCCAAUUUCUUGGAAAAUUAUAAUUAUUUUUAAUGGAUUGUGUCGUGCUAAACCCGUUGAAUGGGUAAUGUGACCUGAUUCGAACUUGACCCAUUGAAAUUAAUGAGUAAUAUGACUCGACCCGUUACUCGUUAAUGAAAUUAUAUUUUACUUUAAUAAUAAAUCAAAUGAAAAACGUCAUCCUAAUUAGUAUCUACAUACCACAUUGUCACUAAAUUAGUAUCCACAUACCCCAAGCCCUAAAACCCUAAUCCUAAAAAUCCAAACGAUGAUGUAAUGUCAAAGCGUAGAGAAUGCGAUCACAAGCAUUCACAUAGUUUUUUCACUUUUUAUUAUGAAUUAUUAUACAUUUUCAACUCCACCUAAAAAAUUAGGGUUUGGAGGGUUUGAAAAUUUAAACAACAAUGUACCCAUCGUCAAAGCGUAAAGGAUGUGAUCACGAGCGUUUGCAUAUUUGUUUCACAUUUUUCGCACUUAUAAAUUAGUUAUUAUGAAUUUUAACGUAGUUUUAUUUUUCCUACAAAAAAUACAAAAGCACAUUAAAAGAAUAAUUAAUUUACAAGUGUGAAAAUGUCAAAAGAUAUGCAAACGCUCAUGAUCACAUCCUCUACAUUUUGACGAUGGGUAUAUGGUUGUUUGAAAUUUUAAAACCUCCAAACCCUCAUGAACAGUGUUUUUUUUGGGAGUUCAGAAUAAAUAAAAAUUCAUAAUAAUUAAUUUACAAGUGUGAAAAAUAUGCAAACACUCGUGAUUACAUCAUUUAUUGUGACAACCCGUCCCUAAUUUUUUGUUUUAUAAAUUUUAAAAUAGUGAUCUUAUGAAAAUACCCUUAGAGGCAAGGAUGUUUGACUUUCGUUGACCAUUCAAAGUCAUAAUUAAUGUUUCCAAAUAGAUCUUGAAGCUAUGAACACAUAGACGAAAGCCAUUUGCAAGUCCAGAUUAUAGUGGUAUAGUAAUGGACAUUUAAAGUCUUUUUACUAAACUAUAGAUUUUAAAUUAAUUAAAACUCCCACCUUGUGGGAAUGGUAACCAAUCAAAGGUGAAGACCGACACAAUCAGUUACAAGUUUAAGGGGACCAAUCAGCUACACGGACAAGUGACUAAUCAAAUUAAAGGAGCCAAGGACCAAUCAGAAAAUAGAGGGAGAGAGAGAGAGCCAAGAGAGAGAGUGUACCACUCUUCUUCCCGUCUACCCAUCCCCGUGACCUCCCAUUUUCCAUCGCCGAUUCCAGCCAACUCCAGUGGAAUUUUUCGACAUCACCACCACCCUCUUGAAGCUCUCACUCUACAAAGCCCAACCAAGAACCACCUUGAUUAACCUAUAUAUGUGGUGGUGUGAGGCCACAAAAUCCAAUGAAAACAAAUGGUGCUCCGGCCACCCUUUUCAUUUUCCCGAUGAAUCGACAAAGUGAUGGCUGACAACACCACUUGUUUUUUGUAGCCCAUCAUCCCAUGAAUAAAUUCCAACCAGCCUUGACCCUGUUGGACCGCCUACCCUGUUGGACCACCCUAGGCGACGAAUCGACGCCGGGAAGCUUUAGACACCCGCCAGCUUUAUCAGAGAAAUUGAUCAUCUUCCGUCAACUUUUGGACUUCAUGGCAGGUAUAAAACUUGUUGCUCUUGUUGAGCUCUAUCUUCCUACAAAUUUUGGUAGAAUUUGGAGUUAGUCGAAAAAUUGCGUUUUCUGUUGCCGAAAACCGCCGCGUACGGCAGCGUGUGGCUUGAGACCCGACCUACCCAUCCUAGGUUAAUUUAUAUGCCCUGAUUCAUAUUUGACACCUAAUUGAUGGAAUUCCAUUAUUUGAGUAUAAUUUUGUUGAAGUCCACCACUUGAAUAUUAUAACAAUCGACGAUCCGAUCGUUGGAUCGUCACUAAAUUUGAAUACAUUGUAGUACAUAAUAUUUAAGGACCAUAGGAACUUAUGGAUUAGGAAUCCAACGUAUGGAUCUUCCCGAAUUAGAUUUGUAAGUUUGUAUAAUAAAACGUUAACCGUCACUUGAAUUUGCAAUUGGUGGAGAUUCAACCGUUGGAUCGUAAUGAAACUAUAGUAUGAUGUUCUAGGAGAAUACUGUGGAUGUUUGGAAGUUACAAAUCAAAAAUCCAAGGUGCGGAUUUUUUUAAUCGAGUUACGUAGUGUUAUGGACCCUACCAUUGACCUUUGCCCGACAGUUGACUUUUGGUCAAUGGGUUUCAAAUCAUUCUAGAACGUCCUUGGGGGAUGUGUUUUAUGUAAGUUAAGUGUUCUAUCGAUAAAAAUUUUGAGACGUGAUUUGAUAUUUAUUGUAGGCGAUGAUCGUUCUUAACGUCUCGAUAUUCAUGCUAGGAAGUUGUAGCGUUGACUUCAAGCAAGUGGGCAUUUUAUGUGUGUAUAUAUAUGUUGUAUAGUUUCCAUAAAUUCUUUUAAGUUGAUUUAUGCAUGUUAUGCCACAUUUUACUUACUUUUAUAAUAAUGCCGUGGUGGUUGAGAUUUAUAUUUGAUCAUGGUAUAUUCAUAUGCAUUUUACCUGCUCAUAAAUACUAUGUUGUUAUGAAAUGCUAAGUGACACGCAGGUAAGUUCAGGUGAAUUAUUGUGUUGUUUGGUAUGUUUGAGUUAUGGCAUGCUCAUUUUCAUAUAGUGGCUCAUCAUUGCUACACCCAAUGUUAGUGCUCCUGCCCCGAGCCAGGGCCAAUCUUUCACGUGAUGUUCACCUCGCACCGCACGCUUGCCUUGGAUGCAUGUAGGUGCUAGCCCUGUCAUAUAGGUCGCAUUAGGUGACUCUGACUUGUAGGUGAUGCACAUAGCGCUAGCCUUCACGUGAUCGUAGCACUAGAGCGUAUAUUAUUACACCUAGACAUGUCGUACAAGUCACAUUAGGUGACUUCGACUCGUGUGUUAGCAUAGAUGGAUGAGCAAUAGGUGCAGUCGUACAUUUCACAUUAGGUGACUCCGACUUGUAUCCUAGUAUCGACAGUCGAGCACAUGAUUAUAUUUACAUUGUUGUUGACAUAUUAUGCUGUGGCAUGCUUCUGAUUCAAUUGUGGGCGUGCAUUUUAUUUCAUACUUAUACGUAGUAUGAUUUUCUAGAAACUAUACGUAUUUUACAAUGAAGGGUUAGUAUGUUUAGAAAGCAAAUGGUUUUUUAAAACUUUCAUUUUUACGCCCACUUGCCCUUCUAUUUUUUGCGCCUCCAGGUUUUAGUAGCUGAGCUUUCAUAUUGACAAGGACUUAUGGUAAAUCUCAGUCUAAGUGGUUAUCUCCGAGGGUAUAAUUCUCAAUCCACUCUACUGUACUUUACUUAUACUCUGACGUCACGUGUGAAAUGGGUUCAUUGCCGCUCACGCGCCACACUCUUGUAUUUAGGCACUUUUAGGUUUAAAUUUGUUGAUGCACAAAAUCAGUGAGGACUUUGGUGUAACAGAAAAUGUUAAGUUUGUGACCUUUGCUAAAUUGCUCCGGUCACUAGUGUGGAUAAAUAUGUAAAUGGAUAGAGACAGGGAAGCAAACACAAGAUAUACAUGGUUCACCCAGAUCGGCUACGUCCACGGAGUAGAGGAGUUCUCAUUAAUUGUGAAGGGUUUACACAAGUACAUAGGUUCAAGCUCUCCUUUAAUGGGUACUAGUGAAUGAUUUAAUACAAAUGACAUUCGGAAAUAUUGUGGGAGAAUGAUCUCCUUUUAUAGAAAAGAGUUUCUAGCUUUGUUUUGACAUUGACACGUGUCGUGUUGUGAUUGGCUUUUGAUGUUGACACAUGUCGCGCUAUGAUUGGCUUCUGAUGUCGACACAUGUCGCGUUGUGAUUGGCCUCCUGGUUGGAGGGAAACUCUUUUGGGUCCUUGACGGUAUAAAGUUGACCGGUGCUUAGUAGUUUCAGGAAUGGUCAAGUAUGGUACAAACAGUGCUCCCCUAAGUUUCCGAGUGAGGGAAGCUCCCCGGUUGGGGACUUGCAAGAUCCAAGCCAUUAAGUAAUCACGAAACUUCUAAGUAUCGAAGUGUGGUAUCAUUUUCACUUGCCUGAUCUGUCUCAUAUGUAGAUGUGGCAUCUUCUCUGGAAGUACUUUUCCUCCAUCCAGGAGUGGUAUCUUUAACCGGUGGAGUUGCCCAAGGUAAUGUAUCAAUUUCACUUGAAGCUUACUUGUAGUUUCAGGCUUGGUCAAUCACGAUACAAACCAUGUAGUAGGAGUCCCCCAAGUCGCCGAGCUAGGAGAUUUGUCGAAAGAGGUGACAGACAAGGUAAGCAAUUAGAGCUCCAAGCAAUCAGUCUCAUAUCAGAAGUUUGAUUUCAAGUUUCGGCUGAUUGUUCUCAUUCUCCCUAUCUUGCAGGCAGCAUGAAGGAUAAAGAGAAUAAAAAUGAGAACAGAUGAUAUGAGAUACUUUUGCUUUUGAAGAAGUAACUUUCCACAUGCUUAUUCUUGAACUAGGUUGGAGGGUUUUCUGGUUUCCUCCAUAGUAUAAGGCUGACGAAAGAAUUUGAGGGUCAAAACAAGUCCAUCAAAUCUAGAGUACCUUCGACCCUGAUGAUAUGGGAUACUUUUGUUGUUGACAAAGUAGUGGACGUAUCGGCACAUGUUCUGUUAUACUUGUCUCCACAUGCUUCCUUGUAUCCUUCUCACUUCCCUAUCUGUUCCUCAGGCAGAUGUGGUAUCUUCUCUAGAAGCAUAAGAUGUUGAAGAUGAGUACUCGAGAGCAAUGCCAGGUAAGUAAUCAGGCAAGGGGUUCUAGGCAAUCAGUUCUUGACUGGAAGCUUGAUUUCAAGUGCUGAUUGAUUGCUCUCUUUUUCCUUGUCUUGCAUGUAAGAACAAGGGCAAAGGAAAAGACAAGGAAAAAGCAUAAUAUGGGAUACUCUUGCUUUUGACAUAUAUAAGAGUAGAAUAAGAGUCUCCCUAACAACAAGUAGUAAUGUUAUUCCUUUACCCUUCUUGGUCACAGUAAUGUAGUGGGACACGUGUUUUAACUUUGUCAGACACUUUGAAAAUGUGGUUUGUGGUAUCUGGAAAGUUGAUGUUGCGUGUGAAGAUUGCAGACAACCUUCAUCCAAGGAAAUCUGGCUCUCGAAGUUCGGAGAGCGGUGCCUCUUCUGUUUUCGAACAAGUAAUCUUGUCGGGGAUCUGGCUCUUGAGAUUCGGAGAGCAGUGUCUUUUCGAUUUUUGAGAAAGUAAUCUUGUUGGGAGUCUGUCUCUCGAGAUUUGGAGAGUGGUGACUUUUCGAUUUUUGAGUAAGCAAUCUUGUUGGAGUGUUUUCUCGAACGUGAGUAAAGGUUGGGCAUUUUUGCUAGUCUGCCUUGCCACGAAGCAUGGAGGUUGACACACAUAGGGACUUUCCAGUUAUCAAGCAAUGGUGUUGUUCCUUUACCCUUGUGGGUAAUAGUAGGGAAACCGGACCUUCAAAAUUUAUGUGUCUAAACUUUGUCAGAGAUUUUUGGCAAAGUUAUUUGUGGUACCCGAUGAGCUGAUGUUGCAUGUGGAAAGUGGUGCCUCUUUGAAAUCCGGAGAGUGGUGCCUCUUCGAUUUUUGAACCAUCGGCCAUGUUGCUCUUUCUUUUAUAAGGGCACCAAUUGUGUGCAAGAAGUACAUUCAGAGAGUCAUUGCUUGUAGGAAUUUUCCCCUUAUUUUUGUACUUCAGAGAUUUAUUGCACCUCAUUUCUCCUUUAUCAUUUCUGAGAAUGUCUAGCCCAUCCGACUGUCAUUUUGACUUGAACUUUGGUGAAGAGGCAGCCAUGCCUUCUCAGGACAACAUAUGGCGUCCAUCCUUUUUAUCCCUUAUUGGUCAUUUUACCGUUGAGGACUCUGUGAUGAAGAAUGAUAUGAUCGCUGCGGUGGUGGCUAGAAUCCUUCUCCCUCCCAAAGAUAACAAACUACUUUCCAAACAGUCUGAUGAGUUGGCUUUUAAGGAUUCUUUGGCUCUCAGUGUUCAUUGUGCAGGUUCUGUGUCUAAUAUGGCCCAACGCCUAUUUUCUCGAACCCGCCAAGUUGAAUCAUUGGCGGCAGAAGUGAUAAGUCUCAAAUAGGAGAUCAGAGGGCUCAAGCAUGAGAAUAAACAGUUGCACAGGCUCGCACAUGACUAUGCUACAAACAUGAAGAGGAAGCUCAACCAGCUGCAGGAAUCUGAUGGUCAAAUUUUACUUGAUCAUCAGAGGUUUGUGGGUUUGUUCCAAAGGCAUUUAUUGCCUUCAGUGCCUCCUCCUUCUGGGGUUUUGCCCAGUACUGAGGCUCCGAAUAAUCACCCUCUAGUGCCUCAUCUUUCAGGGGCUCUGUCGAUUGCUGAGACUUCUCUUGAGCAACCUUUGUGAAGGCUCCCUCUUGUUUGUUUAUUUUGAUUCAGGUAUAUGUAUAUAUUUGUAACUUAUCAGAUAUAUCAAUAAACAAGCUUUAUUUCAUUUCAACGUAUUGUGUUAAAUACACCAAGGCCUUCUUCACUAAGUUCUUUGAAUUUUUUCUUUUGUUGAAGCUUGUAUGUUGAAGCUUUGUGAGUGAAGCAUAUAUGUUGAGGUAGUGCUCCCUUAAUUUCCCAAGUGAGGAAAACUUCUCGAUUGGAGACUUGAAAAAUCCAAGUCACUAAGUGAUCGUGAGAGUUUCGAGUAUGAAGGUACAGUAGCAUAUGAUAGGAGUCCCCCAAGUCUCCGGUCGAGGGAGUUGACGAAUGAGGCAUUUCCUUUCUAAGUGGUAGCCCAAAACUCCUCCUUCAUAUAUAUUUGUUAUGAAAGUUGUUAGGCCCAAAGAAGAGGAGGCUUAGGCAAUUUUUUUUUCCUAAUUUAUUUUCUCGAAUUUGUUUUUUCGAUUUAUUUUUUAUUUUUUAUUUUUUUGAAUUUUUGAAUUUUCGAAUUUCCGAAUUUUUGAAUUUUCGAAUUUCCGAAUAUAUAUAUAUAUAUAUAAUUUAAGCUUUGUAGGUGAAGCUUUGGUGUUGAAGCUUUGUAGGUUAACCUUUGAGGUUGAAGCUUUGUUCGGUACCAUGAAUUGAUUUUGCUUCACACUAUCUUGAUCAAGAUAGUGUGAAGCAUUUGUAGGUGAAGCUUUUGUGAUGGGUGAAGCUUUUGUUGGUGAAGCUUUUGUAGGUGAAGCUUUUGUGGUGGGUGAAGCUUUUGUGGUGGGUGAAGCUUUUGUAGGUGAAGCUUUUGUGGAUGAAGCUUUUGUGGUGGGUGAAGCUUUUGUUGGUGAAGCUUUUAUGGGUGAAGCUUUUGUGGGUGAAGCUUUUAUGGGUGAAGCUUUUGUAGGUGAAGCUUUUGUGGUGGGUGAAGCUUCUGUCGGUGAAGCUUUUGUAGGUAAAACUUUUAUGGGUGAAGCUUUUGUGGUGGGUGAAGCUUUUGUGGGUGAAGCUUUUAUAGGUGAAGCUUUUGUGGGUGAAGCUUUUGUGUUGAAGCUUUGUAGGUGAAGCUUUGGAGUUGAAGCUUUGUAGGUGAAGCUUUGGAGUUGAAGCUUUUGUUGGGUACCAUGAAUUGAUUUUGCUUCACACUAUCUUGAUCAAGAUAGUGUGAAGCAUUUGAGAAUUUGUAGUUGUCCUCCAUUGAUGAAGCUUUUGUUGGUGAUGUUGGAAAUAUGCCCUGAAAGUCAAUCUUUGGAAGAAACCUUUCAGGACAAAAGAAUCGAUGUAUGGAUGACUCUUAUACAUCAAAUGGCAAAGACACGAAUUAGCACUAUCUCAAUAAACGAUAUAUGUCCUAAAUAGUGUAUCCAUGGAUAAUGGAUCGAUUGAAGAAGUAAUCUAAUGAUGUUAGACUACAGAGACCUUCUUCACAUAACCAUUAUGUCCAAAAAGGUUCCUAGUCAUUGGAUUGCCGGAGGGAAACUGACAAUGCUUAGACUGGUACAUACUGUGUCCGCUUCAAAUGGAAGGAUGGAAAGUCUCAUCCCAUUCGUGUUGUGACACUAAGACAAGUAUGUAGGUGCUCAUUAAGGGAAUGAGUUCACUGAACACAAUCGAACGAGAGUACUUGCAUGGAGGUCUACUCACAUGUCAAGCAAGUAACUCUAAUGGUUGGAAUAAUGUAAGUAGUCCUUUGACCUGAGGCAUCGUCGUUGUCUUGUGGCUAAGUACUUAAUCUUUGAUUAUGUCAAAGUCACCCCAUUCGCGGAUGUCCACGGCAUAAUUGGGGUUAAGCCACUUAGUCAUGAAGGCAAGUGAAUGCGCAACAAGGAAUCUCUAAUCCUCGAUUAGAGAGGAAGAAUACUCUAAGAUAUGAUUCGGGAAUCUUCGGCCGAAGUAUCGAGCGUAAUAAAGGAAAGCGUUCCUAUACGACUCAAUAGAAUCAUAUAAGAAGGAAUAAUCACAUUAGGGGUUUGACAUAAUAUAUCCAUACCCUAAUAAUGUGAUUGAGAGAGUAUUGUUUUAGAGAAGGAUCGAAUUACAUUGUAAUUCCAACUGAAUAGGUUCUCCGAACAAACUUCUACAUUAGCUUGGGUAGCUAUGACAUAUGGUUAGAUGUCACUCAUAGCUUGUGAGUUCUUCUAGAUGAUUAAAUGUAGUCAUCAAAGAAGAAAGGUGAAUUAAAAUGAAGUUUUAAUUCACUAAGUGAUUGAAUUAAAUAUAAUCAAUUGGAUUGAUGCCAAUCACCUCACUGCCUUGCUAAUUAGAACCUAAAAUGAUUGUUCACCGAUACACUCUUGUAGUGAGUAAUUAAUGGAUGAUGGAAAUAAUUAAUUGGAUUAAUUAAGUGUUGUGAUUAAUUUAGAAAGUCUAAAGAAAUCAUAAAAGCGAUAAAGAUCGUUUUGGGCUUAAAGAAACGUUCGGGUUUAAUUGGGCCCAUUGGGCCUAAACCCAUUGGGCUUUUAUUCAAGCAUUGGAUGACUUGAAAAUAAUAAAAGCCCAAAGCCCAAACCAACACACUAAAGGGCCGGCCACUUAAAGGGUUUGGGAGAGAUAUUUAGUCAAGUUGUUGACUAGGUUUCUUUUUUUGUCUAUAUAAAGGAACUUUUAUAGACAAAGUUCAUUAGGGUUUUUGUGUGUUUUUGAACAACAAAGAGGCAAAAGAAAAAUAGCUCUCUAAAACCACAAAGGCCGGCCACCUUAGAGGGUGAAUUUACUAACAAUCUUUCACCCUUUUGGUUAUUCCUUCAUCCUUCUCACUACACUAGUGGGUGUGGAUCUUUAGAGGUCUUCUACUUUGGAGACUUAAAGGAGAACCUAGGAGCACUCAUUACUAACAAAGUGGAGGAGGCAAGGAGGGAAGCUAGGCUCAAGGAUUUCAAGGAACAAAGGGCUUGGAGGUGGUCCAUCCUUGGUCUCAAGUCUAGAUCAAGAGGUAUAAGACUAAACCUUCACUUUGUUCUUUACUAAAAUGUUUUGAUGCAUUAUAUAUAAACCUAUGAACCUUGAAGGGAUUUGCAUGACUAUAGCUUUGAUAUUUGAUAAAUGCUUCCGUUGCUCAUGUAUAUAAAUUUUGAAUUGUAUAUGCAUGCUAGUCAUUUAGAAAUCCCAUGUGUUAAAACUCAUAAUUUUCCCUUCAAGUGGUAUCAGAGCCAAAGGUUUAUGUAUAAUGUGUCCUUUUGGAUUUUAUGCAUAUGGGUAUUAAUAUUAUGUAUGACAUAAUUAUUGUUUCAUUCAAAAUAUGUUUAUCUUUUGUUUUUCAAUAGUUGAAAAAUGUUAGUCAAUAGUUGAGAAAGAUAUGUAUGCAAAAAGAUGUUUUGUAUGCAUGAAUGAAAAAUUGAGUUUUGAACUAGUUUGACAUAUUAUUUCUUCAUUUAAAAGUAUGUUUUAUCUUUUGUUUUUCAAUGGUUGAAAAAUAUAAAUCAAGAGUUGAAAAGAUAUGCAUGUAAAAGUUGUUUUGUAUGCAUGAAUGAAGAAUAAGUCAUGAACAAAAUUUGGGGUUUUGUUCUUUAUGGUUGGCACGGUUUUGGGGUUUUUGGGCAUGUGUUUGUGUUUUAUUGUAAGACACUCACACAUCCAUUUUAAAGCUAGAAAGUAGAAACCUUGUCACUUUUGUUUUUGGGUUUGAAAAAUCACCAAGAAUACACAAAUCUUGAAAAAUGUGUUCAUGGUUUUGUUCUUGGUGUUCAUAGUUUGGUUUUGGGUGAAAAUGGUUUUAUUUGGUUUUCAUGCAUAGUUUUUAUGGUUUUGGAUGAUGUUCUUACCAUCCAUAACCAUAUUUAAAACUUUUAAAACCCUAGACUUGUCUAGGAGAUUUCCAUCACCUUUUUCAUUAAAAUCAUUUUAAACCAAAACCAAGUGACAAGCAAAAUUUGGAUUUUUCUACUUUGCAUUGAAUUAAAGCAAGAUGUGUGAGACUUCCCAUCUCCCCUUAAUGUGGCCGGCCACCCUAGUGGAUUUAUCCACUUGUGGGGCUAUUUUGUAAUUUGGAAAAAGAUAUUUUUAUACUUUUGAGUAUUUACGGUUUGACCCCUAACUUUUUCAUAUUUGCAUUUAGGCCCCUACUAACUAGAAAGUUAAAAUAUUUGAUUUUAAUUUUGUUAGUUGUUUAAACUCAUAAUUCUAUUAUGCCCAUAUGCACUAAAUCUAAAUGUUUAUGUUGCAUUCCAUUUUGAUUAUUUAAAUGUGAUUAAGUAGUUAGAAAAAUGGGUGACUUAUGGACUUAUGCCUUAAACGAUAAUUGAGCUAUGAGAUAAGGCGCUAAAAUCAAAUUGUUUGAACCUUGGGAAUGUGUUUUAAUUACUGUUUUAAUUGGACCUUGUCACGUUUGACGUUAAUCUAUCUCUCCCCCUUUUAGUAUAUGUAAUUUAUAGGAAUUUGUACAAAUCGGUUUGUAAUUCUUAUUACUUCUUAAUCUCUUUUCGUUAGUUGAUUCCCUCUAGUGCUAGACUAGAGUUUCUUUAACUAUUGGUAAGGAGACAUAACUAAAAGAGGGUUUUGACAUGAGAUUAAAGAUUAAAAUGGGUCCAAUGCCCUAAUUAGCAAUGAAUGAUUGUCUUUCAUUUUCUAAUGGCUCAAUGAAAAUUUUUUAAUUGGAUUGAAAAGCACGUAAUUAAAUUGACACAACCUCCCCGAGUUUUAUAUUCAACAAUGUUGGCUCGUUGUUGCAAUAACCUAAUAAGUCCAUGGUCAUCCAAGAGCCUAAGAUAACUAUAAAGUCCAAUUUCAAAGGAAUGCAAAAACCUUAGUAGUAGUAGUUACUUCCAAUAUUUUGAAAAAUUCGUUUUUGAUAUUGAUUUGUUUUUCUUAAAACAAAUAGUGGGAGUAUCAUACGCUACUAAACUAUAAUGAAUACAAUUAGUAGUUAUAUAUAUCUCCAAUAUUUUGAAAAAUGUUUUGAUAUUGAUUUGUUUUAUGAAAACGAAUAGUGGGGAUAUCAUAUGCUACUAAUUUCAUUAACUUUGGACUAGUAGUUGUAAUAGGACAUUAUUUAUUUGAAUGUGAUUAAAUAAAUAAAAUUGAUGAGACCUUAAAAUCCCUCAACCAACAUACAAUAUUAAGUUGAAAGCGUAAGAGUGCUUUGAACACUUUUUCGUGGCCUUCCACCGUGGUAGGCUCCAAUCGUUUAUGACUUGUACACCGCCUUCACCCUAUCAUGGGGGGAGUGACAAAGUGCAUGCUUAUAUUCAGGAGGAGUUUAUUUAAAACAUUUGAUGAGGUUAAGGUAGGCAACGAGUGUGGCCAACAUCGUAUCAUCGUGAGGUCAUGCUUGAACCCCUAUCUAAACCGGCAUGGUGGGAAAGAACUUAACUAAGAGAAAUAAUGCCAACAUCGUAUCAUCGUGAGGCAUUAUUUCUCUAGAGGCCAAAAAGAUGGGUAAUCACAAGAGGUUGUUGUGAAUGGGUAAUUGUACCCUCUCAUUAUUAUUUUUGCUAGCCAACAUCGUAUCAUCGUGAGGUGGGCUUGGUAAUAGUGAGCCUCCCAUAACCCGCUAGGAGCUUUCUUUGAAAUCUCCCGGAUUCCAUCUAUGAGGGAUAUGGAAUUUGCCAAAAAUGGUGGGUGGUGUCAUUCGGUUUAAAGACCCGAAUCGUUUGACUUAAUCAACAAUCAAAUCUAAUUAUUUUAUUUGUUUAUGUAUAUAGAUAUGGUUGGAAGCACACUCGCGAAAAUACUCGACAAACAUUGCCUAGAGGGGCACAAUUUCCCAUCAUGGUAUCGUAAUGUCAAGAUUCUCCUAACAUUGGAGAAGAUUGUUUACGUACUAGACAAGGCUCCACCUCACAUACCUCUUCGGCCCUGAGGCUACUGAGGAUGAACGUGCUAAGUAUGACAAGCACGUUGAGGAUGAUACACAAGCCAAGUGCUAUCUGUUGGCUUCCAUGAAUGAGGAGCUACAGAGACAGCACGAGGGCAUGGACAGUGCAUCUUCCAUAAUACUCCAUCUUACGGAGUUAUAUGGUGAAGGGACGCGCAACCGUCGCUUUAGCACUGUUUGUGAACUUGUGAAGACCAAGAUGGUCAAGGGGGCUCCAGUGCAUCAACAUGUACUGAAGAUGAUAGGAUUCAUUGAACAAUUGGAGAACCUUGGUACUCCACUUGACGGGGAAUUGGCCCAGGACUUCAUAUUGGCUUCUCUUUCUGAUUCAUUCGCGCAGUUCGUAAUGAACUACAAUAUGAAUAAGAUGGAUAGUACUCUCUCUGAGUUACUAAAUAUGUUAGUAACUGCCGAGAAGACUAUGAAGAAAGAGAACGUUGUAGGGACUUCUGCAGUAGCCUACAACAAGCCAUCCUCUUCCAAGGCCAAGCCGCAAGGCAAAGGCAAAGGGAAGGAGAAGAAGUCACCCACUCCUAAGCCGAAAGGAGGAGUGAGGAAAAAGAAGGCAAAGGAGCCCAAAGGGACUUGCCACCACUGUGGAAAGGAGGGGCAUUGGAGGAGGAAUUGCAGGUUAUACCUUGCAAGUCUUAAGGACAAGCCACAAGGUAUGGUUUAUGUUCUUAUCUUCAAUUCUAAAUGUUAGAUCUUCUAAAUAUUUAUAUUUGAUAUAAAGAGCUAAUCACUUGUAUAAUUGUAUAUAGGUGGAGGAAGCCAAGUAGAAGAAGGAACAAGCAAGGAAAAUGUGGUGAAGGGUUCGGCCACUAUUAUUUUUUUGCUUACUACUUAGGAAGUUUGUUAGGCAUUUAAAGAUUGUCUUUAAACUUUCUUAUUUUGUUAAGAACUUAUUAUGUGGCUUCAUAUGAUGGAAAGACCACUAUUAGUGCCUAAAUGUAUAAAGGUAUUUAUAUUAGUCUCUAAAUGUAUAGAGCUAAUACUUUUUGUAUUAAACAUUAUGAAUGUUUGAAACUAUCAUAUUAAUGUAAUGUGAAGAAUGCCUUUUUAAUAUACUAUUUCCUUAAAGUAGUGUUAUGAAUUGAAAAUUGUCUUGUUGUAUCCUAGAUGAGAUACAAGAGUUAUAUCACUUAUUGUAAUGUGAUAAACCAAACUUUAGAUUUAUCAAUUAUGGAUAGAUCUCACAUGUAGGACAUAAAAGAUACAAUGAAUCUUUAUUUGGUUCCAAUUUGUCUACUUAUGAGUUCUAUAUGAAUUGACAAAAGUCUAGAGAAUCCUUUCUUGAAGAAAAGGAAGAUCACAUUAUAAUGAUAUAAGUAAUAAGAAAAACGUUUCUUAUAUGGUUAUCACUUGAAACACAAUGAUCAAGAUCACUCUUGAUUCAAUUAGUAGUUUUGAACAACUAAUUGGGCAUUCUUUAAAAUUGUUUUAAAAUGUCAAUUGUGUUAGUGAUUAAACCAAGAAAGAAGUGUCUAAAUCUAUAAAAAUGUUUAAAGACUUUAGUCACUUAAAUAACAAGACAUUUAACUUAGUGAAGAUUGAAACAAAUAAGCUUGAAAUGUUUUAAAGCUACUACACAAUGUCUUCUACCAAUAUAAUCCACUUUUAUACAUUUUGAAUGUAUGAAAUGAUUUCUCAUUAAAGUCAUGAGAAAUAGUGGGAGGUGUGAAAAUGGAUAUAAACUUGAAUGUGAUUGGUUUAUAGUUGUCUAAAGAAUAAUAGUACUUGACUAUUAUUAAGAGUUUGUAAUUUUAAUUGUUAAAAGGACUCAAGCUCUUCAAACGUUAAAAUUCUAUGUUGUGUGACAUUCUAAAGAAUAGUCUUUGAAUGUUGGUUUCGUCAACCUAGCAUAAAAUGGUUAUAUGUUGGGAGUUGUCCAUCAUUUCUCUUUUAUGAGAACAAGCUAAAUAACAAAGCAUAUGGACAAGUUGAUGAAACAAAAGGGAAUAAGUUUCAAAAUGAGUCACAACAUAUGGUUUAACAACAAGACAAUCCAAAUUCAACAUCUCAUGUAACGAUAUUGCUCUAUGUAGUUUUGAUAAAGAAUUAUAUCAACCACCUAGAAGGAAUGGUUGAGUUUCUAUAUCCUUAGUAGGAGCCAUGCUUCCACUAAAGACUUGGAUAAUUCUUAUAUGACUACAUUAAAGGUCUUAGUAUGACUAAAAACUUGAAAUAAUAAUGGUGUAUGACACAUUUCAAAAUGGAAUUACUUGAGAAGGAAUUUCUUUUGUGUGAUUCAUUUAAGUUUAGUGGGAGCAAAUAUGCAUUCAAAUCAAGAAAAUAUAAUUGUUAAUUUUUGAAUGAAUGCUAAGUUACAACAAGGCCAGUGGGAGUGAUGUCAUAAUUUGAGCAACAAGAUGUGAAUAAAGUCUAUUUGAUAGACUUGAUAAAACAUAGAUGUUACUCGAAAAAUGACAAAACAUGACACGGUCAAUUUUGAAGUAUAGACUUGAAAUUGGACUUAUUGAUAUAGCAAAGCUAUCUCAAUAAUGUUAUAUGGGAAUUAAAUCUCAAAUGUUGAAGAUUUAAGAAAGCAUUUUCCUAUGUGAUAGGAAAUCACUUUCAUAACCCUUAUAAUGAAUGUGUCAUAAAAUCACAAAAGGGACACAUGUAUUGACUUGUGAAGAAGAUAUCCAAAGGUGAAGAACCAAAGGGGUUUAUCACUUUAAGAUAUUACUAUAUCCCAGGAUCAGAACCAAAGCAACUGAUAGAGUAUUAUUGCCUUUAAGAAAGAAACAUCAGAGUGGGACUCUGGAAGCGUGCAUUCACUUAGGUUGUUAACCAAAGUGAAAAUAAGCCAUUUUAACAAAUGGAACUUCAUAAUGGAUGAAGUACUAAUCAUAUGAAUGAAUUUUUAGUAUUGUACUACAAUGGUCUCAAGGUUGGAGCAAAGUUUGUAUAAAGUAUACAAACGAAAUAUAUGUCGAUAUAUAGUUUUAGAAACUGCUUCAAAAGGUGUUUUGAAUGAAGGGGUUCUUAUAGAACCAAUGAUUGAAUCCAAACCAUAAGGUCGUUAGUAGGAGUACUACGACGUAAUGGGGCGAUAGCUCAAGCCAUGGAAUCAAGGUCUCAUCAAAGUAUUCGAACACAAUAAAGAGACAUCAUCAAAUGUUUUUGGAAACAUUUGAUAAGUAAAUCCCUUUUAAAUAAUAAAAGGGAUUAAUACAUAACCAAGUUAACCUACGAGCAUAAAGCUCUCUCUCAACAAGAUGUAUAAGAUACACUAGUGAUUGACUUUAGUGCAAGUGGGAGAUUGUUGGAAAUAUGCCCUGAAAGUCAAUCUUUGGAAGAAACCUUUCAGGACAAAAUGAAUCGAUGUAUGGAUGAUUCUUAUACAUCAAAUGGCAAAGAUACUAAUUAGGACUAUCUCAAUAAACGAUAUAUGUCCUAAAUAGUGUAUCCAUGGACAAUGGAUCGAUUGAAGAAGUAAUCUAAUGAUGUUAGACUACAGAGACCUUCUUCACAUAACCAUUAUGUCCAAAAAGGUUCCUGGUCAUUGGAUUGUCGGAGGGAUACUGACAAUGCUUAGACCGGUACAUACUGUGUCCGCUUCAAUUGGAAGGAUGGAAAGUCUCAUCCCAUUCGUGUUGUGACACUAAGACAAGUAUGUAGGUGCUCAUUAAGGGAAUGAGUUCACUGAACACAAUCGAACGAGAGUACUUGCAUGGAGGUCUACUCACAUGUCAAGCAAGUAACUCUAAUGGUUGGAAUAAUGUAAGUAAGUCCUUUGACCUGAGGCAUCGUCGUUGUCUUGUGGUUAAGUACUUAAUCUUUGAUUAUGUCAAAGUCUCCCCAUUCGCGGUGUCCACGGCAUAAUUGGGGUUAAGCCACUUAGUCAUGAAGGCAAGUGUAUGCGCAACAAGGAAUCUCUAAUCCUCGAUAAGAGAGGAAGAAUACUCUAAGAUAUGAUUCGGGAAUCUUCGGCCGAAGUAUCGAGCGUAAUAAAGGAAAGCGUUCCUAUACGACUCAAUUGAAUCAUAUAAGAAGGAAUAAUCACAUUAGGGGUUUGACAUAAUAUAUCCAUACCCUAAUGAUGUGAUUGAGAGUAUUGUUUUAGAGAAGGAUUCGAAUUACAUUGUAAUUCCAACUGAAUAGGUUCUCCGAAUAAACUUCUACAUUAGCUUGGGUAGCUAUGACAUAUGGUUAGAUGUCACUCAUAGCUUGUGAGUUCUUCUAGAUGAUUAAAUGUAGUCGUCAAAGAAGAAAGGUGAAUUAAAAUGAAGUUUUAAUUCACUAAGUGAUUGAAUUAAAUAUAAUCAAUUGGAUUGAUGCCAAUCACCUCACUGCCUUGCUAAUUAGAACCUAAAAUGAUUGUUCACCAAUACACUAUUGUAGUGAGUAAUUAAUGGAUGAUGGAAAUAAUUAAUUGGAUUAAUUAAGUGUUGUGAUUAAUUUAGAAAGUCUAAAGAAAUCAUAAAAGCGAUAAAAGAUCGUUUUGGGCUUAAAGAAACGUUCGGGUUUAAUUGGGCCCAUUGGGCCUAAACCCAUUGGGCUUUUAUUCAAGCAUUGGAUGACUUGAAAUAAUAAAAGCCCAAAGCCCAAACAAACACAAAGGGCCGGCCACUUUAAGGGUUUGGAGAGAUAUUUAGUCAAGUUGUUGACUAGGUUUCUUUUUUGUCUAUAUAAGGAACUUUAUAGAUAAAUUGUUCAUUAGGGUUUUUGUGUGUUUUUAAAACAACAAAGAGGCAAAAGAAAAUAGCUCUCUAAAACCACAAAGGCCGGCCACCAAAGGGUGAUUUUAGCUAACAAUCUUUCACCCUUUUGGUUAUUCCUUCAUCCUUCUCACUACACUAGUGGGUGAGGAUCUUUAGAGGUUUCCUACUUUGGAACUUGAAGAGAACCUAGGAGCACUCAUUACUAACAAAGUGGAGGAGGCAAGGAGGGAAGCUAGGCUCAAGGAUUUCAAGGAGCAAAGGGCUUGGAGGUGGUCCAUCCUUGGUCUCAAGUCUAGAUCAAGAGGUAUAAGACUAAACCUUCACUUUGUUCUUUCUAAAAAUGUUUUGAUGCAUUAUAUAUAAACCUAUGAACCUUGAAGGGAUUUGCAUGACUAUAGCUUUGAUAUUAUUUGAUAAAUGCUUCCGUUGCUUCAUGUAUAAAUUUUGAAUUGUAUAUGCAUGCUAGUCAUUUAGAAAUCCCAUGUGAAACUCAUAUUUUCCCUUCAUGGUUUUGAGUGGGAUAAAGGACAAAGGAAUUUGUUAGGUCCUCCAAUUCUGUAGUUUCCUUUUUUUUUUUUCUGAAAUUAAAAUGUGGGAAACUUACAUUUCUUCAAAUCAAAUAAAGCCAGCUGUAGUAGUGAAUUUAUGAACCAUAUAAAUUGAAUUUGCUUCGAACAAUCUUGAUCAAGAGUGUGUGAAGCUUUCUACGAGUUGUAGUUGCCCUUCAUUGAUGAAGCUUUUGUUGGCACCAUAAAUUGGUUUUGCUUCACACUGUCUUGAUAAAGAGUGUGAAGCUUUUGAGAAUUGUGGUUGAACUCCUUUGAUGAAGCUUUUGUUGGCACCAUAAAUUGGUUUUGCUUCACACUGUCUUGAUCAAGAGUGUGUGAAGCUUUUGAGAUUUGUGGUUGCCCUCCAUUGAUAAAGCUCUUGUUGGCAUCAUAAAUUGGUUUUGCUUCACACUGUCUUGAUCAGGAGUAUGUGAAGCUUUUGAGAAUUGUGGUUGAACUCCUUUGAUGAAGCUCUUGUUGGCACCAUAAAUUGGUAUUGCUUCACACUGUCUUGAUCAAGAGUGUGUGAAGCUUUUGAGAAUUGUGGUUGCCCUUCAAUGAUGAAGCUCUUGUUGGCACCAUAAUUUGGUUUUGCUUCACACUAUCUUGAUCAAGAGUGUGUGAAGCUUUUGAGAAUUGUGGUUGCCCUCCAUUGAUGAAGCUUUUGUUGGCACCAUAAUUUGGUUUUGCUUCACAUUGUCUUGAUCAAGAGUGUGUGAAGCUUUUGAGAAUUGUGGUUAAACUCCUCUGAUGAAGCUUUUGUUGGCACCAUAAAUUGGUUUUGCUUCACACUGUCUUGAUCAAGAGUGUGUGAAGCUUUUGAGAAUUGUGGUUGCCCUCCAUUGAUGAAGCUCUUGUUGGCACCAUAAAUUGGUUUUGCUUCACACUGUCUUGAUCAAGAAUGUGUGAAGCUUUCUACGGGUUGUAGUGUUUGCAUUGGUACAGAGGAGAAAUGUCUGAAGCAAAUACAAGAGGGCUGAAUAGCUUGAUCUUCGUAUGCCAUGGACUAAAGUUGUUGUUGGCUUGCAGUAAGACUUUGUUGGUGGCUAUAACUCUUGUUGGGCAUAAGUGCUCCCCUAGUUGAGUUGUAAAACUUGAGGGUUUUUUAUUAUUUGUGAAUGCUAGGAGUUCACAUGCACAAGUUGUACCACUCAUUUUUUGGUUGGCGGAAUGAAUGGUGAGUUGCUUUCAUCACUUGGUUGGUGGUACGAAGGUGAGUUCCUUCAUCACCUUUCAUCACAUUUCAUCACCUGGUUGGUGGGACGAAGAUGAGUUUCUUCUUCACCUGGUUGGUGGCAUGAAUGGUAAGUUGCCAAAUGAUAUUAGAGUACGGGUUGUACAUUUCAUCACCUGGUUGGUGGCAUGAAUGAGAGUAUGGGUUGUACAUUUUAUCACAUGGUUGGUGGCACGAAGAUGAGUUCCUUCUUCACCUGGUUGGUGGCAUGAGUAGUAAGUUGCCAAAUGAUAUUAGAGUACGGGUUGUACAUUUCACUACCUGGUUGGUGGCAUGAAGAUGAGUUCCUUCUUCACCUGGUUGGUGGCAUGAGUGGCAAGUUGCCAAAUGAUAUUAGAGUACGGGUUGUACAUUUCAUCACCUGGUUGGUGGCAUGAAGGAGAGUACCGGUUGUACAUUUCAUUACCUUGUUGGUGGCAUGAAGAUGAGUUCCUUCUUCACCUGGUUGGUGGCAUGAGUAGCAAGUUGCCAAAUGAUAUUAGAGUACAGGUUGUACAUUUCAUCACCUAGUUGGUGGCAUGAAGAUGAGUUCCUUCUUCAUCUGGUUGGUGGCAUGAGUGGCAAGUUGCCAAAUGAUAUUAGAGUAUGGGUUGUACAUUUCAUCACCUGGUUGGUGGCAUGAAGAUGAGUUCUUUCUUCACCUGGUUGGUGGCAUGAGUGGCAAGUUGCCAAAUGAUAUUAGAGUACGGGUUGUACAUUUUAUCACCUAGUUGGUGGCAUGAAGAUGAGUUCCUUCUUCACCUGGUUGGUGGCAUGAGUGGUAAGUUGCCAAAUGAUAUUAGAGUAAGGGUUGUACAUUUCAUCACCUGGUUUGUGAGAAUAAAGGCAAGGUGUCGAGGCACAUUGUAGCAAGUGUUGAAGACACAAAGUAUGUUGAACCCUUUCGAAGCACAGUUGGCUUAUGUAUGGAUGUGUUGGAAUGUAUGAUGUUUAUAUUGAUUGAUAUGAGUGAUGCUUAUGAAUGUUUUGCUAUGUAUGAAGGGAUCCAUGCUUUUGAUAUAUGAACCAUGUUGGUUGUAACACUUAGGAUCAUAUACUUUGUGUCAAGGUACGCAUGUUGAAACUCUAAGUUGGAGUAUAAGGGUAGGUUAGUGUAGACCAAGUGUUCCAAUGCUAGGAACGCAAAAGACUCAGAAGAAGUUGUCUGAAUUCCCUCUUCUUUAAAUAUAUGCUGAAUGGCUUGUGUGACAAAAGAUCUCAAGCGGUUGAGAGUCAAAACAUUUGUAAUGUGUAUGCCUUCUUCUAAUAGCAUUUCCUUUGGUACCUAGUCCUCCACUUUGAAAGAGUGAGGCUUGGCCCCAUAGUUAUAAUAGUCGACAGUACGUUCACCCUUAGUUGUCUUAAUACGAACUUUUAUCCCUCUUGUUGUAAUGGGCUUGCUGAGAGUAAAAAUCCUUCCUCUUACCAAGAGACAUAUACGUUUGGUGACUUAGUAAGCAGCUAAAUGAGGCAGUAGAUGAUGUAAUGGGUGUCUGAAUGGCCAAUAUCUCCUCACUUGGUAGAACUUGACUUUCGCUUCCCACUUGUUGAUAGGGGUUAANNNNNNNNNNNNNNNNNNNNNNNNNNNNNNNNNNNNNNNNNNNNNNNNNNNNNNNNNNNNNNNNNNNNNNNNNNNNNNNNNNNNNNNNNNNNNNNNNNNNNNNNNNNNNNNNNNNNNNNNNNNNNNNNNNNNNNNNNNNNNNNNNNNNNNNNNNNNNNNNNNNNNNNNNNNNNNNNNNNNNNNNNNNNNNNNNNNNNNNNNNNNNNNNNNNNNNNNNNNNNNNNNNNNNNNNNNNNNNNNNNNNNNNNNNNNNNNNNNNNNNNNNNNNNNNNNNNNNNNNNNNNNNNNNNNNNNNNNNNNNNNNNNNNNNNNNNNNNNNNNNNNNNNNNNNNNNNNNNNNNNNNNNNNNNNNNNNNNNNNNNNNNNNNNNNNNNNNNNNNNNNNNNNNNNNNNNNNNNNNNNNNNNNNNNNNNNNNNNNNNNNNNNNNNNNNNNNNNNNNNNNNNNNNNNNNNNNNNNNNNNNNNNNNNNNNNNNNNNNNNNNNNNNNNNNNNNNNNNNNNNNNNNNNNNNNNNNNNNNNNNNNNNNNNNNNNNNNNNNNNNNNNNNNNNNNNNNNNNNNNNNNNNNNNNNNNNNNNNNNNNNNNNNNNNNNNNNNNNNNNNNNNNNNNNNNNNNNNNNNNNNNNNNNNNNNNNNNNNNNNNNNNNNNNNNNNNNNNNNNNNNNNNNNNNNNNNNNNNNNNNNNNNNNNNNNNNNNNNNNNNNNNNNNNNNNNNNNNNNNNNNNNNNNNNNNNNNNNNNNNNNNNNNNNNNNNNNNNNNNNNNNNNNNNNNNNNNNNNNNNNNNNNNNNNNNNNNNNNNNNNNNNNNNNNNNNNNNNNNNNNNNNNNNNNNNNNNNNNNNNNNNNNNNNNNNNNNNNNNNNNNNNNNNNNNNNNNNNNNNNNNNNNNNNNNNNNNNNNNNNNNNNNNNNNNNNNNNNNNNNNNNNNNNNNNNNNNNNNNNNNNNNNNNNNNNNNNNNNNNNNNNNNNNNNNNNNNNNNNNNNNNNNNNNNNNNNNNNNNNNNNNNNNNNNNNNNNNNNNNNNNNNNNNNNNNNNNNNNNNNNNNNNNNNNNNNNNNNNNNNNNNNNNNNNNNNNNNNNNNNNNNNNNNNNNNNNNNNNNNNNNNNNNNNNNNNNNNNNNNNNNNNNNNNNNNNNNNNNNNNNNNNNNNNNNNNNNNNNNNNNNNNNNNNNNNNNNNNNNNNNNNNNNNNNNNNNNNNNNNNNNNNNNNNNNNNNNNNNNNNNNNNNNNNNNNNNNNNNNNNNNNNNNNNNNNNNNNNNNNNNNNNNNNNNNNNNNNNNNNNNNNNNNNNNNNNNNNNNNNNNNNNNNNNNNNNNNNNNNNNNNNNNNNNNNNNNNNNNNNNNNNNNNNNNNNNNNNNNNNNNNNNNNNNNNNNNNNNNNNNNNNNNNNNNNNNNNNNNNNNNNNNNNNNNNNNNNNNNNNNNNNNNNNNNNNNNNNNNNNNNNNNNNNNNNNNNNNNNNNNNNNNNNNNNNNNNNNNNNNNNNNNNNNNNNNNNNNNNNNNNNNNNNNNNNNNNNNNNNNNNNNNNNNNNNNNNNNNNNNNNNNNNNNNNNNNNNNNNNNNNNNNNNNNNNNNNNNNNNNNNNNNNNNNNNNNNNNNNNNNNNNNNNNNNNNNNNNNNNNNNNNNNNNNNNNNNNNNNNNNNNNNNNNNNNNNNNNNNNNNNNNNNNNNNNNNNNNNNNNNNNNNNNNNNNNNNNNNNNNNNNNNNNNNNNNNNNNNNNNNNNNNNNNNNNNNNNNNNNNNNNNNNNNNNNNNNNNNNNNNNNNNNNNNNNNNNNNNNNNNNNNNNNNNNNNNNNNNNNNNNNNNNNNNNNNNNNNNNNNNNNNNNNNNNNNNNNNNNNNNNNNNNNNNNNNNNNNNNNNNNNNNNNNNNNNNNNNNNNNNNNNNNNNNNNNNNNNNNNNNNNNNNNNNNNNNNNNNNNNNNNNNNNNNNNNNNNNNNNNNNNNNNNNNNNNNNNNNNNNNNNNNNNNNNNNNNNNNNNNNNNNNNNNNNNNNNNNNNNNNNNNNNNNNNNNNNNNNNNNNNNNNNNNNNNNNNNNNNNNNNNNNNNNNNNNNNNNNNNNNNNNNNNNNNNNNNNNNNNNNNNNNNNNNNNNNNNNNNNNNNNNNNNNNNNNNNNNNNNNNNNNNNNNNNNNNNNNNNNNNNNNNNNNNNNNNNNNNNNNNNNNNNNNNNNNNNNNNNNNNNNNNNNNNNNNNNNNNNNNNNNNNNNNNNNNNNNNNNNNNNNNNNNNNNNNNNNNNNNNNNNNNNNNNNNNNNNNNNNNNNNNNNNNNNNNNNNNNNNNNNNNNNNNNNNNNNNNNNNNNNNNNNNNNNNNNNNNNNNNNNNNNNNNNNNNNNNNNNNNNNNNNNNNNNNNNNNNNNNNNNNNNNNNNNNNNNNNNNNNNNNNNNNNNNNNNNNNNNNNNNNNNNNNNNNNNNNNNNNNNNNNNNNNNNNNNNNNNNNNNNNNNNNNNNNNNNNNNNNNNNNNNNNNNNNNNNNNNNNNNNNNNNNNNNNNNNNNNNNNNNNNNNNNNNNNNNNNNNNNNNNNNNNNNNNNNNNNNNNNNNNNNNNNNNNNNNNNNNNNNNNNNNNNNNNNNNNNNNNNNACACACACACACAAACACACACAUAUACAUACAAAUACGCCUAAUGACAAGCUCUACAACUUUUGUGGAGAUGUCAACUCCGAAAUUCAACAUUAUAAUCUAUAAAUCCUAGAUUUAUAUUUAAUCAUCAAUUUUACAUUUAUAAUCCAUUCUUCUUACUGAAUUUCGCUUUUUCAUAUUUUCAUUUUUCAAAACAUGAUCUUUUAGUGGAUUCAAAAAGAUGAAUUAUUUGGAUUGUUGACAUCACGUUCAAAUUUUUACAAUUAGUGAAAAUACUGCUUGGAGUUUAUAAAGUUUAUAGAAAUUAUAUAACAUUGACUCAUAUUUUAGUUAAUCAUAAAUAUCGGAACCUGAUAUCAACAAUCUGAACUGUUUGUAAAGGAAGCAUUAAAGCAUAUGGCAAGGGGCCAUAAGUAGAUAGUCUUCAAUGGAGUCUGGAAAUUAAGACCUUAGAGGGCAUUCGAUUCAACAACAAAAAAAAAAAAACAAUAAUAACCACAAUAUUAUUCAAAUAACUAUGAGGAGCAUGUCCAAUAAGUAAAGCACGUGCAGUUUCAAGAAUAUGUCAAAUUAUACCCUCUACCAGACCAUUUUGUUGGAAUGUUUGAGAGCAAGUCGUCUCAUGUAAAACGUCAUGAGCCUCAAACUAGUGUUCAAAAUCGUGAUUUACACACUCUCCGCACGCACGGAGGCAUUUUUGCAUCAUGGGUGCUACGCGCCCAUAAAGAUGUAUUGUGUUAGUUUUUUUUCAUUGUAAUUGUCAAGAUAUAUUUUAAAUGUAUUGUCCAAAGUGACUUUUUCUUUACCAUUCACGUCUUAAAAAGUUGUCAUGUUUUUCGUUUUCACUUUGCGUAAAUUAAUAAUUUAAAUAGACAGAAAUACAUGAAGUUUUCAACUAUUUUUGUUCUCUUUUUCUACACAGUAAUAUGUGUCACUUUGCAAUGAUUAUGGCUACAUGUUGAUUAGUUUGCUCUCCAUUGUACAGGAUGAAAUAUUUUUCUAUGAGAUUUGUCAAGCAACGGAUGGGAAAAAAGAUCCUCAUUGUUUAAUGUCAACAUUUCCUAUUGCACCAGUGAGAUAUGUUUCCUGUCGAGUUAGCGUAAUGUGAAUGUCUCUAAUUUAUAUAUGGACAUUAUAUAAUUGUCAAAUAUUUAAAAGUCAAGUUUGUAUUGUAACAUGAUUAGGUUACGUUUUCACAUUGAAUGUGACACACCCCGACCGAGGUCAAGGCAUGCUAGCCAUCACGUGAGAGUGACGUAGCCAUGUGCACAAUGCGGAAGCGAUAAAGAUUGCAAACAUACGAAUAAUUAAAAACCAUAUUAAAAGAGUUUACUACUAGCAGGAAGUGAUAGGAGUUAGUUACAACCGUAAACUCUCCUAAUCAGAGCAUAAAGUCUAGGUGUAGUCCAGUAGGACAAGAACUAGUUAUACAGUACCAGGAAUGUCAUACUAUUAUUCAAAUGGGUCAAAACUGUCGACGAUCUCGAGCCACCGACUGCAAGCUUACUUAAAACCUGGAGGGGCGCAAAAUAGAAAACGUGAGUGGGCAUAAAUAAAUGCUUUACAAAAUAUCUAGCCCUUCGCUGUAAAACAUGUAUAAUUUUUCCAGAAUCAAGAUACAAAUAUAUGCAUAUAUAUAUAUAUAUAUAUAUAUAUACACACACGAAUAUGAACAUAUAUCAAUUCAAAUCAUGCUUUAUGUAACUAUAUUCACAUGUAUAUAAGCCAUGCCAAGAUAUAACAGAGUAAGCAAUUCAGGUAAGAAUAAAUUCAUGGAAAUAUGAUAUGAUAGCCAGAACCCCUGAGGUAGUCUAUACGGCUGAAUUCAUAGCUCAAACUCAAUUUAGCCGGAGUCACUUCUAUGACCUAUACAACAAUAUACUGCACAUAAGUUGGAACCACUGGAAUGGUCUGUACGACAAGGUUGGGUGUGAUAUAGUUAUGCUCAAAGCUACGCCCUCAUGCUAGCUGUACGAUAAAUAGUUAGUCACCUACGAGUCGGAACCACCUAUAGUGGUCUGUGCAACAAGACUGUGCACCUAAUUUGGAACCAAUGUGAGCAUAUGGUGUGGGAGGUGACAUAAUAUACAGGUCUGUGCCAACUCUUUGGCUAGAUCACAAUCACCCGGGGUGCAGGUUUAUGAGCUCAUCGUUUCUCAAUCAUAUCUCAUAUAGACAAUCAACAUGUUCAUCUCAUUUAUUGAAUGGCUGCACCUAACCUUUCGUUAGACUGCCUACGUACCCUAAAUAGGGAUCAAGCCGUUCAUAGUUCACCUAGAUCAAACAUAACUUACAUGCACUUACCUGUGCCUCCACAGCACCACCAUUAUAUAUAUAUAUAUAUAUAUAUAUAUAUAUAUAUAUGCAACCAUGAAAUGCAUAUUCAUAAUAUAAAGGCAUUUGGCAUAUUAUUUCAAAGCAUACUUUCAUUUAAAACACAUUUCUGGGAAAUAUAUCAAGUAUAUCAUUAUAUACUGAAAACAAAAGCCCACUCACUAAUAUGUCGAAGGGUCGUAGCCCCCGAGUCAGCCGUGGAUACGCUCGUCCUCGGGAUAAGUCUCACCUAUAUGCGAAUUAACUAUAAAAACGUUAUUUUAAAGCACAUCAGUAAAACUAGCUAAUAACUUCUCAUGCAUUGCUCAAUUUGGGUAUAUGAAUAUAUCAUAGUGAUCUACACAACCUCAGGAUCAUCCCCAUAAUUUUAGAAUUAUUUUUGGACCUCCUACACGCCGUCACGCGCCGGCAAGGGCACGGCAAAACGCGCCCCCACGAGCGGCCGAAACUUGAUGGAUUCCCUAACCAUCGUUAGGGAAUAUUCCGUUAAACCUAAGAGAUUCUGUCAAACUUGACUAACAUCAUGAGAAUAUUCCGUCAAACUUGACGGAAUAUUCUCCCAUCUCCUACCUCCAGCUCCAGCGACCGUCGUCGGUGCCAGACACUGGGCAAAACUUCAAACUAUUCGCCUUCAUUUCUCAACCAUUUUUCAUGCAAUUGGUACCAAAAUGAAGCUAGGAACUUCUACAAUCAUGAUAUAACAUUUUAAAGCUCUAAAAGUCACGGGAUCUCACUAGAGAUUUCCAAGAAAACUGGCCAAACUUCGUCCACACGAUCCCGAUGUCCAAAACCUUCAAACGAAACACUCCGAGCUUCCUUGGGACCUCACUAAGCUUCCUACGAGCUUGAAAUUUCCAAAAACAUGAGAUUUAACGUUUGCAUGAAUAGUACCCCAAAUCGGGGUUAUGGUUUCGACAUGAAAACGAAGCUAUCCUUACCUAAAAAUGGUCUAGAUGUGGUCCUGAGCUUGCAAGGAACACAAUGGUACCUUCAACGUCCUCGAUCCAUCACGAUUCAAUGGGUUUUGGGUUUGAGUUCGUACGGAAGAGAAGAGAGAGAGAUAGAGAGAGUUCGAGGGACAGAGAGAACACGGGAGGGAAAAGAGAGAAAGGAGAAGUGAUAUGCAGGGUCCAACUAGUCAACACCCAAUCAAAAUCAAAGUUCUUAGUUCCUAAGUGGUUCCAAAAACUUAGGGAAAAAAAUUCAAAUAAUUCGAUUUCAAAACAAUUCACACACCACACUUCUUAAUGUCCAAGGGUAAUCCAGUCUUUUCACAUUAGCGAUAAAUAUUUCUCGGGACAGGCUAUGACAAUCUCCCUAACUUAGAAAAUUUCGUCCUCGAAAUUACAUAUAACCAAUACAUCCACUAAUAAUCAUAAAACAAGCGUGGAGACAUCUCUCUCAUCCGAUCCUCUGUCUCCCAAAUAGCCUCUUCCAUUGAAUGAUUUCUCCAUAACACUUUAACCAGACGAACUGUCUUGUUCCUCAGUUCUUUAUCCUUCCAAUUCAAUAAAGUCACUGGUUCCUCAUCAUAAGUCAAGUCCGAAUUGAUUUCCAAGGGUUGAGGAGGAAUCACAUGUGAAUGAUCUGAAACAUAGUGUUGAAGCAUCAAAACAUGAAACACAUCAUGUACCUUGGAUAACUCUGAAGGCAACUCAAGUCUGUAAGCAACCUCAACGACUCGCUCGGUGAUCAAAUACUGUCCAAUGUACCUAGGACUCAAUUUUCCUUUCUUUCCAAGUUGAUAGCUUCAGAAAUACCCAAUCACCUACACCAUACUUCCGAUUAGUGGCAUGCUUGUCUGCUAGGCUCUUUUGUCGAUCUUAGGCCGCUUUCAGGUUAGACUUAAUUACCUGAACAUUUUGAGUAGUCACAUCCACAAUCUCAGGGCCCACCAAAACUCUUUCGCCAACCUCUGACCAACAUAAAGGCGUACAACAAGAUUUCCCAUAAAGUGCCUCAAAUGGUGCCAUACCAAUGCUUAAAUGAUAACUGUUGUUGUAGGCAAAUUCCAUCAAAUCCAAACAAUCAUGCCAACUAUCUCCAAACUGCAGCACUGAAGAUCUCAACAUAUCCUCUAAUGUCUGAAUGGUCCUCUCAGAUUGUACAUCUAUCUGAGGAUGCUAUGUCGUACUAUAAAGCAAUCUUGUGCCAAGAGCUUCCUAGAAUGAUAUCUAGAACUUGGAAGUAAAUCUGGGAUCCCGAUCCGAGAUAAUAUUAACUGGCACACCAUAGUACUUCACAAUCUGUGUAAUAAAUAACUUAGCUAAUCGACUUAACGAAUACUUCUCCCUCACUGGAAUAAAAUGUGCUCACUUCGUAAGCCCAUCAACUACUACCCAAAUGUCGUCAUAACCAUUCUGUGUGCGAGGAAGCUUGUAUACAAAAUCCAUAGUAAUAUUUUCCCAUUUCCACUGCGGAAUGGGAAGUGGUUGCAUCAACCCAAACGGUUUCUUUCUUUCAACUUUAACCUAUUGGCAAAUGGCACACCUACUCACAUAUUCGGCAAUUUCUCUUUUCAUACCUAGCCAAUAAUAAAAUGGUCUAAUGGUAUGAUACAUCUUAGUGCCUCUUGGAUGCAUCGCAUAUGUCGAUAUAUGUGCUUCAUCCAAAAUUUCUUUCUUUAAUUCUACAUUGUUCGGCACAUACAUUAUGCUUUCCUGCAUAAGCAUACCAUCAAUUUCUUGAAUCUUAAAAUCUUUCUUUUUGCCUUGGUUUCUUGCUUGAAUUAUUUCUUGAGUCUCCUCAUCAAUCAUCUGAGCCUCAAGCACACGAUCAACUAAAAUUGGUCUGACUUGGAAAUUAGCAAGCAAGGCUUCUCCUCGAUCUUCCACUCCUAGCUCCACUCUAGUGGACCUCAAAUCUGCUAAAAGAGGAACAUGACAAUCAUAGAUGGCAUUAAGUUUGGCUGGAGUCUUCCUGCUAAGUGCAUCAGCCAUUGCAUUUGCACGACAAUGAUGGUACUCAAUCGUGCAAUCAUAGUCACUAAGUAACUCAAUCCAUCUCCGCUGACAAAGAUUAAGAUCUCUCUGAGUAAAUAGAUACUGGAGACUCUUAUGAUCCGUGAAGAUCUUACAUUUCUCACCAUAAAGAUAAUGUCUCUAAAUCUUCAAGGUAAAGAUGAUAGCUGCUUACUCCAAAUCAUGCACAGGGUAAGUCUUCUCAUGAGGUUUCAACUGUCUCGAAGCUUAAGCUAUUACCCUACCAUGUUGCAUCAAUACACAACCUUAACUAUUCAGAGAAGCAUCACUAUAGACCUCAUAAUUACCGCUAUCAUCUAGAAGCGCUAGAACAGGUGCAUGAGUAAGAUAAUACUUUAGCUACUGGAAACUUUGCUCACAUUUACUAUCCCACUCAAAUUUAACAUC